GCGCCUCCAGAAUCUGCCGAAGUAAUCUGACUUUAUGCGGACGCUUCCAUCGUGAGUGUUGAAGACCUCGUUCCCACAGUCGGGUCUCCAAUGUCACUUGAUGCAAACUCCAGAUAUGGUCCACCAGUGGUUCUUGGACCACCUUACGCAGUAUUUGUUGCUGUAACAGCAUCUUAUGUGCACUAGUCCCUUGCCAUUCUUUGCCCUCUCCACUUGGUACUUUGAGUAGGGUGUCACAACCUCCUUUCCCGAGAGAAUUGGAGAAAUCCAUGAAUCUGCACAUCUUCGUGUAUGUACUGCAAGUACUUGUUAUAUUUUUAUUUCAGCAACACAUACCUUGGUAAUGCCAUUUCCUCUUUAAUCACUUCUAUUGCUUCUCACUUCUCACUUCUCACUUCUCACUGCACUUUUCUUCUCCUAACUCUAACCUUAUUUAUAAGGGGGAAAAACUCUAUUUAAAUGUAAGUGCAAGGAAUUUAAAUUAUGUUUAAUGGAGCGCUCAAAAAGCAAGAGGCCCAUCAUUGAUUUGGUAGGGAGCUUGUAUUAAAAUACUGAUCAAGUGGUCUGCACUUUUCUUCAGUAAGUAUAAAUCAAUGAAUAUCGGUUUAUUGCCUUGGAAGUGUGCCUAAGAUCACAUCACCAUUACCAUUACUGACUUACUCUAAUGGAGUAACUUUCUGGACACCCAAACAUUCUCAUAUCUAGUUCUUUUUAAGAUCUCCGCUUGCAUAUUAUGUAAAUGCAAGUGGACAGGGCAGUUGUAUGUCAACAUUGAUAGGGGGCCUUAUCAUACCUCAGCAGUUUUGGUCAAGGCUAGUCCUCUUUCAAAUCCGGGUUAUUCUCUUAGACUGACUUGAGUUAAGAAAAAAUUAGUGAGGAAGAGAUCUAUUUUGUGAUUUUAUGACAAAUUUGAAGAUAAAAUAUGUGAUCCAAUUUUAUCCCAAAUUGAAUUAAUUAAAAAUUAAAUUUAAAUACAAAACCAUAAUUCACAUCAUAGAGUAGUAGCAUUCACAUUUCUAUCUCCAUUUCCAUUCCCAUCUAUAAAUACCCAAUCCAAAAAUAAGUAGACGUGGAACUUGGUGUGAAAUACUAAUCCUCAUGAAAAAUAAGACUAAUUUAAUUCCAUAAGAAGAGUCUCAUGGCAUUUUUCGUGGGGUUGGGAAAAUAUGAAUUGAUUUAAUUUGGACCAAACCAAAUAAAAUUGAUUUUUAAAAUUUUUAAAUUUUAUUUGUUCUAUUUAAGAAAACAUAAAAAAUUUCAAUCUAAUAUAAGAAUGAAUAUAUACAUAUUUGUGUCAAUCCACUAUGACACACUCAUCGGUAAUAAAACAAUUACCUCUACAUUUACAAUUUGUUUCAAGCAAUAAAAAGUUCAACAUAAGUUCCCUAAGAAAGGAAAGAAUUUGCAAAAUUACUAAAUUCAUGACGAAAAGCAUUGGCUAAUUUUGUUACAUACAAUGUUGUUCCUUUUUGGGGGUCUAUUUUAGAAGAAAAGGCCAGCAAAAAUUAAGAUAAAAUUACAAAAAUUUUGGCAAUAUAUGUCAACUAUUUAAAAAAAAUCAAUGGCUAAUAUGUCAAACAAAAACAUUGCAAUAAAUGGGUGUUUUUUUUUUAUAUAUAUUGAUUUUAGCCAAUUAAUUAAGGACUUGAGAUUUCAUUUUUUAAAACUCUUUUUAUUAUACCAUCUCUUUGAUCCUUAAAGUAAGUCCUAGCUAGACACUUAAUCCAUAGGUUAAAUUAUUACUUGCAAUCAACAACCCUUUGCUUGGGGUGAACACCACAAAAUAUUGGAGUUCAAGCAUGAAGGUUUAUGUAGUGUAAUGACCUGCUUCUAACCAUGUAGAUAUUGUCCGCUUUGGACCCAAGGACCCCUCACGACUUUAAAACGCGCUUAUUUGGUUAAGAAAAGUCUCUACAUAUAUAGCACUAGGAACUUGCUCCCCUAUCUGAUGUGGGACAUCACAAAUACCCCCACAUGCAGACACAACGUCCUCGUUGUGUUCCAUGGGAUUGCGGGGCCAAACAGACAAACAUCCCUUACGGAGCCAAACAAACCCCUACACUGGGGUUGGAGAUCGGCUCUGAUACCAUUUGUAACGACCCGCUCCCAACCAUGUAAAUAUUGUCCACUUUGGACAUAAAGGGGCCCUCACGGCUUUAAAACGCGUCUACUUAGUUAAGAAGAGUCUCUACAUAUAUAGUGCCAAGAACUUGCUCCCCUAUCCGAUGUGGGACAUCACAUGUAGGUUCUAGUCAAUAAAAGAUUCUAAGUAGGUUCUUCCAUAUCAAGUAAUUCUAUAUACAUUCCUUUCAUAUUUAGUGAAUUUAUUUGUGAUAAUUUGAUCCCUGGUUAUUUUACACCGAUGAAGUUUUUAGAAAACUCCAUAGGUGAUUUUUUCCUUGUUACAUCUAGUAUUCUUGUAUGAAAUAACCUUUAGCAACCCACCUUAAAAGGGGUUGCUAGGAGAUAAUGGGCCACUCUAGGUUGAAAUCUAAUGGAAUCACCAUCUUAAUAGAUAAAUAUAGGGCAUGAAAAGAACAGAAAAUAACUAAGUGAUGUUGAUAAAACGAUAAACUUGAUGAAAUAUUGAUAGUGGAAAUGAAGGUUUACAAGAAAAGUCACAUCGCAUAGAGCAACUAAAUUGAAGAUGAAAUAUAUAUAUAAAGAAAUGGACUAUAUGUCCCAUAGGUUUAAUAAGAAACAACAUUCAAGUUAGGUGCAUUGCGACUUUCUUUCCAAAACUGACACUACAUUUUGAAGAGGCAUAUAAAAAUCCUUACCUAAAAAAUAUAAAAAUCUAAAGCAUGAACAUAAAGUUCAUUGCCAGAACAUAUAAGUGUUAGGAUGAUCAAUCUAAGAUAAAAAUAAUUUUAAAACAUAUUAUGCGACAGUUUUAGUGUAUAUAUAGAAACUAGCAUGACAUAAUCAUAAUGGUAUUUAAAGAAAUAUGUAAUGUAAAACAUGAAAUCACAAGUUUGGAUAUAACUAUGGCUAAUCCAUUGGCUAUAAAUAAACUUACUACCCAUGACUACCACACAUCACCACAUUAUUUAGGGUCUAACCAUCUUAGAUCACAAUACCAAGUAACUCAUCUUCUUAUUAUCCUAUUAGGGGCACAACAAAGUAUACUCUACCACUUUGGGCUCUACCCCCUAACAUGACAUCAAAAUCCAUGGUUUCGCCUUAUAAUCCCCAUCUUGCUAUAUAAGUGGUAUGGAAUUCUAAAACAAAAAUGUAUAAAACACUUCUUAGGUAUAUGUGUUAUCAUGCCCAUCAUAUAUUAAUGCCCAAAAGUCUAAUGGUUUAUUUAGAUUAUGAUAGGGUAUGUAAUUUCAUCAAUUAUAAAUAUAAGUUAUUAAAUAAUUACUUGAAGAUGAAAUAUUAUUUAUUUUUGUAAACUCAAUAGAAAUCAUGUACAUUUGACCAAAAAACAAUACAACAUAUAUCUCAUGUUAUUAGUAACAGUACUAAGCAACAUAUACAAGACAUAUCUAUUUUAAGAAAAAUUAGUAAAAUCAUCCGUAUCAUAAUUACUCAUAAAAUUCCUAAAGCAAUUAAUACUAUAGCAAAGCUCAUAGUAUGAUGACUCCACAAACUCUAAGUUCUCACUUGAUAUAAGAAAUUUUAAGUGGAUUAAAGAGAUUUGGAAAUUUCAUAAAAAUGGGAACUAAGAUUCUAAAGUCCUAUAGGCCUACUCUCACCCAGACAACACCUGAUAUAGAAAGAUACAAAGUCUUUAAAAAUAAGAAUCUAGACAAACAAAGUUCAAUUCACAUAAGAAGCAAGCCAAUAAUUAUAUUGAUGAGUCUAGGUAUCUUGAAGAUUAAUAAAUAAGUCAAAUGAUUAGCAAAAAACCACCAAUUAAGCCUCAACAACUUGAUCCAUGUGUUAUAGCAUCUCAUUUGUGCUUGUGCAGUUCUUUGAAGAUUCUUAAUUUUGCUAUGAGAUUAUGCAAUCAAAUGAAUUCAAUAACAAUCUCACACCUUAGCAAUUUUGUAACAAAAAUUUAAGCAUAUGCAACCUCUACUAGCAUGUAUGCAUUGGUCUAAAAAAUUCAAAGCAUAAAUUUCCAAUGAUUUCUCCCCCUAUAUAUGUCUCUCUACCAAGCACACAUUUUCUCAUUCUAACAUCAACUUCCCUAGUCUUGUAUUUCUCUUGCUUUUUAAGGCAACAUGUCAAAGGCGAAGAUGCAAAACUUUAUGAAAGAGGAUUUUAUUAAACCAAAAAUGUUUUUGUGAGUAUGGUUGAGAAUUCACUCAAGGCUUUUAUUGUUUUUAGUUUGCCAAUUAUAUUUUUCAUCUUUUUUGGAUGGUGUUUGAUGUACAAAAGGUUUUAUAGUUAAGAAUUAACUCAAAGCCUCAUCAUCAUCUUUUCAAGGAGUUAUAUAACCUCGUAUAUUCAAGGAUAUACUCUUGGUACUUAUCAAAACAACCAUGAUAAAAACUCAAUUAAUCCUGGAUUGACUAUUCGAAGUAUGUGCCAUAAAUAUGCCUUUAUUAUAACAAAAAUUAGAGCUUUUAAAAAAUUAAUAUUGUUAUAUGAAGGACAAACAUUCAAACUUGGUGUGCAAUUCCUCAUGAUAGUUGAGGGGUUACUCAAUCACACAAACUUAAAUUUUCUAAGAUAUUCAAAUUUGAUUGAAACCAAAGGCUUUUAAAAAUGUAUGCCAUUUAAUCUUUAGUAUAAAAAUAUUCUAUUUUCAUUAUGUCAUUUUCAACAAGCUCCAUAAUAUACUGAAAUUGAAUGUUAAUAUGCUUAGUGAAAUUGAAGCAUUUAUUGCACUAGUAUUAUUACACAAGAUGAACAUAGUAUUGCAUUUGAUUCCAGAAUCUUUUAUCAUCUAUUUAAUCCAAUUCAUUGAGUGCAAGAUCUACCUAUACUAGUCAACUUUCAUAGUGGAUAAGAGGAUAUAAUGCAACUAAGUUGCUCCCAAUGUAAAAUCAACCUCUUGUAGUGUUGUAUAAUAGAAGAAACCUAGAGUAGUAUUGUUAGCACACCAUAACCCUAAAUUUUAAGAUCUAGGAAUAUAUUUGAUGAUCAUUUUUAUUGUUGCUAGAUGAGAUUCUUUUGGGCUUGAUUGGUAGCAUAAAAACCUAGACUAUGUGCUAUGUCUAGCCUACUAGAUGUAAGAUGCAAGAGAUGUCUAAUCAUGCUUCUGCAUGACCUAGAUUGAUCAAUAUCUAAUUUUUUUUUUUCAUCAUUUGAAAGCUUAAUUAACACUUGUUCCCACAAGUUUCUCUCAUGUUUAGCUGAUUCCAAGCCAAGCUCUUUACAACCUUAUAUAGCAUACUUGACUUUGAUAUAAAGAUUUCGUUUUUAAUCUAUCUUAAUUAUAUGCAGUUCAAGAAAGUAAGAUAACAUUUUCAUCAUGCUUAUCUCAAAUCUUGUUCUCAUUUUCUCAAUAAAUUCAUGUGCUUCAUUAGUUCAUGUGAAACUAAAUAUGAUGUCAUUGACAUAUACUUGGGCUACUAUAAAGACACCAUCCUUUCUUCUUAGGAACGAAGUCCUAUGAAAUGUGUGUCAAAUAACAUUUUUCUUUAUAAAAAGGUUAAGAAAAAUGUUUUUAAACUUAUUUUUUAUGGUGAAGAAUAAAUUUUAAUGAAAAUGGUAGAUGAGUACAUGAGAAAGAAUUUCAAUUAUAGUAAAAUUUAAUUAAAAUGAAAAGGAGAUUCUUUUAUUGUGUGAAUUUUAUUUUUAUUUUUUUGAAAGAAUUAAGAAUGAAAUAUAAAAUAUUUUAACUAAGCAAAAUAGUAAUAUUAAAACUAAAAUUUCAUAUAAUAUUAAAAAUAAGAGACAACGUUUUGCUACAAGUACAAUAUAUCUAAUUUUUCAGAAUUCCAUUACUAAUGAAUAAUGAGAGCCAAAGAAAAAAAAUCCUAAAUUUUAGAACUACAAAGAUGUGCAUAUUUAUUAAAUUGAAUUAAAAUUAAAAUAUAAAAUUGAAUAUUAUAAUUAUAUAAAAAGAUAUGAAAACAAAUAAAAUUGUUUUAAUAUGAUAUUUGAUUGUAUGUCAAACAACAUAUUUUUAUGAAAUGGCAAAAGAACAAAACCUUUUUUUAUAAAGAUAUGAAAGUCCCCUAUUUUUCCCAAAACAGACAUUGAUUGAAGGUGGCAUCUGGUGUGCCCAUUCAGAGGCUUGUUAAUGCUACUUUGUCUCUUGCAUUGGCUCUUUCGCAUACGGUUAGUGAUAAAAGCCUGCUGGGCAUUUACAAUCCAUCUCUGAUGGCCCUGUUCUGUUGGCCUCUUCUCAGCAUUGACCAGAUCCUAGCUUUCACAUGCCCUGUUCUGUUUCUCCUCCAUUCGAGGCAUUUCUAAGAUGAUCAGGAAAUGAAGUAGAAUAGUAUAGAUGAGAUGUAAGAAUAUUAAGUACAAGACAUUAAAACUAAAAAGAAAAAAAGGAAAAAGCUACACAAUAUCCACAUAAUAUUUAUUUCAUUAAUACUUAGAAAACACAAACUCUAGUAGCACAGUACGUGAUAAUAAGUUAAAUAAAAGAAUCAUCUUUCUUUAAAGCGCUGUCCAAUCAUGGACAACGUCUCAAGAUAAGUUCCCAACGUAAACGCAAGCACAAUUUUAUUACUCUUGAUAAUAUUAUUAGGCAAGGAAGGAGGAUUGGACAAAUGCAACAAGUCCUAGAAGCAUGACUUAGCAUUUCACGUCACAGCUUUUCUUCUUUGGUCUGGUACUCGACGUUGAAGCAAUUCACACCAACAUAAACACCAUCAUCCAUAUUGUAAACAACAUUUUUCCCGUCGGUCAAAGUGUCUCGCUGAGUGUACGAGAAAGGGACGUCGCACGAACCCUGUGUUGCUAUCAUGCUUAUGGUCACCCUAGUCCUCGCCGGCACAGUAACACUAUACACUGUCUCCUUUGCUGUUGUCAGUGAUUCAGUUUCUCCCCACUCAUAUGUACCGGUACCGCUAAACUCGGAUGAAACUUCUAACUUUCCGUCAGCGAUGAAUGGAACGCCGCUUUCUAUGGUGAUUUUGACACCCGACUUCAAUGAGACGCUGCCUUUCCAAGUACGGCUAUUUGUCUCUGUAUAUGAGAGCUUCACCUGUUGAGUGUGCGGUUCUUGGGUCAUGUUAAUGGCUCCUCCGGUGGUCAUCACGAUCACUCUCUGGUCGUAGAUCCUAGCGUCCAUGAGACGAAAAUUGACAUUAUAGAUGUUUCUUGAUAAAACAAGCUCUGCCACCUCUAGGCGUGCCUCUCUGGAAAUUGUGGAGACCCCGGCAUUGAGACAGCUGGUCUUGCCCUCGGUGGUGAGUCUCUUACAGAAAUUGUUGUUACCUAAGUUGCGGAGAGCGACCACAUUUUUGUCAACUCUAACGGGCCAAAACAAGGUAUUGGAGUUGUUGUUGGUGGAAUCAUCGGAGUCAGCCAAUAUCCAGUUAGGGCUGCGCCUCCAGAAUCUGCCGAAGUAAUCUGACUUUAUGCGGGCGCUUCCAUCCUGAGUGGUGAAGACCUCGUUCCCCACAGUCGGAUCUCCAAUGUCAGUUGAUGCGAACUCCAGAUAUGGGCGUCCCUCGAUCGUCCGGGCACUGAGGUAGUAGUCAUUAUCGCCCUUGAAGGCGAUAUGUUUUGGCAAUAUCAAUAGUGAUUCCCAAUCAAUGAUUGUAAAGACAUCGUAGAGGUCCUUGUCAGGCGAAGCUGAUCCUGCAAACAAACAAGAACCAUAAGGAGGUGGAAGCCUCCAUAAGCAUGCAUAGUGUCCAAGCUGGACGUGGCGAAAUCGGAGUGUUUGAGCAUCGCCAUCCACGUAGACAGGCUCGAACAAGGUACAUGUCCAUAACGAUUGGUCUUCAUCUGUUUCGUCGGCCCCGGCAACAAUCCACCAGUGGUUCUCGGACCACCUUACCCAGUAUUUGUUGUUGUAGCAGCAUCUUAUGUGCACUAGUCCCUUGCCAUUCUUUGCCAUCUCCACGUGGUACUUUGAGUAGGGGGUCAUCACCUCCUCUCCCGAGAAUUGGAGAAAUCCAUGAAUCUCCCCAUCUUCAUGGAUGUACCGCAAGCACUUGUUGUUAUAUUUUGAUUUGAACACCACAUACCUUGGUAAUUCCAUUUCCACUUUAAUCACUUCUAUUGCUUCUCACUUGUCACUGCACUAUUCUGCCCCUCACUAUGCCUUAUUGACAUGAGGAAAAACUAUUUUUAGAUGUGAAACCAUGUUUCAUUGGAGCAAGGAAUGGAGCGCUCAAAAAGCAAGAGACCCAUCAUUUGUUGUGGAGAUUGUAUUAAAAUACUGAUGAAGUGAUCUGCAGUUUUCAUCAGUAAGCAUGAAUCAAUGAGUACAGGUUCAUUGCGUUGGAAACGUGCUUAAGAUCAUCAUUACAGACAAUGACUUAAUCUAAUGGAGUAACUUUUUGGAUAUCCAAACAUUCUCAUAUCGUAAGCAUGAAUCAAUGAAUACUGGUUCAUUGCGUUGGAAGCGUGCUUAAGAUCACCAUCACAGACAGUGACCUAAUCUAAUGGAGUAACUUUUUGGACAUCCAAACAGUCUCAUAUCUAGUUCUUGGUAUGAUUAGUUCUUGAAAGGAUCAUUAGGCUGAAUAUUGAUGUAAAUGCAAGUGGACGGGGCAGUUGGAUGUCAACUUUGAUAGGGGCCUUAGCAUCCUCGAACAGUUUUGGUCAAGGCUAAUCCCGCUCCUCUCAAAUCCAGGUUAUUCUUUUAGACUGACUGAACUAAGAAAAAUACAUAAAUAAGGAAGAGAUCUAUUUUUGUGAUUUUAUGACAAAAUUGAAGAUAAAAUAUGGGAUCCAACUUUAUCCCAAAUUGAAUUGAUGAAAAAUUAAAUUUAAAUGUAAAACCAUAAUUCACAAUUCAAUUUCCAUUUCCAUUCUCUUAUAUAAAUACCCAAUCCAAAAAUAAGUAGAUGUGGAACCUAAUGUGAACAACUAAUCCUCAUGAAAAAUAAGGUUAAAGGUCAAUUUAAUUCCAUAAAAAGAGUCUCUCUUGCCAUUUUUUGUGGGUUUGGUAAAAGAUGAAUUGAUUUGAACCAAGCCAAAUAAAAUUGAUUUUUCAAUAUUUUAAAUUUUAUUUGAUCUAUUUAAUAAAAUAAAUAAAUAUUUCAAUCUAAUACAAGAAUGAAUAUAUAUACUGGUAAUUAAACAAUUAAACAAUUUUAUUUGAUUUUUCCUUUAUGUUAGUUUUUAUUUUUAUUUUUAUUUUUAUUUUCUCUUGAACAUAACGCAUUUAGUGGUGAAAAUGGUAAAGAAAGACUGCAAGCACUGAGAUUCAAUUAAUAAUUAUUUAAGUACAAAGACAUGAUAAUGGUAGAAGUUGGGUUUGUCUCUAUAAAUAAUUAUUAUUUUACUUGACAUCUAUUACCACCCAUUCCAAAAAUAAGUUGAUGUAAAAUCUCAUAUGAAAUAUAAAUCCUUGGUGAGAAAUAAGGUAAAUUUCCAUCAAAAGAGUCUCUCAUACAAUUUUUUUCAAGGUUGGAAAAGAUGAAUUGAUUUGGACCAAGACAAAUCAAAUUGAUAUUUUCAAAAUUAUAUAUAUAUAUGUGUGUGUCAAUCAACUAUGACACCUUGCGAGUCAUUCAACAAUAAUCAAUUUUCAAUCAUUUAUAAUUCAUACACCGACUUACAUGUAUAUAUAUAUAUAUAUAUAUAUUUGUUUUCCUUUGUUUUGUUUUUCUCUUGAGCACAAUAUUUAUAAUAUGAUUGGUUAUGUAGAUUUUAUGGCAAAUAAGAAGAUAAAAAAUACAUGUUAUAGUUUUAUUCCUAAUUGAAUAAAUCAAAAACUAAAUUUAAAUAUGUUAGAGCUCCAAGUCCAACCCGAAAUCUUCGCAGUGCGAUAUAUAUAGUGAAGAAAAAAUUAUGGAUUUCUUUUAUGCUUUAUUUAUUUUUUUCUCUCUCCCAUAUAUAUAUAUGGGAUGGUGUAUAGGUUUUUAGGGAUUUGUAUUAUUCUCAUUUUUCCAUAACAAACUAGUAUCAGAGCAAGGUUUGAUUAGUGAGAGGUUUGAUCUUCUCAACAAUGGCAAUGAUGAAAUACAAUAUUCCGCUUUUGGACCGCAACACCAAAUUUUCGUUAUGACAGGUCAAAAUGCAAGUUGUGCUCGCACAAAUUGAUUUGGAUGAUGCACUGUUAGGGUUUGAUAAGAUGCCCUCGUCAUGGACAUAGGAGGAAAAGCAAUGUAAGGAUCAAAAGGCUUUAUCUCAAAUUCAACUUCAUAUGUCAAAUCAAAUUCGACAGGACAUUCUAAAGGUGAAAACUAUCGUUGCAUUAUGGUUAAAUUUGGAGCAAUUAUGCAUGACGAAAAGUCUAACUAGCAAGUUUCAUCUGAAGCAGCAAUUCUAUUCUCAUUGUAUGACAGAAGGUAUGUCUUUAGAAUAUCACUUAACUGUCUUUAAGGAAAAUGUUUAUGAUUUAGAGACCAUGGAGGUUAAGUACGAUGAAGAAGAUUUAGGGUUGAUUUUAUUGUGUUCAUUGUCCUCUCAUAUUCAACUUCUAGAGAUACUAUUUUGUAUAGUCUUGACACCCUUAUCCUGUAAGAAGUUUUUGAUGCUUUAUUUUCUUAGGAGAAAAUGAAGCAACUUGUGGUUGGAUCUGAGGCUCAAGUAGAGGGCCUUGUUAUUCGAGGAAGGACACAAGAAAGAAAUUUUGCUGGUGAUGCAAGGAGCAAAUCGAAAUCUAGAAAUAAAGUCAAAACUUGCAAGUACUGUAAGAAAGAAGGGCACAUCAAGUCUGAAUGUUAUAAGUUGCAGGAUAAGAGUUAUUGCAAAUCAAAAGGGAAAACAACCAGAAAAAUCCGAUGAAGCCAGUGCUAUAGAAGGUAAGUAUAAUGAUGGAGAACUCCUUAUUGUUUCUGAUGGCAACUCCAAACCUUGUGAGGAUCGGAUUCUUGAUUCAAGUUGUAUGUUUCAUGUGUCCUAAUCGGGACUGGUUUUCAACAUAUGAAAUAGUGUUCAAAGGUGUUGUAUUGAAGGGAAAUAAUGCAUCUUGUAAGAUAGCUAGUAAUGGAACAGUCAGAAUCAAAAUAUUUGAUGGGGUUGUCAAGACACUUGGUAAUGUGAGACAUGUUCCAGAUCUAAAGAGAAACCUUAUCUUGUUGAGUACUCUUGAUUCAAAAGGGUACAAGUACACUGGUGAAAAUGGAGUCCUAAAGGUUAGCAAAGGUGUUCUUGUAGUGAUGAAAGGCAGAAAAGGUCUACUUGUAGGGAUCCAAAAUUACAGGUGAUGUUACUAAACUUUGGCAUGUGCAUCUUGGGCAUAUGAGUGAGAAUGGGAUGAUUGAAUUGAGUAGAAGAGGACUUUUUAAUGGUCAAAAUAUUAGUAAACUGAAUGUAGACCCUCCAUUUUGUCCCUUUAGCACAUGUCUUUAAGUUCACUUCCAAUGCUCCACAAUAGUUCCCUGGUGACCCAUUACUACUCAUAUAACUUAUCUCUUUUUGAGCCACCUCGGAGACUCUGGUUUAGGGAUUUAUCUAACCCCUUAUUGUGACCCUUGCAAGUCUUGAGUUAGACCUAGGAUUUUUCUUUCUUUUUUGGACAGCUCAUUUAGAUACACUUUUAGGAUAGCAUAUCUAGGCACACUAGGCCCAUUUAGAUGUACUUGGCCCACUUAGGCCCACCUAGGCUCACCUAAGCCCAUUUUGGCACACCUUAGCCCACUUAAGUUUACCCAAUCUUGCUUAGGUCACCUUUUUGGUACAUCUUGCAUGUCUCACGUGGCUUGUAUGACUUGCAUGGCUCGUUGUUGUAAAAUUGCAUGACUUGACUUUUUAUUAUUAUAUUUUUGUUUAUUUUAUUUAUUAUCUUGUCUGUUUCCUCCUUUAUUUUAUUUUCCUAUUAUUUUGUCACUUUUUCGUAAUACUAGUCCUUAUUUAUUUUUAUUUAAUAAUUUUGUUUGGAUGUUUUUUUUAAUACUAUUAUUAUUAUUAUUAUUAUUAUUAUUAUUAUUAUUAUUAUUACUUUUACUCAUUUUCAUCAUUAUUAUUAUUAUUUUAUUUAAUCUAUUAACUUUGAAAUUUUGUAGGGAAGGUGUGCACGGUCACAUUGAGAUUGAUAUUUUGGAAGAUGGGAUUUCCUUGGAUGCAUGGUCAUUGGACAUGGGAUAGAUACCAUAUUGAGAUCAAAAAGUAGGUGUGGACAUUUUGGGAGAGUUUAAGGGAUAGACAAUUUAAAAAAAAAAAUUGGAAAAAGAAAGAUGAAUAUUGAGGCAUUCUUAGGACAUGAAGACACAACUUGAGAGGAGAUGAAGAAUCACGGCUUUGAGAGGGCUCUUUAGGAAAAAUCCAUGCCUGUAUGCACUUUUCUUUGUUUUUUUUUUGGAUAUAGAUAGGAGGAUUUGAAGCAGAGUGGACUUUGGAUGGAAGGUUGGAAAGAGGAAUCUUGUUUUGGGAAGAGUCCUCAUUAAGGGAGGUAAGAUCAUGGCUUUAAGGAGUCCGGGCUGUAUAUAGAAAGUGGGGCAGAUCAUGGCUGAAGGUAAGAGAAAAAGGAGGUUUUUAUUUUUUUAUUUUUUUAAAAUGGGUAGAUCAUGGCUGAAGGUAAGAGAAAAAGGAUUCUCUUUAUCCAAAUAAAAAGGGAGACUCACAGAUGGGAGAAAGGGGGCGGGAGAGCAGCACACAACCAGCAGGCAUUCUGGACACACUCCAUGGAGAUUGGGGAGCAGAUUCUUUCACAAGAAAAAUCAUAGAGGCACCAUCAAUUUUUUUAAGGCUCCACACGCAUAUUGGGAACAAUCAGCUCUUUUGGAGAUGAAUACAGAUCAGAUUUCUUGCAAAUGAGGGCAAUAGAUUUUCUAGAAGGUGCUGAUGGUGUACACGGCUUGGUUAUGAAAAACCUCGGAUUUUAGGAGUUGCAUGAGUGAACGGUUUGUUGAUGAAGACCAUUAAGUUUUUUGGAGGUAGUGGUGCACGGUUGCAUGUGAAUGACGAGCAUCUAAACGCUCUAGAUGAAAGUUGAUGCUUAAUUGACGAGUACACGGUUUGGGAAUAGAGUGAUGAUUUUUUUUUUUUUUUUUUGUGGAGCACGAUGUGGACAAUAGGAUAUAGAGAAACAACAUCUUGAUUUUUUUUUGGGGACUCCUGCACAAAAGAGGGCUACCACUUUGAGAAUAUAGCAAGCAAAAAUCAUAAUUUUUUCUUUUUUUGAGGGAAAGAAAGCCGCCAACAGGAUCAUGCACAAGUAGCCUACACAUUCCAUAGGGAACCACAUGCGGCUGCCAUCCAUUGAAAAGAAGCACACGCAUCUAUUCAUCAGUAAAGAUUCAACCUGCAUGCAUGGAGAGGCCAUGCCACUUGAUAGGAAUUCUCCACCAAAGAGAUACCCAGCCUGCAGCAUCUUCGGGGUAGCCUACAAGCACUUUUGGAGGACACAGAAUCCACUUUGAGAGAAACAAACAUCUCAUGCUGCCACUUUGGAUGGACACUUGAAAUUCAAGCGCCACAUAUGAGGGGCCAUGGUCGCACUUGAAAAAUCAGGAGGUGGCACCCACUUUGAGGCAUCUCUGGCACGCACCAUAUUUUGAAAAGCAAGACGGGGCGCUAUUCGGAGAGAAUUCUCCACAUGCACAGCCAUGCACAUACAUGGGCUGGAAUCCGUGAAAGACUUCACGCCACUCUCCAAAGAUGCCAAUACGCUGCAAGGAGGACACCACACAGCCAUUUAGAGUACUCUCCAACAGAAACAAGGAGCAGCAGCCUGCGCCAUGAGGGGGAACCACAUGCCGCCAUGAGGAUGCUUCUCCUCAUGCCAGGGCUGCAUGAGUGGACACUCACAGUCCUCUUUUAGGAAAAAUCCUCCAAAGCACUCACCAUUCACUCAUUCUCAAGGGCAGUCACACCAUGCUCCUCUUUCUUUGUUUUGUUAAACGAUUCUAGUUUCCUUCAAAUUUCAUCCUUGAGAGUUUCUAGAUUCAUCAAAAUUCGGAUAUCAAGAAACUUUUUGCUGUCAUUUUCCACAUGGCAUGCAUUCUCACUAUUUUAUUUGAUUUUCAACUAUUUUCUUGUUUUUAUUGAUUUUCAACAACCAUGAACAAACUUCAUGAUGCCAAAUAAUGGAAUUCAUUGAACCAACUCAUGCAAAAGCAAUUGGGGAAUUGGUGGAACCCCUACAUAAAAUCAUUUUUUUUAACACUCUUCCUUGCUGCCAAUUUUCACUCAACCAUUGACCCUUUAGUUUUAAAAUUCGUUUCAGCAACUUUAGAAUACUUCAAAAAAAAAUUUCAAAAUAGCAUGAUUUUCCUCACUUCUUGAAUUUUAAUUUAGAAUUUCGUUUGAGUUAGAAAACAAUUCUAGAAUAGAAGAUAUAAAUGAGUUUUUAGGAGGGCUUUGUUUUCACCUAGUUCUGGACACCCGAAAUAUUUUUAUAAACAUAAAAUAACAGAUGAAUUUUUAAAUUUAAUUAGAUAUUUUUUUAUUAAUUGUAGACUUCUUUAAAUUGAUCUUAGACAUAAAAAAUAUUAAAAAAUAUGUUUUUUUGAGGGAGAUAUGAUUUUUCAAAUUCGUACCUACUGUACAUGAUGGAAUCUGGACAUCUGAUGAGUUGGAGUGUUUUAAAAAUAUUUUUGAGUACUACUCGACCCUGGAUUUAUUUUUCCUAUAAUAUAGAAUUUUUGAAUGAUGUGUGUGAUUUUUUGUACAAUUUUAUGUGAUCUUUUAUUAUUUUUAAAAAAAUUUCUUAUGCAUGUCACUAUUUUUUUACCUAAUCUGGAUCUUUUGGAACUUUUGGGUGUCUUUGCUGCAAUUUUUCAUUAGAAUGAGUGUUUGGAUUUUGGUAUCUUGUUCUAGAUGUGUAGGAGUUGCUUCUUGAAUUUUUUUUGUAAUUGAAUCCCACUCCAAGACAUUUUUUUCAGAAAUUGUUUUGUGAGGCUCCCUUUUCUAAUUGCAUGUUGAUGAUCUUAUGCUUUGCUUGAAUUUAUUAUUUAUUUUUGGGGUCAUUUGACUUAUCUUGACUCAAUUUUGGCUUUGGUACUGUAUAUUAUACAUAAUAAAGAUGUUAUAUAAUUUAUACUUGUCCUAACCACUUUAGCAUUUUUGGAGAAAUUUUAUAAAUUAUGCAUGUUAUCCAAGUACGCUCUCUAUCACUUACUUUUCGGAAUUUUAUGAACAUACAUGUUGUUGUGAACCAUAUCUUUGUUCGAUGUAAUCGUUGGGUGCCUAGAUGUCUAUUCGAUUUGCUUUGAUUAAAAACAUGUCGCGUGCUAUAUUUCUAUGCUAACUUUAAUGUCUUAUGAUAGCGCUUGAGAAUCAGUCCCGGUACACAUUCUAAGAUUUCUUUGCGAUUGUGAUUUGAUUUCUUUUUUGGCAUGCUAGUUCUAAAAUCACCUUAGCCUACUUAGGUACCUUCAAUCAAUUGAUUAAUUGCCACUUUUCCCUUGACUUAGUCAUUAGGGACCUCUUUAGGGCUUAGAGGGGUCCUACUUCUUAGAGGUACAUUCCUAAUAGGUAACUCGAUCCCCAGACCAAGACUCGAGUUUUUCAAGACUUGUUUUUCCAAAACUAUGAAGUCACUUCUUUAGGGUUUUCUUUCUUGUUUUAUUUUCCAUUUUAAAAUAAAAUAAAAUAAGUGGCAACUCCAACUUUUCCAAAACUAAUUUUUCACAAAAAAAAAGUCUUUCCAUUGAGUGGUGUUAGUGUCUCAUUUUCCCAUUUAUACGCGUUACAAAAUCAGCAUCCCACUAUAUGCAGGUUGCCUCUAUGGUAAGUUCACAUAUUCCCACAUGCAACCCAUGAUUUUCUACCAAAAAUUGCCAUGAAAAAGUCUUCACAUGCAUCUCAUGCCUCCAUAGCUUGCAGCCGUGAACCUACAUUUUGUUUACUCGCAUUUUUCACGUGCGUCCCCACUCAAUGGCAAGACUAUGUUUUUUUUUUUUUGAAAAAUUAGUUUUGGAAAAGUUGGAGUCGCCACUUAUUUUAUUUUUAUUUUAAAAUGGAAAAUAAAACAAGAAAGAAAACCCUAAAGAAGUGAUUCCAUAGUUUUGGAAAAGCAAGUCUUGAAAAACCCGAGUCUUGGUCCGAGGAUCAGGUUACCUAUUGGGAAGGUACCUCUAAUAGGUAGCAUCCCUCUAAGCCUUAAAGAGGUCCCUAAUGACUAAGUCGAGGGAAAAGUGGCAAUUAAUCAAUGGAUUGAAGGUACCUAGGUAGGCUAAGGUGAUUUCAGAACUAGCAUGCCAAAAAAGAAAUCAAAUUAAAAUUGCAAAGGAAGGUUAGAAUGUGUACUUGGACUACUUCUCAAACGCUAUCAUAAGACAUUAAAGUUAGCAUAGAAAUAUAGCACACGACAUGUAUUUAAUAGAGCAAAUCAAACAGACAUAUAGGCACUUAAGGAUUACAUCAAACAUAGAUAUGGUUCUCAACAACAUGUAUGUUCAUAAAAUUCCGAAAAGUAAGUGAUAGAGAGCGUACUUGGAUAGCAUGCAUAAUUUAUAAGAUUCCUCCAAAAAUGCUAUAGUGGUUAGAACAAGUAUAAAUUUUAUAACAUAUUCAUUAUGUCUAAUAUACAGUACCAAAGCCAAAAUUGAGUCAAGGUAAGUCAAAUGACUCUAAAAAUAAAUAACCAAUUCAAGCAAUGUACAAGAUCAUCAUCAUGCAAUUAGAAAAUGGUGCAUCACAAAAUAAUUUCUAAAAAAAAAACAUAUCUUGGAGUUGAAUUUAAUUACAAAAAAUCUCAGGAAACAACUUCUACACGUCUAGAAUAAGAUACCAAAAGUCAAACACUCAUUCGAAUGAGAAAUUGCAGACACCCAAAUGUUCCAAAAGGUUCAGAUUAAGUAAAAAAAUAGUGACAUGCAUAAAUGAUUUUUUUUUAAAAUAAUAAGCGUUCACAAAAAAAUCAUACGAAAAAUCACACACAUCUUUCAAAGUCUAUAUCACAUAAAAAAUGAAUCCAGGGUUGGGUAGUACUAAAAAAUAUUUUUAAAACGUUCAAGCUAAUCAGAUGUCCAGAUUCCAUCAUGUAUAGUAGAUACGACUUUGAAAAAUCAUAUCUCCCUCAAAAAAGCAUAUUUUUUAAUAUUUUAUAUCUCUAAGAUCAAUUUUAAGAAGUCUAAAAUUAAGAAAAAAAUAUUAAAUCAAAUUUUAAAAAAGUUAUUUGUUAUUUUAUUUUGACAAAAAGAUUUCGAGUGUCCAGAACUAGGUGAAAAUAGAGCCCCCUUAAAAACUCAUUUAUAUCUUCUAUUCCAUAAUGGCUUUCUAACUCAAACAAAAUUUUAAAUUCGAGUUCAAGAAGUGAGGGAAAUCACACAAUUUUUGGAAAUUUUUCUAAGAUGUUCUGAAGUUAUUAAAAUGAAUUUUAAAACUAAAUGCAUGGGUUGGUGAUUGAAUGAAAACUAAUAACAAUGAAGAGUUUUGAAAAAAUGAUUUUAUGUAAGGGUUCCACUAAUUCCUCAUUUGAUUUACACAAAUCUAGUCUAGAAUUAUCCCAUUUGUUUGGGACCACAAGCUUGGAUUCAUGUCUUACUGAAAACCAUAAUUUUUAUUGAAAGCUGAGAAAAAUGCGAACCGAUCAAGACAUGGUUGCAUAUUAUUUAAGAAAAUGAGAUUUUGAUUCUAAGGACUCUAAAUGAAUUUUUUUUAAAUAGAUUUUCAAAGGGAUCUUUUGAGAAGAGUAUUUUAUUUUAAAAUAAAAGAAAUUAAUUUGAAAACAACAAAAAUAAGACACAAAAUACCUAACAAAACAAAAGAAAACAAAAUGACAAAGUAAAAUUUUUGACAACCAAGCUAACUAAAGUGGUGAGAAUGGAGCCAACCUUCAUGAGUUUUUGAUGGCUUCUGAAAAGUAAAUUUGACAAGGGACUACCAAAGAAAUAAACCAUUAAAACUUAGAUCAUACAAGUUAAUGAAAAUAUCCACUAAGAAUUAAAAACUAGGAUUCAAGAAACACAUAAAUCGAGAAUAACAAAUCAAGAACUAACAUAUGAUUAACUAAACACACAAACACAUCUAGACUUAAAAAAUAAAUUAAAAUUGAACUAAAUUAGGAUUAAAAACAUGGACUUUAUCUGACAUGAUUAAAUAAACUAUUGGAUUAAAAUCACCAACACAUCUAAACUAAAGAAUAAAUUAAGACUAAACUAAUUGGAAUUAAAAACAUGAACUUUAUCUAACAUGAUUAUUUAAACUAAUGAAUUAAAAUCACUAACACACUUAAACUGAAAGAUAGAUUAAAACUAAACUAAUUCAGAAUUAAAAAAGCAUAAACUUUAUUUUAUAUGAUCAAUUAAAAAACACACGAAUUGAAAUUGGACCAAACAAGAAUCAGAGUUAACAUACUUAAAAAGUGAAUAAAACAACUUUGGGUCAACUAGACUAACUUACACACCAAGAGAGGAUUUUAUGAGAAACACGCACAACAUAUUUCAGGAUUGCAUCCAUAGGCAACUCCUUUCAGCAACACACACGGGAAGGUGGGAGUAUCCAUUGGAUUUAAAAUGGGCAUCACCUUUUUUGAAGGGGCUUCAAGGCGGCUACAAUGGAAAGGCUUUCUCUCAACCACGGACAACCUACACGCAUUCACCAUUGAAGAGGGCAUCAACCGCACCACCAUAGAGGAAUUCUAGAGAAGGUAAGUUAGAAUUUCUAGAUUUUAGUUUUAAUUUUUUUAUUAGAUUGAAAGUUAGAGUUUUUCUUAUUAGUUUUGAUUCAUAAAUAUUGGAAUGAAGGUUAGGUUAUUUGAUAACUUUAAUUCUUAAUUAAUACAAUUUUCAUUUUGUAUUUCAUCUUUUUAGAAAUUUUACCUUGUACUUUGUGGAGAUUCUAUAUAUAAAUAUGGAAAGUACAGGUUGUCAAUAUUAUUAUUUCUCUUUCCACCUGGUGUUAGUGCCUCCUUUUCCCAUAUAUACAUGUUGCAAAAUCAACAUCCCACUAUAUGCGAGUUGCCUCUAUGGUAAGUUCACAUAUUCCCACAUGCAACCCGUGAUUUUCUACCAAAAAUUGCCAUGAAAAAGUCUUCACAUGCAUCCACUUGCAGCCGUGUAUGGUUGCCUUCUGAAGACAAGUUGGUCUGCUUUGCUUCACUAAAAUUCAGCAUGCACCAAGUCUCUAUGCAAAGAUGAGUUGGCUGCAACCCUCCCAAAAUUUCUCCAUUAACGGAUCCCAAGUAUCUCCACCAAAAUCAUGCAAAGAUAAAUACAAAAAAUAAAAAUUAGAAAUCAUGUAAUAAUAUAAAAAAAAUAAAAUAAAUCUCAAAUAAUGCAAUGAGAGGGAAACAAAAGAAAAAAAAAAAAAAAAGAUCAAUCACAUGCGUUAAAAAUGUGUAUAUAUAUAUAUAUAUAUAUAUAUAUAUAUUAUUCCAUGUAACUUAAAAAAAUUAGAAUCAUAAUCUCAAGCAAUUUCCUAAUAAAUAAAUAAAUAAAUAACCUAACAAAAAAUAAGGAAAUAAAUGAAUAAAUAAAUAUCACAUGGGCAAUUAAAAUUUGAAAAUAAAAAUAAUGCAAUAGAAAAUAAUGAAAAACGAAUGCAAUCAAGAAUCGAAAUAGAGUCCAAUGCUCACCUAACCCUAAAAUCGGGCAAUCAAACUCACAUAAUUAAGUAUCAAAAGACCAUCUCAUGCAAUCAAAAGUAAAAAACAAGCCAAUACUCAUCGAAACCUAAAGAACCAAGCAAUCAAGAAAUCAAACCUAAACAAGUGUCCAAAUGACCUAUUUUGAAAAAAGUGCCUAAGUGACCUAGGGUGAAUGUGUGCAAGUUGGAAGGUGCUUAGGAUGUUUAGGACAAUGUCUAAGUGACUUAAACAUGCCUAAGUGUGCUAUCCUAAAAGUGCACCUAAAAGCUAUCUUAAAAAUGAAGGAAAAGCUUAAGUCUAAAUUAGGGCUGCUAAGAGUCACAAUGGGGUUAGAUAAAUCCUUCAACCAAAGUCUCCAAGGUGGCUAAAAAAAAGGUAAGUAGUAUGAGUAGAAAUGGGCCAUCAAGGAACUACUAUGGAGCAUUGGAAGUAAGGCAUGUGCUAAAUGGAAAAAAUGGAGGGUCUACACUGAAGUUCUGUGAGCAUUGCGUUUUUGAGAAGCAAAGGAGAAUCAAAUUCACAAAAGGCUUCACAACACAAAGGGGACACUUGAUUAUAUACAUUUUGAUCUCUGGGGACCAUCUAGGGUACCGUCUAAGGGAGGUGCUAGUUAUAUGUUAACUAUCAUUGAUGAUUUUUCUAGGAAAGUUUAGGUGUUCUUCUUGAAGCAAAAGAGUGAUAUGCUAGCUACAUUCAAGGAGUGGAAGAUUAUGGUUGAGAAACAGACAAGAAAGCAAGUAAAACAUCUCCACACUGGUAAUGGCUUGGAGUUUUGUUCUGAUGAGUUUAAUGCUCUAUGUAAGUCAAAAGGAAUUGUGAGACAUCAUAUAGUUUGUCAUACUCCACAAAAAAAUGGUGUGGCGGAGCAAAUGAAUAAGACUUUGAUGGAGAAAGUGCAUUAUAUGCUCUCCAAUGUUGGUUUACUUAAGUCUUUUUGGGUUAAAGCUACCUCUAUAGCUUGUUUCCUCACUAAUUGAUCUCCCUCAACUACUAUUGACAAAAGAACUCCACGAGAGGUAUGGUCUGGUACUCCUACUAGUUACUAUAAUUUGAAGAUAUUUGGAUGUCCUACCCAUGGUCAUGUUGAUAAUGGAAAUUUGGAACCUAGAUCUAUAAAGUAUGUUUUCCUUGGCUAUAAGUCUAGUGUUAAAGGAUAUAAGCUAUGGUGUCUAGAAACCAAGAAAGUCAUAUAUAGUCAGUAGAGAUAUUAUUUUUUAUGAAACUGUUAUGCUUCAUGACUCAUCUUUUAGAGAUUCUUGUGAUAAAGAGCAAUAGAAAUCAAGCACACAGGUAGAGUUUGAGUUUGGGUUAGGAUUCAUACCUGAGUCUACAUCUCAGUUUAGUUUUGAGAUGAAGAGUGGUGUUGCUACUCCCUCACCACCACCUGCACCACCACAGUAUUCUAUUGCUAAAGACAAGCUUAGAAGAGAUAUUAAACCUCCACAGAGGUAUGCUGAGGCUGAUUUGGUUACUUAUGCCUUAAAUGUGGCUAAAGGUAUUGAUUCCAAUGCAGAACCUUCUACUUACUCAAAGGCAGUUAAUUGUGAUGAUUCUAGCAAAUGGAUGAUUGUCAUGUAGGAGGAGAUGGAGUCAUUUCAUAAGAAUGACGCAUGGGACUUAGUGAGACUACCUAAAGGUAAAAAGUAUAUUCAUUGCAAAUGGGUGUUCAAGAGGAAAGAAAAAAUACCAGGAGUUGAAGAAACCAGGUAUAAGGCAAGAUUAGUUGCAAAGGGCUAUAGUCAUAUUACAUGUAUAGACUUCACUGAUGUGUUUUCUCCAGUUGUAAAGUAUAGUUUGAUUUGAGCUUUGUUUGGUAUUGUGACCAUGCAGGAUUUUGAACUUGAGAAAUUGGAUGUGAAGACAACAUUCUUACAUGAAGAACUUGAAGAGGGCAUCUACAUGCAACAACCUAAGUAUUUUAUAGUUUCAGGAAAGGAGGACUAUGUGUGUUUGUUGAAAAAGUCUCUCUAUGGCCUGAAAUAGUCACCCAGAUAGUGGUAGAAGAGGUUUGACUCAUUCAUGAAAACUCAUGAUUUUAAAAGAAGUAAUUAUGACAGUUGUGUCUACUUUAAAUGGAGAUCUGAGAGACAGAAAGGUAGGUAAAUUAUACCUAAGUUAAAAAGGGUAAUUGAGAAAGUUCUUUAUAGGUUCAAUAUGCAAAAUGCUAAACCUGUUAGUACUUUAUUAGCGGCUCAUUUUAGACUUUCAUCUGUUUUAUAUUUGCAAUCAAAUGAUGACAUUAAUUAUAUGUCACUGUGGACCCGCAUUUUUCACGUGCGGACUCGAUUGGCGAGACUCUCUUUUAUUUGUGAAAAAAAAAAUAUUUAGUUUUGGAAAAGUUGGAGUCGCCACUUAUUUUAUUUUAUUUUUUAAAAGGGAAAAUAAAACAAGAAAUAAAACCCUAAAAAAUGACUCCAUAAUUUUUGAAAAAGCGUGUCUUUGAAAAACCCGAGUCUAAGUCCGAGGAUCAGGUUACUUAUUGGGAAGGUACCUUUAAAAGGUAGCACCUCUCUAAGCCCUACAAAGGUCUCUACUGACAAAAUUAAGGGAAGUGUGGCAAUUAAUCAGCUAAUUAUAGAUAACUAAAUAGGCUAGGUGAUUUUAAAGAGUGGCAUGCCAAACACAAUCAAAUUGCAAAAAAAGGAGUGUUAGGGUGUGUACCUGAACUGCUCUUCAAGCGCUAUCAUAAAACAUAAAAGUUAGUGUAGAAAUGUAGCACACAACAUUUGUUUUAUUCAAGCAAAUCAGGCAUAUAUCAAGACAUCCAAGAAUCACGUCAAAUAUGGAUAUGGUCAUCAAUGGCAUACAAGUCCAUAGAGUUCUAAAAAAUAGAUGAGAAGAGAGCAUACCUGGAUAGCAAGCUAGUACUCGUCUAUGGGAAUCAAGAGCAUCUCAACAAGAAAUGCGAAACAAAUUCAUGUAUAUCAUCAAGAAGAAUCAAAAAUCAACAUAUCAAGCAAACAAUAUUGAAAAAGGUAUCAUGAAUGUUGGGCCCCCACCAAAGCCCUAAUUAAUUUCGCAUGAGUUGAUUCCAUAAAUUCCAUGACUUGGAAUUAUGGAGUUUGUUCAUGCUUGAGAAAAUUGAAAAAAAUCAAGAAAAUCGGUUGAAAAUCAAAUAAAAUAGUGAAAAUGCAUGUUGGAAGGAAAAUGGCAGCAAGAGUAUGUUAGAAUAUGGAUUUUAUACCUAGAAAGGAUCUAAGAUGAAUUUUUCAAAGCCAGGAAUGUUUAGUUGAACAAUGGUUCAAGAAUUCAAUUUAAAACAAUAAGUUCCCAAUCAAAGAAGCAAAUAGAGGAGAAUGUGUGUAUAGCAAGGCUGCCAUGAAGUGAAGCCAGGAAAUUCUGGAUAGAAGGGACCAAUUCACUGCAAGAGUGUUCAAUUGUCAAAUGCUUCAACUUAAAAGACAUCUUGAUUUGUAAGCUCAAUUGGAUUCUCCUCAACAGAAGUCAAAUACUGAAUUGAAGAUUCAGAAUUUCCAAUUUUCUGCAUUGUUGUAUUUCUUGCAUUUUGUGUUAUUUCCCCACCACCGAGACUUGGUUCAGUAGUAUUGUCGGAGUUUGCUUUUUGAUUGUGGGCGGAAAUGGAUCCGGCGAAUCGCGAGUAUCUGGCGAGCCAAGCUAUCCAGGUGGAGUGUGAAUCGUUGGCCACAGAUGCUAUCCGGAUAAGCGUUAUCGAAGGAUCCGGACAUGUCUGCCCGGGGAAGUUGAAUUGUCCUCCUAUCCCAUCCGGCGGCGGGAGCCAGAUGUGAAAUAUCCAGAGAAGGUGGAACGUCAGCCGGAUAGAAUUGCAGCUGUGAGAUAUUCGGAGAGAGUGGGAUGUCAGCCGGAUAGAAUUGCGGCUGUGAGACAUCCGGAGAAAAUGUGAUGUCGGCCGGAUAGAAUUGCAGCUGUGAGACAUCUGGAGAAAGUGGGAUGUUGGCCAGAUAGAAUUGCGGCUGUGAGACAUUUGGAGAGAGAGAGAUGUCGGCCGGAUAGAAUUGCGGUUGUGAGACAUCCGGAGAGAGUGGGAUGUCAGCCGGAUAGAAUUGCGGCUGUGAGACAUCCGGGUAGAAUUAGUGAGAAUUUCCGUCCGGGUGGAAUGAGCAAUGCCAUAAACUAAGAACCCUUAAGAACUAUGGUAACCUCUGCAUUUGUUUAACUCCAAGAAAACCCGUUUUACACAGCCUUUAUCAAGUUCCCAACUUUCUCGGAAUGCUCAUGGUCUCCAUAUCCGAGAAUACCAAGGUAAAGAAAGGGAGGAAACGUAGAUACAGAAGCACGCAAAAAGACCAAGAAAGAAAAGAAAAGAAAAUAGGGGAAAAAAAGACAAUCGAUGGGUAUUUUAAAGCCAGAUUGGGACAUAAAUGGGGGCAAGACCCAUAGCAUCAAAUUCAAAGGUAAACUUAUAUUCACAUUGCUUUCGGAUGGAACCAAAGACAUUAAAAGGAAUAUUAAAAUAACAUAAACAUGCAAGAAAACCAGUCUCAACUAAUCAAAUUAUGGCCCUUGCGUCCACACCAAACGACAAGAAUGAAUCUUUAGAAAACUAAGAAGUCGGGAAAGAUUGAAACUAAAUGGUGAUAUAGCAAAAAUCUGGAAACAUACCUGCACGUUCUCCUCUCCAAUUGCUUGGUUCUAGGCUGCUGCACCUUUUCCCGACUGAGAAAUCUGCUCCCCAAACCUUUUUCCGUCCACCAAUCUUCUCCUUCUCUAUACGUAUUCCAAGUCCCUCUCUUCUAUACCUCAUUUAAGACGAUCCUCUCAUGCACACCUCCUCUUCUUUUCCCUUUCCCCUUAUAUUUGUAUCAGCCUCUCAAACCAAAUAUGCUAAAGAAAAUCCACUUUCCUUUAUUCUAUAUCCUUUCCUUUUUUGAAAAUCAGAAUGCUCCUUUAGGAUCUCUUAUUUCCAUAUGUAUGCAACCACAUUAAUUCCUUUUUCCUUCACAAAAUAUUUUUCUUACCUUUUUGAGUGCACAUACCUUAGUGAGAUUUGAAUAGUAGCCUCCAUUCUCUUGCCAAACAAUAAGAAAAAAAAAACGAAAAUAAAGAGAAUAAAAAAUAAAAAAAAGUUAGCAAUCUUACAACCUAUCAAAGAUUAAAAUAAAAAAAAUAAAUAAAGUAAAACAUAAUAAAAUGAAAUGAAAUAAAAUAGUCAAUCCCAUGUGGGCCAUGCAAGUCAUACAAGUCACGCUAAAAAAAAGUCUUAAUGGGCCAAGUGCGUCUAAAAGGGCUUAGGUGAACCUAAAUGAGCCUAAGGUUGGGAUAAGGGUGCCUAAAUGGACCUAGGGUGUCUAAAUGGGCCAAGUAGACUACCCUAAAAGCUAUCCUAAAAAUGAAUGAAAAAUCUAAGUCUAGAAUAGGGCUGCUAAGGGUCACAAUAAGGGGUCAGAUAAUCCCUCAACCAAAGUCUCUGAGGUGACUCAGAAAAGGGUAAGUUAUACGAGUAAUAAUGGGCCACUAAGGAGUUACUGUGGAACACUGAAAACAAAUUUAAAGACAUGUGCUAAAGGGACAAAAUUGAGGGUCUACAAAUAUGCCCUUCUUCAGUAUAGAUCACGAGUGUAGAGAAUGUGAGUAGAAACGCGAGUAAUGAGCGAAAUGAAGUGAACUAUAUCGAAGAAUUAAAGAAGGACCAGAGAUUUUGUCCUAGCACAUGAAGAGGUAAGGUCAAAAGAUGGGGUCUCAACGAUAUGGAUGGGACAACUCUAUGUGGAGAGGGAAUGGCAAUAAAGAGAGAAAGGUAUGUGACGAGUAGCACAAGGAUGGAAAGAGGUGAAAAGGAUGACGAGUCAUGGAUGAGAUGAAUGAAUAUGGGUCAAGGACAAGAUGAACGACUCUGGGUCUAAAAUAGGAUAAACGACUCUGGGCCGUGAGCUCAGGGCUCUAAAUGGAUAGAAAUGACUCUAGGUCUAAAAUAAGAAGAAUGACUCUGGGUCAAAAAUGGAAAACGACUCUAGGUCGAGAGUUCCGAGCUCUAGAUGAAAAAGAAAUGACUCUGGGUCAUAAAUAGAAAACGACUCUGGGUCGGGAUUUUUGGGCUCUAAAUGAAAAAGAGAUGACUCGGGGUCAUAAAUGGAAAACGACUCUGGGUCGAGAGCUCUGGGCUCCAAAUGGGAAAGAAUGAGUCUGGGUCAAAAUGGGAAAAAUGACUCUGGGUCGAGAGCUCUGGGCUUUAGAUGAAAAAGAAAUGACUCUGGGUCAUAAAUGGAAAACGACUCUAGGUCGAGAGCUCUGGGCUCUAAACGAAAAAGAGAUGACUCGAGGUCAUAAAUGGAAAAUGACUUUGGGUUGAGAGCUCUAGGCUCCAAAUGGGAAAGAAUGACUCUGGGUCAAAAUGGGAAAAAUGACUCUAGGUCGAGAGCUCUAGGCUCUAAAUAGAUAGCCGAUCAGGAUACUUUCUGACUCAAGGUGCCAAGUCGAGGCCACUCACAAGUGGCUAGAAUGAUGAAAACGAAACAUCUCAGGGAUGUGAAUGAUGCAAAUGACUCUGGGUCGUGAGCUCAGGGCUCGGGGUGCUAUGAAUGACUCUGGGUCAUGAUGCAAUGAGUAAUUCGGGGUACGAUGAAUAGCUCAAGACUACGGAUGGUAUGAAUGACUCUAGGUCAUGAUGCAAUGAGUAACUCAGGGUUACGAUGAAUAGCUCAGGGCUAUGAGCUUCGAGCUCUAUGACUGAUCGGCUAGAAGGAGAAUGCAAUACGCAAACUCUAGGUCGAACCACUCAUGGGCGACCAAAUGAUGAAAGCUCAGCUAAGAGCUGGAAAGACUCUGGGUCUAUAGGAAAUGAUAGCUUAGGGCUACCAAGCUCAGGGCAUAAGGGAAAAAGGAUAGCUCAGGGCUAUAAGACUCAGGGUCUAUAAGGAACAGAUAGCUCAGGGCUAUGAGGCUCAAGGCCUAAAAAAAAAGGAUAGCUCAGCGCUACUAGGCUCAGGACCUAGAAGGGAAUAAUAGAGAAGACCAACUUGAAAGUGGACAUGAAAUAAAUUGGCUCAAAGCCAUAUACUCAAAAUGACAGGGGUCGGACUACUGAAACCAAGAAGAGAAAUAUGCCCCAGUAUCCAGGGUGCUCACACUACUGAAACAACCAGUUAAUCAAUCAUCUGCUAGAAUCAAUGGGUCAAGAACCAAUACAUCAUGACAAACCUCUAAGAAGUCAAAACUGAAGGAGGCCUCUGUGUCUAAAAAACUGCUAUGUCGACGAAUCUCAAAGUGUGUAUAUCGUGGCUCAUCUAAAAGCAAAUCUCAAAGUGCACAAAAUGGUGCUCAUCUGGAUAACCCAAUCGACAAGAUAACAAUGAUGAUCGAAAACAAAUCCAUCAUGAACAUCUAGAUAAAGGAUCCACCCAUGCUCCUCAGGUGAAAUCUGACGUGAUCCAUCUCUAUCUCAAUAAAUCCAUAUAGGGGGGUCCUGAUACAGUCAAUCAUCGAAAGCUCUGAGCUAGUACUCAAUCUGAAACCAAGCUGGUCAUUGUCUCAAUCUCAAGGAUACUCAAAGAAAAUGGGGAAAUAUGUCCCAGUAUAAGAUCUGAUGUCAAAGUCGUGAGGUGAACAACAAACAAUAAUCAUCCAUCCUCGUACCACUGCCCAAACACAAUCUCAUCGAGGAGAGGGGAAUAUGCCCCAGUGUGGAUAAUCUAAUGUUGAAGUCGUGAGAUAAACAACCAACAAUGAUCAUCCAUCUAUGCACGAUCUCAUCAAGGAGAGGGGAAUAUGCCCCAGUAUGGAUAUCCGGUGUCAAAAUCAUGAGAUAAACAACAAACAAUGAUCAUCCAUCCUCGUACCACUGCCUAAACACAAUCUCAUUAAGGAGAGGGGAAUAUGCCCCGGUGUGGAUAUCUGAUGUACAAUAAAGAGUCUGUCAAAAUCAACCAAACAUCUCUAUAACCAUGAAUAAGGAUAGUCAUACCGCACAAUAACAGAUAGGAAUCUCGGGGGAAGGGGGAAUAUGCCCCAAUGUGAAUAUAUAAUGCACAACCAAAGAAUGAAUCCAACAUCAUCAAUCAACUAUCCUCAGCUCAACAAUAAUUCGCUAAGAAGUCAGAAUGAAGUAUCGACCAAUGCCUCAAAGGAGACACUCUAAAUCUAAUCUCAAAUGAAUAGCCAAAAUGAUGAGGAACGUGAUAAUCUCAAGAGUAGAAACAUGUCUCUGAUGAAUCCCUAACUAAAUCUGAUAGGAAUCUGGUAACCUCAAAAUGAGGAAAUAUGCCCCAGUAUGCCGGAUCUAUACACUGCACUGAAAACUGCCUCCAACUCAGUACUAAUCCACUAGUCUAUCUCAGAAAUACUCCACGAAUGGAACCAACUAGGGGCUCAACGAUGCUCCACUAAAACUGAUAUAGUCUCAACAUACCCCACUAAGGAUCUCUGAUCGGUGAAAAUGCCAGGACUUAAAGAAAGUGUUCCACUAGGGGCUCAUCUCAACCAAAUGAAAGGGGAAUAUGCCAAGCAAGAGAGAUACCAAAUGCUGCCAAAAGCAUCUUCCAUAAAAGAGAACAUAGUAACGACUAUACUUCAACCAAACUACAAAAGCCUGUCCAAGUGAAGACUGUCAAAGAUAACUUUUGAUCUCGUGGCCUUAGGGUGGUCUUAAGACGCGGGACGUAAUGUAGGCCAAGGUGAUAGGGUGAAAGAAAUGAAGGGAAACUAGGCUUAAACACCCAAUGAUCAAACCCAUACCCUCGUGUAUAAGAUGUAAUGCAUAGAAAAAAAAAAAAAAACUCAUGAGUCAUGGACUUAGAAGUAACCAAAGGGAAUGUCGAUAGCGGAAUGAGAAAAAGGAUUAAUGGUCAAACUAUCAAUGAAAUAUGUGAAUGAUGUGAAGAAGGUAUCAAAUCAGUAAUGUGUAUCAAUAUGUGGGGGAUGAAUAAAAGGUGGAACAAAGAUCUGGAAAGAGGUAAUGGGAUACAAAAGAAAGCAAUGAGAAAGUGGAAUGAGUGAUGAUCAACCCAUGUUAGUACAAUAAAGGAAAGUCAUAUCACCAAUGAUGGAAUGGUGGGUAAGACAAUGAUCCAGAGACCCUAGUAAAAAGAUUACUCAUCUCUCAUACCUAGUAUAUAUCAAACAUGAUCCAAGAAGCAUAGGAUCUCAUAAAACUCUCAUAUGAACCCUCGACACUCCAAAUGUAUAACAAGAGUGGCUCAAGGAGUGAAAAACUCAUAAAAAACUCACAAAAACCCACAAUGACAAAUAUACCCAAUAAAUGAACCCCAAAAGGUGGCAUAAAUGCCCAAUGGAACGAGAUACCAUACAUGAGCAUAUCGUUGCGCUUUUUUUUUUUUUUUUUUUUUUGCACAUGCUCUGAUCAUCAAUAAAUCAAACUCCAAUGGGAAAAAUAUAAGGAAUAAACAAACUCUCUCAAAUCACUGAUGAAUACAUGAACCCUAUCCCAUGAGAUAACCUCUCAAACCAAAAUCUCCGAAUCAAUGUCAAAUGAUGGAAUGAAUAGAGUGAUAUGACUGCCCUCUUUGCACUAAGACGUGAAAAAUCAUCAACCCAAGAAAGAGAAUAGAUAAGAUGAAGCAAAUAAUGAUAGAGACAAGAAAGAGAAUGAAUAUGUGGUGAUAAUAAAAUAAAAAAAUAGGGUGAUAAGAGGAUGGUAACAAAAUGAGAAGAUAGACCUAUAAGUCUAAAGCUCAUGAGACUUUCCUAGCAAAGCAUGCAUAUACAUCAAAGGGCCCCAACCCGGGUAUAGAAAUGGUAAUCAAAGCUAUAAGAAAGAAAUAAGGCUAUAACGUACCACGCGAAGCUCAAUGGGCUAGCAACGGUCUAAUAUAUAGAGGUGAUAAAGUAUGAGGCUAACCGAAAUGAUGGCCACCCAUCCUAUGACCAUGGUCUCAAACAUAAUACUUCUUUAGCUGAUCCACAUUGGUAGGCUCUGAAAAUUGGUUUCCAUCUAAGUCUGUCAACCAUGCAGCCCCUUUUGGAGUCAACUCUUGGAUAACAUAAGGCCCACUCUAACUAGGUCUAAACUUUCCUCUAGGGUCUCCAAUCAAACCUCUGAGAAUCCUCAAAACUAAGUCCCCUUUUUGCAAUGGUCUAGGCUUAACCCGUUUCUUGAAAGUGAUUCAUGCCCAAUUGGUGUGCCAGCUGAUUCGUGUCCAGCUGGUGAUCCUUGAUUGAGGGAGUAAUAAACAAAAUUUAUAACCUAUAACAACAUAUACUAGGGUAGCAAAGAAAAAGCUAUUAUAGUAUAGUGGCUCUAGGAUCGUUCACUAGGAAGGAUUAACAAGCUAUCAAUGAUACCAAUUCAAAGUGAAUUGGUCUUGUUUCAUUUCAAGGUUAGCUUAAGAAAUAAAACACAAACCUUGAUUGGUAAAGAUUUAGACUUAAACUAACUAAUCACAACAAGUAAUGGGAAUAACUUAGGAAGAAAAACAUUCCUUGGAGAGUUAGGUUCACUGGGGUGGUUCCUCAUGCAAAAGACAUAGCUCCGGUCAGAUGGUUCAUUUCCUCGUGUUAGAGAUUCAACAUAUAGUCAAUUCUCUAACCGGUGUUGUACAGAUACAUUCUUUAAUUAGAUUUCACUUUAAUUCUCUCACUGAUGCAACUUGCAAUGGUUUAAGCCUCUCACUAAGCCUUAACCUUUCAAGGUGAUCUUUAACCUUGGACUUCCCUUCUCAAGCUCGCAAGAGAUAACUAAUGGAUGUCUCUUUGGAGUCCAAAAGCUUACCAAGUGUUGGCAAUUCCAGAAAAUCCUACCUUAAAGUCACCUCCCAGAGGCUCGCAAGGGGUAAACUAGUGCAUCUCCAUGGACGGAGAUCACUUGCCUUACCAAGUGUUGGCCCAGGUGACUCUAAGGUGUUUUAAGUUAACUAAAAACAUAGAAAUCAUUAAAGGAUUUCACUUCCUCUUCAUUACUUGCUAAAACCACAAAGCUUUGCAUUCUUACACUUGGAACCUUCCCCGGCAACCUUAGCUCCAAGGAAUUAGAGGUUUAGUUACUCAUUCUCUAGAGAAAACUCCUCAGAGAGUUCAUAACUUAGUAAUAAAUAAAAAAUACAAAGUGAUAAGGUAAGACAAUACAAAGAACUGAACUUUACUUGCUUACCCAAAACUUUACAAAAGGAUCUCCUCUCUGAGAACAGGCUCCCGAGAGGUAUAUAUAUGAACAUAAUAUAAAACUAAUUAUUACAUAGAUAUUUUCUCUUUUUACUAACUUAAAAGCUAAGGAAUCUUGUAAUUGGUGGCUUACAAGGAGUAUUUUGGGAUUUAGACAACAAAAAUCUAAUAGAAAAUAUCUCCAAAUGUCAGUAGCAAAUAUCGGGGUGCUUCAGGAACCAUUUCGCAAGAGAAAAUGGUGUCUGCGAGAUUUCGCAAGCACUCAAGAGGGCUGCGAAAUCACUUUGCAACAACAAGCUAUUCUCGUAGGGCUGCGAAGUUGGCUUCCACCUUGAGGUUCCAAGCUUCCCUCUCGUGGUAUAUGUCGGGCAACUUCAGAAGGAAAUACACCCUACUGUACAAAAAGGCUGCGGAAUCACUUCGCAGCAAAAGGGUGAUUUCGCAACACUUUGGAAAAUGCUUCCUUCAGCUGGGAGUGAUUGGCUUGCAAAGGCAGCAAUUUCUUCGUUUCAACUCCGAAUUGCGCACUGUUUGAAGAAUUGGAUUGUUGACUUCCUGAGCUUUGAAAUGGUAUAUAGAAUGCAUCAAUUGGACCUCAAAAAGUGCUCCAAAAAUGGCUGCUAUGACUGUCAUCAAGAAUAUGCUUCUUGGUAGAUUCUCUUUACUUUUUUUCCUUGCAUUCCGGAUUUACUCUUGGAAAAUGACUUCCAAGCUUUGCCCAAGAUUCCUCAACACUCUUCUCAAUCUUGAAUUGCUUUGGUGAUCAAAUUACUAACAAAAACACCAAAACUUACACAAAGUGAUUAAAAUUGCUUUCAAGGGUCCUUAACAUGCCAAUUGAGUUAAAAGGCCAAAACUACUACUCAAAAGCGUUUAAAAGGAUUAAUUAUAAGCUAUCAAAUAGCACUUUUUGAGUAGUAAUCACUCCCCCCAACCGACAUAUUGCUAGUCCCUUAGCAAUAUAGGAGAGAAAAAUGAAAAUAAAAAGCAACCUAUACUAAAAUUUACAAUAUCAUGCUGAACAAAAACAAUUCUCAAGUGGCAUGAUGAUUUAAUUCUCUCAUGAAACAUUAAAGAAAUACAAACCCAAAUUUCAACAAGAGUUAUAACAAACUAUGCUAAACACUUUCAAUCAAGGGAAUGCAUUAUGCAAACUGAAGUUUUAAAAUCAUUUCCACUUCCAAAGAACCAAACUUUAUUCUUCCUAAAAAAUCUGUGUAUAGGUUCUUUAGCUUCCGAGAAUAAUAUGCUAAACUAAUCUCUCCCCCCAACCUAUCUCUUUUCAACACUUAGCAAACUGACCAAAAUCAAUAAAGAAAGAACACAUUUUUUUUUUUUUUUUUUUUUUUUUUUUUUUUUUUUUUUUUAAGGAGGCUUUAUGGGAUACUCUUUCGGAAUUGUCCAUGUAAUGGGGGUCCAUCGAUGACUCCGAACCAAUUAAGGUUUAGGGCAUCAAGCUUUAAGGAUCUUUCAACCACUAACUCCUCGGAUUUUUCCCCAGACUUUUGAGAAUGAAUUUCUAAUACCCAAGCACCUACCAUAUGCUAACUCUACCUAUUCACCCUUAUAACGAGCAUUGAGGUCGGUGACUCCCAACCAAUUAAGGUUUAGGGCACCAGGCUUUAAAGAUUUUCACCAUAUACCCCUCAAACCUUGCUCGGGUUUCAAGGCAAGCAAACAACUUUCUUUAUUUCAAAGGCUCAUUGGCCUUUUGCAAGGUGUUUCAAUUUUUAUCAAAUGAGGUCAAAUAUACCAAGUCCCAAAAUUAUCCUAAGUCAAGAGGGAAAUAGUUUUUCAUCUUAUAAUCGAAAUCUAAUGUGCACAGUGUGUGAAUAGCUUAAAGUGGAAGAACUAAAUUCAAUUUCAAUAGAAGUUUCAACAAUUGAACCACUUUAGUGAGCAUAAUCCAUACUCUAAGUCAAGUGAAAAACAACAGUUUAAUUUCUCCUAUUUUAAUUUGAAAAUUUUUCCUCAAAAUUCAUGGAGAAUCGAGUAAAAAGAGUAAAAAGUAAAAAUUACAACUAAUUUACCAAAAUAAUUGCAUUACCAAAAAGACUUAUCAUACUUCCUUCCUCAUUCCCCCCCAACCGAAUUGAGCAUUGUCCUCAAUGUGAUAUGAGUGACUGUAAUUAAAGGGAGGAAGUGGUACCUCCUGAGUGAUAACAAAUUCGAAUACUGAUUGGAGAAACCACAUGUUUCAAAAAGAAUAGAAUAUGUGAGAAAAGGAAAUAAGAAUCAGUUAAUGCUAACUGUUAACAAGAAAUAUUAAACUUGUAUUACUUUAAAUUCAUUCGAGUACAAUGCAAAAGAAAAGUAAAACAAGCAAUCCCAAAUAUAGUACCAAAAUAAUGGGAUUUCUUUCCAACUAAAAAACGAAAUACAUAAAACAAAAAUAGUAGAUAUAUAAUAGUUUGAUGAGUGGGUGGUGCUGGGGCUAGGUAGAUGGGUCUGCCUCUUCAGUAGGUGCUUUAGCUGGGGCUUGGGGCUCUAGAGGAUGAGACUCUGAGGGAUGAGAGUGUGGCACUGCUGGAGUAGAAGUGGAUGGCUCAACAGCUGGUGGCAGGUCGAAAUGAAGCUGGAGCUGCCUUAAUAUGGCAGUGUGUUGAGCUUGAGUGGCCAACAUCUGCUCUUGACAUGCUCUAAUGGCUGCCAUAUCUUGAGCAAGACUGCUCUGAGAUGCUGUGAGAGUGUCCAAUGAACGACACAACUCUCUAUAUUCAGAUAUAGGAAUGGCCAUCCUUGGUUCAGCUGAAGUGGAUGGCUGAGAUGAAGCUGGUGCAGCUGGUGGAGCUCUAGGAAUGGUAGGAGUAGCAACUGUUAUACCCUCAGGUAUGUGUCGUGGGGAUGCUCUCCUUGCAGCUGGCUGUGGGCGUUCAGGCUGGUCAACUCGAUAAGCUGUCAUGUUGUUCCAUUUUUCGAGAGUAAAAAGCUCACGGCAAAUGCGCUUUCGUUCCAAUUGAGGCUCAGAAGGAUACCCCAAGUGCUCCAGAAUUUGGCAUAGCAGCCUUGGAAAGAAGAGGGGAAUGCAAUCAGCUCUCUGAAGCUUCUUUUUGUGUACCUUCUCUUCGAAAUAGAGAAGGGCUACCAGAAUCAGAUGAUGAGGCCCAAAGAAAAAUCCUUCAGACAUCUUGUACAGGGCUUCUAAGAGGACUCCUCCUCUUUGAGUCCAAUUUUGCAAUGGGUAGAGGUUAUGACGCAAAAAUGCAUCAAUCAAAAACAUGAUUGGAGGAAGCUCCCCCCUCAACAGAUGUGAUCGAUUGGCAGCUCCUCUGGAAAGGGCGCGCACCAUCUCCAGCUCAGUAGGAUUGGUCCAAGCUCUAAAAUUAUCGAAUUGGGUUGGCUCAUAGGGAAUUUGCAAGGCUUCAGCUAUAUGGCGUGCUCCCAAUAUGCCAUGCCUCCCAUCAAUAGUGAAAUGAAUUAAAGUUGGAUCCCUGACCUGGUUGGUUGUCAUGGAUUGAUAGAAAUCCAUGGCCACCAUUGGGUAGAAAAAGUCUCUCGGAGUCAACAGGUGCUCCAUGUGGUAUCUCCUCAGCAGAUUGAAUGUCUAUGCAAGCUCCGGCUGUAAUCGGAAUGCGGCUAUGUCGAAGCAUAGCUCGGAAUGGAAUGGCCGAGCUCUAUAAUCCAAAUUUCCCUCAAUUAGGGGUUGAGUUAGCAUUGGCCGCCUGAUUACUUCUUCCAGAGCUAUUUCGGAUGGAAUUUGGGGCUCGGGAAGUGGCGGCUGAGGCUCUUGUGCUUUUGCUUGCGGCGCCGGAGAUGGCACCGGCGACGGAAUUGGCAUGGGAAUCGGCGACGAAACUGGAGUUGGAACCGGUGAUGGAAUUGGCGAAGGCUUUGGAGAUUGCUCCGUCAAGUCGAUGGGUUCUGAGCUUUCAACCCUGGGCCUCUUUUGCAGCGGCCGACCUCCUGACCUGGUUAGGUAACGUCUCGCCGGAGGUUUUGGCGGCGCGGGCUUCACCGGAGGAGGAACUGCUCUCGGCUGCGAAGGCUCAGAAACGGGUUCCAAAACUGGCUCCUUUUGCAAGCUUCUCUUGCGGUUUGAAGGGGAGGAAGACUUGGCCCCUCUGGUUCGCGCCAUUUCGGGUUGCCGAAACUUGGCCGGAACGGAUGGUCGGAGAAGAUGACUGAAGGCUUGCGCGGUGAGGCUUGAGGAAGGAAAUGAACGAUCUGCGAGAAUGGCGAGCUCUAAUUUUGAAACCCUUUUCGCAGCUCAAAUGACUGGUAUAAAUAGGAAUAACUGAAGACUAAGGGUCAGUUUGAGUUUCGCAGCAAAAUGUCAAUUUCGCAGCAAAAUGCCAUUUUCGCAGCAAAAUGCCAUUUUCGCAGCCACUUCGCAAUGCAUUUCGCAGUUGCGAAAUUAAUGUUACUGUGUUGCGAAGUGGCACACGUGUGCCAAAAUCGCUUUCGCAAUUGCGAAAUACCCUACGGAAUGGGACUUUUGUUGCGAAAUCUGGGCUUUACCACUUCGCAAGUCGUUUCGCAGCUGCGAAAUGGGGGCUCCUGUGUUGCGAAGUGGCACUCGUGUGCCAAACUCGCUUUUGCAGCUGCGAAAAUUCUCGCAGAGAAUCCCAAAGUGUUGCGGAAUGAUUUGGCAACAAAAUGCUCAUUUCGCAGAAGUUUUCUUUAGGCUGCGAAAUCUCGCAGAGCUCUGUUUUUGCUCUGUUUUCACUCUGUUUUUGCUCCGAUUUCGAUCAGAUUUUUUUCCUUUCAAUUUCCUUGAAAUUUCUUCCACCUGAGAUCAUUCAAAAAGAUUAAAACACACCUAAAAACAUGAUUUAAGAUCAAAAACUAAGAUCAAAUGUAUGGAAAAAACUUGAAAAUUUACAAAAUUUACAAAAAUUUUGGAUUGUGGUAAACCACGUCCAACAAACCUUUCUUUGCUUAGGCUUUUUGAGGCUCAAGGAGGUUGAUCUCCUCCAUUUCUGGUUUGAAUGACUCCAUGAAUGGCUUGAGACGAUAUCCAUUGACUUUGAAGGUGUCCUUGCCAUUUGAAUUCAAUAAUUCCACCACUCCAUUGGAACAUACUCGGUGAAUUAUGAACGGGCCUAUCCACCUUGACUUGAACUUCCCAGGAAAGAUAUGGAGUCUUGUGUCAUACAGUAAAACUCUUUGCCCUUCCUGAAAUUCCUUGUUGGAGAUGAGUUGAUCAUGCCACUUCUUCAUCCUCUGUUUUGCAACUUUGGAAUUGAUAUAAGCAUUAUUUCUUAAUUCCUCCAUCUCAUUAAGGUCUAGAUAUCUCUUUUCUCCGGCUCUGAUCAAGUCCAUGUUCAACUUCUUUAUUGCCCACCAAGCUUUGUAUUCAACUUCCACAAGGAGAUGACAUGCUUUGUCAUAGACAAGACGAUAGGGAGACAUGCCAAGAAUAGUCUUAUAAGCUGUUCUAUAUGCCCACAAUGAAUCAUGAAGCUUAAUAGACCAAUCUUUUCUGCUGGAAUUCACCACUUUCAUCAAUAUGUUCUUUAUUUCCCUGUUAGCUAGCUCAACUUGCCCGGAAGUUUGAGGAUGAUAAGGUGUAGCCACCUUAUGCUUCACUCCAUACUUGGAUAACAGAGCUUCAAAAGGUUUGUUGCAAAAAUGAGCACCUCCAUCACUGAUUAUGGCUUUGGGCACCCCAAAUCUUGAGAAAAUGUUCUCUUUAAGAAACUUGAGAACCACCCUGUGAUCAUUUUGUUUACAGGGGAUUGCCUCAACCCAUUUAGAAACAUAAUCCACCCCCACCAAGAUGUAAGAAUUACCAAAAGACAUUGGAAAAGGUCCCAUGAAGUCAAUGCCCCAUACAUCAAAUAGCUCAACUAUUAGAAUGGGGUUCAUAGGCAUUUGAUUUCUUUUUGUUAGCUUUCCAAGCCUUUGGCAUCUGUCACAACUUCUACACAUGAUGUGGGCAUCUUUGAAAAGAGAUGGCCAAGUAAACCCUGAUUGCAACACCUUCAUGGCUGUUUUCUGAGAGGCAAAGUGGCCUCCACAUGCAUUCUCAUGACAAUGAUAUAAAAUCCCUUGCUGCUCAUCUUUAGGGACACACUUCCUUAUUAUCUGAUCUGCACAAUACUUAAAAAGAAAGGGCUCUUCCCAAUAAUAAGCAUGAAUUUUGGCAAAGAAGUGCUUCCUGUCCUGUGCAUUCCACUCACUUGGAAUUUUUCCAGUUACUAAAUAAUUAGCAAUAUGAGCAUACUAAGGAGUUUUCACUAGGAACAUGAGUGAUUCUUCAGGAAAAUCAUCAUUAAUAGGCAAGGGAUGGGAGUUAUGUGCUAUAACUAACCUCGAAAGGUGGUCAGCUACUACAUUCUCCACUCCUUUCUUAUCUUUGAUUUGGAGAUCGAAUUCUUGUAACAAAAGAAUCCAUCUAAUCAACCUUGCUUUUGCAUCUUGCUUUGUCAAUAAAUACUUCAAGGCUGAAUGGUCAGUGAAGACAAUGAUGAAAGACCCCACUAAAUAAGCACGAAAUUUGUCCAAAGCAAAUACCACAGCUAACAAUUCUUUCUCUGUAGUUGUGUAGUUCCUUUAAGUUUCAUUCAGUAUUUUACUUGCAUAGUAAAUCACAUAGGGCUUCCUAUCUUCUCUUUGGCCAAGCACAGCUCCUAUAGCAAAGUCAUUGGCAUCACACAUCAGUUCAAAAGGUAGUUGCCAGUUAGGGGCUCUCACUAUUGGAGUUGUUGUUAAAAAUUUCUUCAGUUGAUCAAAGCUAUUUUGACACCUUUCAUCCCAUAUAAACUUAGCAUCCUUAGCUAACAGCUCACAAAGAGGUUUUGAAAGACUUGAAAAACCUUUUAUAAACCGCCUAUAGAACCCUGCAUGGCCAAGGAACUUUCUUACUCCUUUCACAGUUGUUGGGGAUGGUAAUUUGACAAUAAGCUCCACCUUUGCUUUAUCAACUUCAAUGCCUUUUUCAGAGAUGAUAUGGCCAAGGACAAUUCCUUGACGUACCAUAAAAUGGCAUUUCUCCCAAUUGAGCACCAGGUCUUUUUCAAUGCAUUUGUGAAGAACUGCUUCCAAAUUAACUAAGCAUUCCUCAAAUGUACCUCCAUAUACGGUGAUGUCAUCCAUGAAAACCUCCAUAAUUCGUUCCACCAUAUCAUUGAAAAUACUCAACAUACAUCUUUGAAAUGUAGCAGGUGCAUUGCAUAAACCAAAAGGCAUUCUCCUAUAAGCAUAUGUUCCAAAUGGACAUGUAAAAGUGGUCUUUUCCUGAUCUACCAAAUUAAUUUCAAUUUGAAAAUACCCUGAAUACCCAUCCAAGAAACAAUAGAAUGGAUGUCCAGAGACUCUCUCCAGCACUUGGUCAAUAAAUGGCAAUGGAAAAUGAUCCUUCCUGGUUACAGCAUUCAGCUUUCUAUAAUUAAUACACACUCUCCAUCCUGAAGUGAGGCGUGUAGUAAUUUCUUCUCCUUUUUCAUUCUGAACCACUGUGAUCCCUGACUUCUUUGGUCCCACUUGAGUAGGACUCACCCAAGGGCUAUCAGAUAUAGGGUAAAUGAUUCCUGCUUGAAGUAGCUUCAGCACUUCAGCUCGCACCACCUCUUGUAGAUGAAGAUUCAACCUUCUUUGAAAUUGACGAAUUGGCUUUGCUUCCUCCUUCAUAUAUAUAUGAUGAGUACAAACUAAAGGACUAAUGCCUUUCAAGUCAGAUAUUUGCCAUCCUAUUGCCUUCUUACACCUCUUGAGAACUUCCAUUAAACAAUUCUCUUGAUGACUGGUCAGAGAUGAAGAUAUCACAACAGGGCAUUGAUUAUUUUCUUCAAGAUAUAUAUAUUUCAGCUCCACAGGUAAAGGUUUCAAAUUGAGUUUUGGAAUUUCUUUUUCAGCAGAUGCCUCUUCUUCUUCAUUGAACAAAGGUAGAAUCUCUUCUAUUUUUCUCCAACUUUGUAGAGUAGCAAGCAUAGUAGGAGAUCCAGACAAACCUUCUUCAAAAUCCACAAGACUUUCAUUCAACUUGUCUUACAUAUUUUGAUUACAGUGCUCCUCCACCAAAGUAUCAAUAAUACACAGCUCUUCUGGACCCUCUUCUUUUUCCGGAGUGAUUUGCUUUUUAGACACAUAGAAAAUAUUGAGAUCCAGUGUUAUGUUGCCAAAAGUGAGUUGCAUCAGCCCAUUCCUGCAGUUGAUGAUUGCAUUUGAGGUAGCAAGAAAUGGCCUUCCAAGGAUGAUAGGAACUAAAUUAGCUUCUUUUACAGUAGGGUCUGUAUCAAGAACAAUAAAAUCUACUGGAUAGUAGAAAUUAUCCACUUGAACCAAUACAUCCUCAAUUACCCUUCUUGGAAUUUUCACUGAUCUAUCUGCUAGAGAUAAAGUGAUUGUUGUUGGCUUCAAUUCCCCAAGUCCCAAUUGCUUGUAGACGGAAUAUGGAAGCAAAUUCACACUUGCUCCCAAAUCUAGCAAGGCUUUCUCCACUACCUUUCCUCUAAUCAUGACUGAAAUGGUAGGACUUCCCGGGUCUUUGUACUUCAAAGGAGACUUACAUUGUAAGAUUGCACUUACUUGCUCAGUCAAGAAGGCUUUCUUAUUUACAGUCAACCCUCUUUUGAUAGUACAUAAGUCCUUAAGGAAUUUUGCAUACAUUGGAACUUGUUUAAUCAUAUCCAGCAAUGGAAUAUUGACUUUCACUUGUCUCAAUACUUCAAGGAUUUCAGCUGCAUUUCUAAUCCCCUUUUUCCCAUGUAAUGCUUGAGGAAAAGGAGGAGAAGUUGAUUUCUUCAGCAUUUCUUCCUUCAUAAGUUCCUUCUCUGGAAUUGCAUUCAUUGUUGAAUCAGAGUCCUUCUUUUUUUCACUGAUCUCACUCUCUUUAUCUUCCAUUUCCUUUCCUUUCUUUAUCUCUUCUUCUUUCUCAACAUGUGGCUUGGGUGUUGGCUGCUCAAUUUUUUUACCACUCCUUAGAGUGAUCAAGGCUUUGACAUCUUUCAUCUGUGAUGAUUCUCCCUCUUGGCUUUCCACUUCAUGGACACCUUUGGGGUUUUGGUGGGGUUGAGAAAAAAAUCUUCCCUUUUCUUGCAGUGUAUUCAAAUUUGUAAGCCUUGAAAUUGAAUAUUGGAUGUUAUCAAACUUUUGGUUCAUAUCAUUUUGCAUUCCAUCCAUCCUUUUAUUCAACAUACUCUCUACUCUAUCAAUUCUUUGAUAGAUUUGAGCAUUGGUGGCUUCUUGCUUUCCAACAAAAUCUCCCACUACCUUGUUGAGAUUAGCCAUUACUUGUUCAAGACUUGAAGAUUGUUGAGAUGGUGGAUCCGGCUGUUGGUACUGAGUUGCUCUGGCUUUCCAUGAGAAAUUUGGAUGAUUCCUCCAACUUGAGUUGUAGGUAUUUCCAUAGGGCGCAUUGUUAUUAGGCCUGAAUUGUCCAACAACAUUUGCUUGAUCUCUAAACAUCUCCCUUUCAGCUGAAAUUGCAGGGCAUUCAUCCACUAAAUGUUCAUAUGAUUGACAAUUAGGACACAGCUUCACUUGCACUGGUGCUUCAGCAACAGCUUGCACUUCAUGUAUUCUUUUCAGCUCCAGCUCCUCCAAUCUUCUUGUCAUAGCUGCCAACUUUGCUUUCAUAUCAUCAUCUUCUUUCAAGGUAUACAUCCCAGCCUUUGCAUUGAAAGCAUUCAGUUGAGACUUCAUCUUACCCACUUCUCCUUUGGUUGGUUCAUCCCAUCCCCUUGAAACAUCAGCUACAUAGCUCAAGAAAUCCAUAGCUUCCUCUGGAUUUUUGCUCAUGAAAUCUCCUCCACACAUUGUCUCGAGGAGUUGCUUCAUUGAGGAGGGCAUACCAUCAAAAAAAUAGCUCACCAAUAGCCAAGUAUCAAAGCCAUGGUGAGGGCAAGCAUUUAUAGCUUCCAUAUAUCUUUCCCAACACUCAUAGAAUUUCUCAUUCUCUUUAGCUGAGAAGUUUGAAAUUUGCCUUUUCAAGCCAUUUGUUCUAUGAGUGGGAAAAAAUUUCUUGAGGAAUUCAGCUUGUAAAUCAGUCCAAGAACGGAUACUCCUUGGCCUUAAAGAAUUAAGCCAAACUUUGGCCUUAUCCUUUAAAGUAAAAGGAAAUAACUUAAGCCUCAUCAAAUCAAUUGAAGCUCCUCCCUCUUGGAAUGUAUUACAAACAUCUUCAAAUUCCUUGAUAUGUGCAUACGGAUUCUCACUUUCCAUCCCAUGGAAAGUUGGUAGAAGUGGAACAAGAUACGGUCUGAUCACUAGCUGCUCUAUAGGGGGCACUAUACAUGAUGGUGCACUCAUACGAGGUGGAUGCAUGUGGUCCCUCAUUGAUCUGAAUUCAUUGAGAUUGUCUUGACGACCUUGGUGACUAUGCUGAUCUUCAGGUGUAGCUUCCAUGAUAUUCAAGCUCAAUUCGAAUUCUUUUCUCUGAGGUGUAUCACACUUAACAAGCCUUCCUCCACUGUCUCGUAUCCACUUUGGCAUACACAACUAGUAUUUAUCUGCAACUUAAAUGAAAAUAAAGAACAACAACAGAAACAGGGCUACAACAACAAAAUUAAACUAGGCUAAAUUUUAAAAUAUAAACUUAGAUUAUGAAUAAAUAAAGAAAGAAUGAGAAUUAGUAAAGUGAAAGAAAUGUUACCAACUUGUGAUGAAAAUCACAAGUGCUCAAAAAUGGUAUCACUAUAAACUUGACACCUUCCCCGACAACAGCGCCAUUUGAUUCGUGCCCAAUUGGUGUGCCAGCUGAUUCGUGUCCAGCUGGUGCUCCUUGAUUGAGGGAGUAAUCAACAAAAUUUAUAACCUAUAACACCAUAUACUAGGGUAGCAAAGAAAAAGCUACUAUAGUAUAGUGGCUCUAGGAUCGUUCACUGGGAAGGAUUAACAAGCUAUCAAUGAUACCAAUUCAAAGUGAAUUGGUCUUGUUUCAUUUCAAGGUUAGCUUAAGAAAUAAAACACAAACUUUGAUUGGUAAAGAUUUAGACUUAAACUAACUAAUCACAACAAGUAAUGGGAAUAACUUAGGAAGAAAAACAUUCCUUGGAGAGUUAGGUUCACUGGGGUGGUUUCUCAUGCAAAAGACAUACCUCCGAUCAAAUGGUUCAUUUCCUCGUGUUAGAGAUUCAACAUAUAGUCAAUUCUCUAACCGGUGUUGUACAGAUACAUCCUUCAAUUAGAUUUCACUUUAAUUCUCUCACUAAUGCAACUUGCAAUGGUUUAAGCCUCUCACUAAGCCUUAACCGUUCAAGGUGAUCUUUAACCUUGGACUUCCCUUCUCAAGCUCGUAAGAGAUAACUAAUGGAUGUCUCUUUGGAGUCCAAAAGCUUACCAAGUGUUGGCAAUUCCAGAAAAUCCUACCUUAAAGUCACCUCCUAGAGGCUCGCAAGGGGUAAACUAGUGCAUCUCCAUGGACGGAGAUCACUUGUCUUACCAAGUGUUGGCCCAGGUGACUCUAAGGUGUUUUAAGUUAACUAAAAACAUAGAAAUCAUUAAAGGAUUUCACUUCCUCUUCAUUACUUGCUAAAACCACAAAGCUUUGCAUUCUUGCACUUGGAACCUUCCCCGGCAACCUUAGCUCCAAGGAACUAGAGGUUUAGUUACUCAUUCUCUGGAGAAAACUCCUCAGAGAGUUCAUAACUUAGUAAUAAAUAAAAAAUACAAAGUGAUAAGGUAAGGCAAUACAAAGAACUGAACUUUACUUGCUUACCCAAAACUUUACAAAAGGAUCUCCUCUCUGAGAACAGGCUCCCGAAAGGUAUAUAUAUGAACAUAAUAUAAAACUAAUUAUUACAUAGAUAUUUUCUCUUUUUACUAACUUAAAAGCUAAGGAAUCUUGUAAUUGGUGGCUUACAAGGAGUAUUUUGGGAUUUAGACAACAAAAAUCUAAUAGAAAAUAUCUCCAAAUGUCGGUAGCAAAUAUCGGGGUGCUUCAGGAACCAUUUCGCAAGAGAAAAUGGUGUCUGCGAGAUUUCGCAGGCACUCAAGAGGGCUGCGAAAUCACUUCGCAACAACAAGCUAUUCUCGCAGGGCUGCGAAGUUGGCUUCCACCUUGAGGUUCCAAGCUUCCCUCUCGCGGUAUAUGUCAGGCAACUUCAGAAGGAAAUACACCCUACUGUACAAAAAGGCUGCGGAAUCACUUCGCAGCAAAAGGGUGAUUUCGCAACACUUUGGAAAAUACUUCCUUCAACUGGGAGUGAUUGGCUUGCAAAGGCUGCAACUUCUUCGUUUCAACUCCGAAUUGCGCACCGUUUGAAGCAUUGGAUUGUUGACUUCCUGAGCUUUGAAAUGGUAUAUAGAAUGCAUCAAUUGGACCUCAGAAAGUGCUCCAAAAGUGGCUGCUAUUAUUGUCAUCAAGAAUAUGCUUCUUGGCAGAUUCUCUUUACUUUUUCUCCUUGCAUUCCGGAUUUAGUCUUGGCAAAUGACUUCCAAGCUUUGCCCAAGAUUCCUCAACACUCUCCUCAAUAUUGAAUUGCUUUGGUGAUGAAAUUACUAACAAAAACACCAAAACUUACACAAAGUGAUUAAAAUUGCUUUCAAGGGUCCUUAACAUGCCAAUUGAGUUAAAAGGCCAAAACUACUACUCAAAAGCGUUUAAAAGGAUUAAUUAUAAGCUAUCAAAUAGCACUUUUUGAGUAGUAAUCAGAAGGCAUGAGCCAUCUUUCUCUAAUAGGCCUGAACAUGAUUUGCCGCUCUCAAUCUCCUCUCAUCUAAAAGGUUAAGCUGAUCAAAUCGAGCCUGAGCCCACUCUGUCUCAGAAAUUUGCUGCUCAAGGGCUACUCUCAAUGAACCCAUCUCUGUCUCAACUGGCAAAACAACCUCCAUACCAUACACUAGAGAGUAAGGCGUAGCUCCUGUAGAAGUACGAAAAGAUGUACGAUAUGCCCACAACGCAAAAUGAAGCUUCUGUGACCAAUCUCGAGAAGUCUCAACCAUUUUCCUCAAAAUCCUCUUAAUACUCUUGUUUGCAGCCUCUACUGCCCCGUUGGUCUGUGACCUAUAUGCUGAAGAUCUAAGAUGUCGGAUGGCAUACUUCUGCAACAAAGUAUCUACCUCAGCUUGAAAGUGCGCCCCUCUUUCGGAAAUCAACUCAUAAGGAACCCCAUAGUGGCAAAUGAUGUGUGAUCUGAUAAAACUGGCAACCCUAGCAGAUGUCAAUCUCGCAUAUGAUGCGGCUUCCACCCACUUGGUGAAAUAAUCUAUGGCAACCAGGAUGAACUCAUGACCACUGGAAGAUUUUGGUGAAACCUUCCCAAUCAUAUCAAUACCCCAUACUGAAAAUGGCCAUGACGAGGUCAAAGCAUGUAACUCUGAUGGCGGUGCAUGAAUGAGAUCACCAUGAAUCUGACACUCUGGGCAUUUCUGAACAAACUGACAACAAUCUGUCUCCAUAGUCAACCAGAAGGAACUCGUCCUCAUAAUUUUGCGGGCCAACGUGUGUCCUCCCAUAUGCGGACCACAAACUCCUGCAUGAACCUCUCUCAUCACUCGAUCUGCAGAGACUCGAUCUAAACAUAAAAGAAGCAUACCAUCAGCUGAUCGUCUGUACAAGGUAUCUCCACAAAUCACAAAUCUAGUGGUCAGAUGCCUCAAUGCUCUCCGAUCCUUGGUAGUGGCUACCUUAGGGUAUGUGCCAGAUCUAAGGAACUGAUAAAUGUCAUGAUACCAAGGUAGAUCAUCUUGGACCUCUGUCUCUCCAAUCAAACAACAAUAGGCGGGUGCAAACCUCAACUCAAUCAGCAAUGGACGUAUGACUACAUCAAUCAGAAUGUCCACGGAUAAAGCUAAAGUAGCUAAGGCGUCAGCAAAUCGGUUUUUGCGCUCUAGGCAGAUGAACAUAUCUCAAGUCAUCAAAUCUUGCAACCAACAACUCUAAAUAAGCAUGAUAUGACCUAAGCUUCACGUCCCUAAUCUUCUAGUCUCCCUGAAUCUGUCUGAGUACCAAAUUGGAGUCACCAAAUACCUCCAUCUGUCUAAUGCCAAGCUCCAAUGCAGUCUCUAAACCCAGGAUGCAAGCCUCAUACUCAACUAUGUUAUUCGUGAUAGGAUGUCGAUCAUGGAAUGCCAAACGAAUAGAUCUCGGAAUAUGAUCGCCCUGAGGGGACACCAACAGAACACCUAUCCCAUACCCUAACUGAUUGGCUGCACCAUCAAAGUACAAGCACCAUCCUGAUAAGCUAGUCAUAGCAACAAACUCCUCAUCUAGAAAAUCAUCAUCAACUGGUCUGUCUUCAGAUGUCGGUAGUGAAGCUAAGUGAUCGGCGACAAUACUUUCCUUAAUAGACUUCUAAGAAACGUACUGAAUAUUGAACUCUGUCAAAAGUACGAGCCAUCUCAUCAAUCUACUAGUCAACGCAGGUCUAUCAAACAAGUAUCUCAACGGGUCUAGGUGGGAUAUCAAAUGCACUGAAUACUCUGUCAUGUAAUGCCUCAAUCUCCUGGUGGCCCAAACUAAUGCUAGGCAAAGGCGCUCAAUCAUAACAUAUCCCAUCUCAUACUCCAACAUCCUCUUACUCAGGUAGUAAAUAGCUCGCUCUUUUCCUGAGUCAUCAAUCUGAGCUAACAUACAUCCUAAGGCCAUGUCUGAAACUGACAAAUGUAGAAGGAGUGGACGUCCUGGUGUAGGAGGCACUAAAACAGGAGGAGAAAGCAAAUACUCCUUGAUCUUCUCAAAUGCAAACUGACAGUCAUCAUUCCAAACUGUUGGCUAGUUCUUCCUCAAAAGACAAAAGAUAGGCUCACAUAUGUCUAUCAAUCUGGCUAUGAAUCGAUUGAUGUACUAUAAUCUGCCUAGAAAACUCCUGAUCUCUUUCUCAGUCUUCGGUGCAGGCAUGUCAAGUAUGACUUUGAUUUUAUUUGGGUCGACCUCUAUGCCUCGCUCAUUAACCAUAUCCCCCAAUAAUUUCCCAGAAGUCACUCCAAAGGUGCAUUUCUUGGGAUUCAGCCUCAAUCUAAACUUCCGGAUCCUCUCAAAGAAUCUCUCUAGAGCAUCUAGGUGAUCUGCUCUACCUCGGGAUUUCACAAUCAUAUCAUCCACAUAAACUUCAACAUCUCUAUGCAUCAUGUCAUGAAACAAAGUAGUAGCGGCUCUUUGAUAAGUGGCUCCUGCAUUCUUUAACCCAAAUGGCAUAACCCUGUAACAGUAGGUACCCCACUCAGUAAUAAAGGUUGUCUUCUCCAUAUCCUCUGGAGCCAUCAAAAUCUGAUUAUACCCUGAAACCCAUCCAUGAAAGACAACAUCGAAUGGCCUGUGGUGCCAUCAACCAACAAAUCAAUGUGUGGAAGGGGAAAGUCAUCUUUAGGGCUGACUUUAUUAAGAUCUCUGAAGUCAACACAAACCCUAACUUUGCCAUCCUUUUUGGGAACAGGGACAACAUUAGCCAACCACUCUGGAUACUCAACCACUGAUAUGAACCCAACACUGAGCUGUUUCUGAAUCUCCUCUUUUACCUGCAGACUCCAAUGUGGAUGCAACCGUCUCAAUUUCUGCUUAACUGGUCUGGCAUGUGGUAGGGUAGGUAAAUGGUGCUGGACUAUAGAGGGAUCGAGACCUGGCAUGUCCUCAUAAGACCAUGCAAAGACAUCCAAGUAUGACCUAAGUAAAUGAAUAAGUCUAUCUCUCUCAUCUGUAGAUAGGGGUGAACCAAGCUUCAGCUUUCUAGGCUAAUCCUCUGUGCCAAAAUCAACAAUCUCAACAUUCCCUAUAGUAGGUGAAACUCUUUCAUCCACGGGAUCGAAGUCAUGAUCAAAAGAGUCCCUAUCUGAACCGGGCUGUGCAACCUUAUCAUCUAUAUCAAAUAUCUGUGAGAUGGGUGGGUGGGGUGCAGAUAUAGAGAUACUAUCACAAGAGAUAGGCGAAUACUAAAAAAUGCUCAAAUCCAUAAAUGAAGCAAUAGUAACAUCGUCAGAGCGGGAGACAAAUCCCGAUAAAACAUCAAAAGAAAGAGGUGGGUCCACAAGGUCGAAUGCUCCCUCAACUAAGCUAACAAUGCUCUCAAAUAAACUACUAUCAUCCUCUAGAAGCUCUGGAAUAGGAAUAGUCUGAGUCCCCUCAAGAACCUUAAUGGUAGACACCCCAAACAUAUCAAAUGCUGAAACAGGUUGAAGCUGAACAAUGCUGGUAAUCUGGCUCAUGGUCAUCAUGUCCAUCUCAUCAUGGUACUCAUCAUGGGAAACAACUCCAUCUCAUCAUGGUACUCAUCUCAGUAGAAUCAACAAUCACCCCAUCAUCAUUGAUUUCCUCUAGAAAGUAUAGAGACAACAUGCUAGCUCGAUCUGGAGACGUGGGAGUAAUCGUCAUAGGGAAAGAAGUGUUGGGAGCUCCAUCACUCAACUGUAGCUGGUGAAAUAAAUGCUGAAGAUCAGUCUCUCUAUCUGUAUGAACCACACUAUCGAUCUCCCCUAGACGAGGUCGAAUCUCUGAUCCUCUGACAAAGUAGUCGGCCAAACUCAUCCUAUAAGGUCGAAUGGGACAAUCAAAUGGUGUGUGGGAUAAACGAGCCCUCACCCUCUCCCUACGCAGCCGCGCCAUGUAACUGUAAUCGGCCUCAGUAGGGAUGAAUCCAAGUCCAAAUGUCGUAUCAUGGUCAAUGGCAGCUAUGAACUCGCUCGGUCCCUGUUGACGUCGUCCUAACCCCGUGCCAGGUAGAAAGGUCAUACCCCUCAUCAUAUCAAGGACCACUGUGCUGCUAUGCUGAUCAAAAGACAUAGCUACAAAAUCUCUGCAAAAAUCCUCAAUCUCGAGAGUCUGUAUCUCAUCAAAAGUAAAUCUAGUCAGAAGUAGGUCAUCCUCAUUGUGACUGAUCUGAAGUAUUGGCUCAGAAACGGUAAAUAUAUCCCUGGUAGAGCGCACUGUGAUGACCUGCUCAUCAUGAAUAAACUUCACCUUCUGAUGAAGGGAAGAAGAAAUAGCUCCAGCUAUAUGAAUCCAUGGUCGACCUAGUAGUAGGUUAAAGGAUGUAGGAAUCCUCAAAACCUGGAACAAAAUGGAGAAUGUUGCUGGACUAAUUUGCAAAUCAAUCAUCAAGGUACCCAUAAUCUCCCUCUUGGUGCUAUCAGACGCCCUGACUGUCUGAGUAGAAGGACCAAAAUCUGAAGGCGCGAAACCAAGGGUUAUAUCAGUGGCUAAAGGGUAAACAUUCAGGGCUGAGCCGUUGUCCAGUAGGACAGACAGGACUCUACGGCCUGAACAUCCAACUGUGAUAUAUAGAAGGCGCACGUGAUCUAAACCAUCAAGUGGCAAGUCGUCAUCUGAAAACACAAUGCAAGUGGCCCUACCGGCCGUCAUCAUAUGAAUCAAUCUCUCGGGAGUGGUAGUAUUCUCUACUCUAAUCUGACUCAAGGCUCGAAUCAAAGCAUCUCUAUGAGUACUGGAUGAUGCUAAUAAACUCCAGAUAGAAAUACGGGUCUGAGUGCUCUGUAAUUGUCUCAAAACUUCAUCAUCCUCUCUCCUAACCUCCUCAUGAGAGGUUGCACCCUCAAAUGGUCUGACUGCUGGUGGUGGUGGCUGAGCUAUCCUCCCACUAUGAGUCACAAUCUGUAUCUCCCUCCCCUCUGAAUCAUCAUCCUCUGGCCAUAAAGUGAACAGGAUAAAAGUAUCCUGACAUCCAAUAAUCAAGGGUGUGGGAUGAGUACACUGGAAUGGUGUCUCGUCUGGGAUCAAAUUGAAUGGUGUAGGAGCCUGAGGGACCACUGAAACCCCAUCAACCUUAUAACUGUCAUGCAAAACAAUCGGCUUGGGUAAUCCAUCAUCCCAACUCAACAUGUGUAUAUUGUCAUCCUCUAUAAGGUCCAUGUGAUGAAUAUCUCCUGGAGAUGGAGACACUGCGUGUGUAGAAUGAGCAGGAAGAGGGUUCGUAGUCACACUUGGCUGCCCCAAGUUGACUAAACCCUGGUCUAUCAAGUCCUGAAUAGCAUGUCUCAAAGCAGUGCAAUGGUCCGUGUCAUGCCCUAGUCCCUGAUGGUAGGAACAAUGUAAGUCCAUCCUAAAGCGAGGUGGUAUGGGCUGGGGUAAAGGCUUGGAUGCUAAUGGAAUCAAUAAUCCACCCUCUACGAGCUUCUGAAAAGCUCGACUCAAAGGCAUACCCAGUUGGGCAAAUUGACGUGGUGGCCUCUGCACAUAAGUAGUGGUUUGUGGAGCUCGGGGUCGAGUAUAUGGGACAGGAGGCCUCUCUGUGACAUGUGCAGCAAAAACAGGCUGUGAGACUGGAUGUAGAUAGGUAGGAGUCAUAGGUCUGGAAGGAGCAGGCGGCCUGUAAUGCGCAUGAGGUGAGGGUGGAUAGUAGAACCCAAGAGUCUGCCCAACUGUCUGAUAGCAUCUAGGAGGCCUCAUCCCUGUUGAACUGAUAACACCAACAUCUCCUGAUCUCUGUCCUCCUGAAGGCUUCUUCCCCUUAGAAUCAGUAGGGGAAGACUCAGACCAUAAUCCUCUAGCAAUGCCCUCCUCUAUACAGUACAAAGCCUGUACCAAAGAUCCAAAAUCCGUAUGGGGAAAUCCCAUCAAGUGUCUAGCGAAUCUAGGUUGUAAACUCCUCAUGAUCAUGUUAAUUUGAUCUCUCUCUGAAGGAUGGUCUAUAAUAUGUGAAAUCUUCUCCCUCCAGAGGGAGAUAAAUGAAGUAACUGACUCCUCUGGCCUCUGUCUCAAAGCCUCCAACUCUCUCCUCGAAACAUCAAUGACAGUGUUAAAUGCAAACUGUCUCAAAAAUUCCUGGGCUAAGUCAUCCAAAGUCCUACGGCGUGAUACCUCUAAUGAAGCGAACCAACGCUGUGCAGCACCACUCAAUGACAUAGGGAAAAACAUAAUCAUCUGGGCCUCAUCUAGUCCAUGGGCCCUCAUAACCGUACUAUAGAGUCUCAAAUGAAUGCGAGGACAACCUAUGCUAGUGUAUCUCUCAAUCUUAGGCAUCUUGAACUUGGUUGGUAGACUGGCCACUGGUGCUCCAUCAAAAUCUUCCCAAGUAAUAGCUCCCUCUAAAGUCCUCAUAUGUGUUAACUUCUGCUCAAGUCUAUCCAUACGAGCAUGUGGGUCCUCUAAGAUCAGAGUAGGCACUAUGGCAAGAGGUGAUGUGACCUCAGUUUGACUAUACAGAGUAAAAGGUACAGUAUGUGGUGCUGGCUGACUGUGCGAAGGUGGUGGUGGUACAUGGUAUCAAAUUGGGUAUCCUCUUGAACUAGAACCUGUUGGGCCUGCUGCCCAUCUAUCCUCUGGCCAAGGCUAGCUAAAGCCUCCUGGAUAGAAGUCGUGGCUGCGGCAAACUGGUUAACGGUAACUAUCUGUGAGUCUAUAUCCCUCUGAUCAGAUAUCUGAUCUGACUGAUCUGAUACUCUGGUCAAUCUACCUCCAACUCUAAUCCAUAAAGGCGAAUCCAUAUCGAUCAAGGUAAACCCUCCUAUAAAUAUGGAAAUAUUGGAUAAGGUGUGGUACAAAAGCGACUCUGUAGGAAUCAAGUGCGUAGAAGCAAAACCCAAAUAUACUCAAUCUGAUACCCUCCUUUGAUUACACCAAAAGGAGAAUAAGGAAGGGAUAGCCAAAUCCAAUCGUGACCAAGGCAGCUCUGAAGGUUCACAAAUGCACCCACGUGUAGGAAUGAAAUCUUAAUUGGGUCUAGGCUAACCUACAAGGUUAAGGCGGCUCUAUAGGAUAAAAUGGGUGGAUCAAAGGAUCCCUAGCAGAAGCGAUCGUACCCUCCGGCGGUACGCAACCCUCUUCACGCCUCCAAGGAGACGGGGUGCUUCCAUGCAAGGUGGUCAUUACCUCCACACAUGCACUUCCUCGCAUUCCCAGGGGGUUUCUUAAAGGUGAAGGCUCUCCCAUCUCUCAACACUCAGGGAUAAUCUAAAGUGCACAAUGAAGAAUGUGGGUGCAUCCGAAAAACCUAAGAUCUAAAGUGAGAUAGUGAACGAAGACAAGCAAUCAUACGAACAUGCAAGAGAAAGGGUUGUCAUGCAACAAGAAGUCAUGCGAAGCAGAUAAAUAUCAAACAAUCAAAAUCCUAUCUAACAUAUGCGAGAGUGAAUCAUGAUGAAGUGAGCAAAACAAUCAAGUGAUCAUCCAAGGUAAUCAAACAUGUUAGGAUAGCAAACCAAACAAGCAAGCAAAUCAAAUCACCUUGCCCAAAAAAGAGGUACCCACUAAUCGACCAAUUAAACGCCACAUUUUCCUCAACUAGUGUUCAAGCUUGAUCCACAAAAUCCCCAAUGGAGUCGCCAAUUUGUGGACCCGCAUUUUUCACGUGCAUCUCCACUCGAUUGGCGAGACUCUCUUUUUAUUUGUGAAAAAAAAAUUAGUUUUGGAAAAGUUGGAGUUGCCACUUAUUUUAUUUUAUUUUUUUAAAGGGAAAAUAAUACAAGAAAUAAAACCCUAAAAAAUGACUCCAUAAUUUUUGGAAAAGCGUGUCUUUGAAAAACCCUAGUCUAAGUCCGAGGAUCAGGUUACUUAUUGGGAAGGUACCUUUAAAAGAUAGCACCCCUCUAAGCCCUACAAAGGUCUCUACUGACAAAAUUAAGGGAAGUGUGGCAAUUAAUCAACUAAUUAUAGAUACCUAAAUAGGCUCGGUGAUUUUAAAGAGUGGCAUGCCAAACACAAUCAAAUUGCAAUAAAGGAGAGUUAGGGUGCAUACCUGAACCGCUCUUCAAGCGCUAUCAUAAAACAUAAAAGUUAGUGUAGAAAUGUAGCACACAACAUUUGUUUUAUUCAAGCAAAUCAGGCAUAUAUCAAGACAUCCAAGAAUCACGUCAAAUAUGGAUAUGGUCAUCAAUGGCAUACAAGUCCAUAGAGUUCUAAAAAAUAGAUGAGAAGAGAGCGUACCUGGAUAGCAAGCUAGUACUCCUCUAUGGGAAUCAAGAGCAUCUCAACAAUAAAUGCGAAACAAAUUCAUGUAUAUCAUCAAGAAGAAUAAAAAAUCAACAUAUCAAACAAUAUUGAAGAAGGUAUCAUGAAUGUCGGGCCCCCACCAAAGCCCUAAUUAAUUUCGCAUGAGUUGAUUCCAUAAAUUCCAUGACUUGGAAUUAUGGAGUUUGUUCAUGCUUGAGAAAAUUGAGAAAAAUCAAGAAAAUAGGUUGAAAAUCAAAUAAAAUAGUGAAAAUGCAUGUCGGAAGGAAAAUGGCAGCAAGAGUAUGUUAGAAUAUGGAUUUUAUACCUAGAAAGGAUCUAAGAUGAAUUUUUCAAAGCCAGGAAUGUUUAGUUGAACAAUGGUUCAAGAAUUCAAUUUAAAACAAUAAGUUCCCAAUCAAAGAAGCAAAUAGAGGAGAAUGUGUGUAUAGCAAGGCUGCCAUGAAGUGAAGCCAGGAAAUUCUGGAUAGAAUGGACCAAUUCACUGCAACAGUGUUCAACUGUCAAAUGCUUCAACUUAAAAGACAUCUUGAUUUGUAAGCUCAAUUGGAUUCUCCUCAACAGAAGUCAAAUACUGAAUUGAAGGUUCAGAAUUUCUAAUUUUCUGCAUUGUUGUAUUUCCUGCAUUUUGUGUUAUUUCCCCACCACCGAGACUUGGUUCAGCAGUAUUGUCGGAGUUUGCUUUUUGAUUGUGGGCGGAAAUGGAUCCGACGAAUCGCGAGUAUCUGACCAGCCAAGCUAUCCGGGUGGAGUGUGAAUCGUUGGCCACAGAUGCUAUCCGGAUAAGCGUUAUCGAAGGAUCUGAACAUGUCUGCCUGGGGAAAUUGAAUCGUUCUCCUCUCCCAUCCGGCGGCGGGCACCAGAUGUGAAAUAUCCGAAGAAGGUGGAACGUCGGCCGGAUAGAAUUGCAGCUGUGAGACAUCCGGAGAAAGUGAGAUGUUGGCCGGAUAGAAUUGCGGCUGUGAGACAUCCGGAGAUAGUGGGAUUUCGGCCGGAUAGAAUUGCGGUUGUGAGACAUCCAGAGAGAGUGGGAUGUCGGCCGGAUAGAAUUGCGGCUGUGAGACAUCCGAGUGGAAUUGGUGAGAAUUUCUGUCCGGGUGGAAUGAGCGAUGACAUAAACUAAGAACCCUUAAGAACUAUGGUAACCUCUGUAUCUGUUUAACUCCAAGAAAACCCGUUUUACACAGCCUUUAUCAAGUUCCCAACUUUCUCGGAAUGCUCAUGGUCUCCAUAUCCGAGAAUACCAAGGUAAAGAAAGGGAGGAAAUGUAGAUAUAGAAGAAGCAUGCAAAAAAACCAAGAAAGAAAAGAAAAGAAAACAGGGGAAAAUAAGACAGUCGGUGGGUAUUUUAAAGCUAGAUUGGGACAUAAAUGGGGGCAAGACCCAUAGCAUCAAAUUCAAAGGUAAACUUAUAUUCAGAUUGCUUUCGGAUGGAACCAAAGACAUUAAAAGGAAUAUUAAAAUAGCAUAAACAUGCAAGCAAACCAGUCUCAACUAAUCAAAUUGUGGCCCUUGCGUCCACACCAAACGACAAGAAUGAAUCUUCAGAAAACUAAGAAUUCAGGAAAGAUUGAAACUAAAUGGUGAUAUAGCAAAAAUCUGGAAACAUACCUGCACGUUCUCCUCUCCAAUUGCUUGGUUCCAGGCUACUGCACCUUUUCCCGACUGAGAAAUCUGCUCCCCAAACCUUUUUCCGUCCACCAAUCUUCUCCCUCUCUAUAUGUAUUCCAAGUCCCUCUCUUCUAUGCCUCCUUUCAGACGAUCCUCUCAUGCACACCUCCUCUUCUUUUCCCUUUCCCCUUAUAUUUGUAUCAGCCUCUCAAACCAAAUAUGCUAAAGAAAAUCCUCUUUCCUUUCUUCUAUUUCCUUUCCUUUUUCGAAAAUCAGAAUGCUCCUUUAGGAUCUCUUAUUUCAUAUGUAUGCAGCCACAUUAAUUCCUUUUUUCCUCACAAAAUAUUUUUCUUACCUUUUUGAGUGCACAUACCUUAGUGAAAUUUGAAUAGUAGCCCCCAUUCUCUUGCCAAACAAUAAGAAAAAAAAACGAAAAUAGAGAGAAUAAAAAAUAAAAAAAGUUAGCAAUCUUACAACCUAUCAAAGAUUAAAAUAAAAUAAAAAUAAAUAAAGCUAUACAUAAUAAAAUGAAAUGAAAUAAAACAGUCAAUCCCAUGCGGGCCAUGCAAGUCAUACAAGUCACGCUAAAAAAAAGUCUUAAUGGGCCAAGUACGUCUAAAAGGGCUUAGGUGAACUUAAAUGAGCCUAAGGUUGGGACAAGGGUGCCUAAAUGGACAUAGGGUGUCUAAAUGGGCCAAGUAGACUACCCUAAAAGCUAUCCUAAAAAUGAAUGAAAAACCUAAGUCUAGAAUAGGGCUGCCAAGGGUCACAAUAAGGGGUCAGAUAAUCCAUCAACCAAAGUCUCCGAGGUGACUCAGAAAAGGGUAAGUUAUACAAGUAAUAAUGGGCCACUAAGGAGUUACUGUGGAGCACUGAAAAUAAAUUUAAAGACAUGUGCUAAAGGGACAAAAUUGAGGGUCUACAAUCACGAGUUCCAUAUUCUAGUGCAGUGGGGUCUCUCAUGUAUGCUAUGGUUUGUUCACAUCUAGAUUUAUCAUAUGUAGUCACUGCAGUUAGUAGAUACAUGACAAAUCUUGGUAAAGAACAUUGGAAAGCAAUUCAGUGGAUUUUCAAAUACUUGCAUAGUUCUACUGAUGUUUGUUUGCAUUUUGGGAGAACUAGAGAUGGAGUUGUUGGGUAUGUCAAUUUUGAUUUUGCUUGUGAUCUUGGUAAAAGAAGAUCUCUUACAGGGUAUGUUUUUACUGUUGGGGGUUGUGCUAUCAGUUGGAAAGCUACUUUGUAAACUACAAUCUCUUUGUCUACUACUGAGGCUGAGUACAUGGCUAUUACAGAGACUUGUAAGGAAGCUAUUUAGUUAAAAGGAAUAUUUGGUUAACUUAGUGACAACUUGCAGAUUACCACAAUUUUUUUUUUUUUUUUUUUUUGUGAUAGUUAGAAUGUUAUUUUCCUCACAAAAGAUCAGAUACUUCAUGAAAGGACAAAGCACAUUGAUGUGCGGUAUCAUUUUGUGCAUGAUAUCAUUGCUCGUGGUGAUAUUGUUGUGGCCAAAGUUAGCACCCAUGAUAAUUUUGCUGAUAUGAUGACGAAGAUACUCCCUGAAGCCAAGUUUGAGCAUUGCUUGAAUUUGGUUAGUAUUCGUUGUUGAAUUAUCCUUUGGGGUUUGUAAAAAAGGUGAAGAGUUUUUUUGUUGAAGAUUGGAGUUUGUUUUUUUCCAUUCCUUACAUUGGAAUUUGUGUCAAGGUGGAGAUCGUUAGAGCUUGGUGACCCAAUUUCCUUUUUUAGUCCAACCGGAAAUCUUCAUGGUGUGAUAUAUAUGGUGAAGAAAAAAUUAUGGAUUUCUUUUCUACUUUAUUUUUUUUUCUCACCCAUAUAUAUAUAUAUAUAUAUAUAUAUAUAUAUAUAUAUAUGGGAUGGUGUAUAGGUUUUCAGGGAUUUGUAUUGUAGUCGCUUAAUACUCUCCCCUUUUGUACCAAUUUUUAACAUAGUGGAUUAUUCUUCUCCUCUGUUCGUGGUUUUUCCUUUCUAGGGUUUUUCACAUAAAUAUGUCCUUUUUUUUUUUUUUUUUUUUUUUGCCUAUUCUCAUUUUUCCAUAACAAAAUAUAAAGCCAUCUUUCACAUUGUGGGUUUAGAUUUGCAUCCUCAUUCUCAAUAGGUGGAUAACAAUAAUAUCUUUAUGUAUGUCUCACAAUAUUUAUUAAACUACAAGACAACAUUUCUUUCUACAUCAUAUGCUUGGUUAAGGAUAGGAAAGACUUUGAUAUAACAAGUCAUAUAUUUAGCAUAAAAAUAAAAGUAAUGUGAAUGCAUGAAAGGGAAAACAUUCAACGGACAAAAUGGUAGAGUGAACUACAAGUGGUGGGAUUUCAUUAAUAAUUAAAUUACUUAUAAACAUACGUUGAUGGUAGAAGUUAGGUUUGUCAAGUCUUCCUUUGGAAAUUAUUAUUAUUUUCCUAGACAUCUAUAAAUACACAAAAAUAAAAAAAUAAAAAAAUAAGUGGAUGUGGAAUCCCAUGAAAUAAACUAAUUAUGAGUGAUAAAUGAUGUUAACUCCUAUGAGAAGACUCUCUAAUUCUAAUUUAUUUUUAUGGGAUUGGAAACAUGAAUCGGAUUAAUAAACGAAAUUGAUAUUUUCAAAAUUUUAAGUUUUAUUGCAUCACUAAAUAUUUUAAUCUAAUACAUAAUUUAUCGACAUUUUAAUUAAUUUAUGAGACCAAGGUAUAAUAAAAUAAGAUUUUGGUACAAAUAAUGAAACCAAAUACAAAUAUAUUAGACAAGGUAUAAACUAAUAAGUCCUAAAUAUGACCAAGGUACAAACUAAUGAAACAUAAAUACAAAACAAUAAGACCAAAAUAUAGAGUAAUGACACUAAAGUACAGGGUAAUAGGAUCAAAGUAUAAACAAAAAGAACCAAUGUAUAAAGCAAUGAAAUCAAGAUAUAAAAUAAAUAAGAUUAAGUUACAAACCAAUAAGACCUAGAUACAAAGCAAUGAGAGUAAUAUAUAAAAUAAUGAAACUUAAAUACAAAGCAAUGAGAUUAAUAUAAAAAGUAACAACAUCAAGAAUUGAGACCUAGGUACAAAUCAAUGGGACCAAGACACAAAGCAAUGGAACCAAGGUGCUUAGUAAUGUGACCAAGGUACAUAUAAAUAAACUAAUAAAGUCAAAGCAUAGAACAAUGAGAUUAAGGUACAAACUAAUGGACCAAAAGAUGUUAUAACUGAUAUAUUCUACUCUUGAGAGUGAAAUUACAAACUUUUGGGGUGGAAUUUACUUAUAACUAGAAUGGUUAACAAAUUAUGGAAUCGUUUUUAAAAUUUUUUAUGAAGAUGAGGAAUAUGGAACUUUGUCAAAAGUGCACGAAUUCUAAGCAAUUCAAGUGCAAGUAUUUUUUUUAAAUGUAUAGGAGGAAUAUGGAACUCUUUAAAAUCGUACCAAUCUCGAGCAAUUAUAGUCAAAUUAAAGCAAUAUUGUUCUACAUAAUAGGGCUAAUGUAUGAAGAACUUGAUCAACCAAGUAAUUUCACACCCAAGAGAACAUAACAAAGUAACAUACAAAAGACUAAAGAAGUUAGACGGUCUAUUUUUCAAUAGAUUUGGUUAAAUGUGGAUGUUCUGGAUUUUGUACAAACAAAAUUUUAGUAAUAUUAAAGAUUAUAUACAUGAACUUAAAUUUUUAUUUUCAAAUUUUAGUUAUUUUGGUGAUCAUGUACAUAAAAUAAAUAUUUUAUAAAAAUUAAAUAAUUUGAUCUUCAAUGUAAAUAAAUUUGAUAUGAAUAUACAUGCAAAAGUCACUUUCCCAAUAUAAUGGCUUCUUAUCAAAACUCUUCCAUAGCCUAUUCAAAACAAAUAUUGCAUCUCAUUAAUACUAACAAUAGUUGAAUUUUAUAGAAAUAUCAGUAAUUAGGUUUUAUGAAAAUGUUGAAAAUAUCAAUAAAAAUUUGGAUAAAUAUUGGUGAGACGGAAAUUCAUAAAAACUGAUAUAAAUAUUGAAUUUUUUUAAAAUGAUAAAAUAAAUAAUAAUGAACAUUUAGAAGUUAUUUUAUUAAAAAAAAUAUUUAUAAUAAAAAAUAAUUUACAUUUAAUUCUAAAAUAGUGAUUUAUUUAAUUUGAAUAUAUUAAAAAAUGUAAAAAAAAUAAAAACCUCAUUACGAAUAAUAUUUCAAUUUUUAGUAAUUAGUUAAAUGGAAUUUAAAAAUAUAAAAAAAAAUUGAUUUAACUAUUAAUAUAUAUUUUUUUAUAUGAUCUUUUUAUCUGAAGUAGAAGGGAGUAUUUUGGGUUCUCCGGUAGGACCGACUUUGCUAUGCAUACUUUGAUUUCUACACAUAUAUUAAAAAUAUUUUGAAUAUAAAAUUUUAUGCAACUUAUUGUUCGACCCAUAGAUAAGAAUGGUUAUAAUUUUUAAUAUUUUAUUCCAUUAAUUAAUAUUUUUUAAGUUAUAAUUUCGAACUCACUUAAGAUUUUAGUUUCUCUCAUUCUGUUAUAUAUUAUUCCAACAAACAAUUCUAGAACACAAGGAAGAUCAUUCAUAUCAACUAAAUUUUUUUAGCCAAAUCAACAACAUGGGCUCAUCAAAAGAAGCCAUGCAAAUAAUGGAAUGAAGCGUUGCAAGUUCACGAUUUAAAUAACCAUACUACAAGAAAUCAUGACUUCUUUUGUAACUAAAGACAUGUAUGGCUAUUGUGCCAACUACUUCGCAAAAACCACUACAAUGUGUGAAACGCAUGAAACUAAUAGUAAAGCCUGUCUGGUAACUAGUAUUUUAAUAAUAGCUUUUUAAAAUAAUUUUUAAGAACAAUUUUUUAAAAUUAUUUUCUAAUGUUUUGCAUAACAAGUCUGUUUGGAAUUUAAAAUAUUUUUAUUUUUUUUUUAAUAUUUUUAAAAAUAAUUUUUAUAUUUAUUAUUUUAUUUUUAAUCGUUUUACAUGUUUGUAUAACUAUUUUUUAAAACGGUCCUUAGAAAACAAGUGAAAACAAUUAAAAGAUAUUUUCUAAAAAUAUUUUGUUUUCUAUUUUUAAGAGUAUAAAAUAGAAAAUAGUUUUUAGUUGUCAAACCAUGUGUUUUUUUUUUUUUUUUGAGAGAGAAUAGAAAAUUGUUUGGGAUGACAAAAAACUAUUUUCGAAAACAAUUAUCAAACGAGCCCUAAUGUUUUAUAAUUUUUUUUAAAUAACUUAUGAAGCUCAGUUUUGAAGAACCAUCUUUGAAAAUAAGCAUAUGUUAUUUUUAAGAAUAAAAAUUCUUUUAAUAGCUCAAUUUUGAAAAAUAAUUUUCUUAAUUUAUUGUAUGUGAAGUUAAUGAUGGAUAUACUUUUUCUGUCUAUUCUUCUGUUAUCAAUUGUUUCCUAAAAAUUUAACAAGAAAAGACCAAAAAACUACUUCAACUUGUUCUAAACAAGGCCUAAAAAAUAUUUUAUUGAAAAGACCAAAUAUUUUGAAAAUUAAAAUUUUAUUGAACAUAUUUUGAAAAUUUAAAACUAUUUUCUAUUUUUUAAAAUAUAUAAUUAUUUUUUAAAAUAAUUACCAAAUAUGUCAUCCUAUAAAAAAUAAACAAAAUAGAUAAAUAAUUCAAAAAGAAGGAUCGGGCUAGGCGGCAAUUGGAUUAGUUAUUGUUAAUGCAAGUGAACAGGGCCAUUGGAUGUCAACAUGAUAAUAUUGAUUAUUUAGAUUUUAUAACAAAUUUGUAGAUAAAAAUAUGAUCCAAUUUUAUCCCAAAUUGAAUUAAUGAAAAAUUAAGUUUAAAUGUAAAACCAUAAUUCACAUCAUAGAAUAAGAUUCACAUUUUCCAUUUCCAUUUCGAUUCUCAUCUAUAAAUACCCAAUCCAUAAAUAAGUAUACGUAGAACUUCAUGUGAAAUACUAAUCUUUGGUAGAAAAUAAGGUUAAUUUCUAUAAGAAGAGUCUCUCUUGCCCUUUUUCGUAGGGUUGGAAAAAAAUGAAUUGAUUUGGACCAAGCCAAAUAAAAUUGAUUUUAUAUUUGUGUGUAAAUCCGCAAUAACACACUCACUAGUCAUUAAUUUAUGAUAAUCUAUAGCUCAUAUAUUGAUUAGUACAUUCACUUGAGCAAAAUUUCAUAAUAUGACAAUAUUUAUUAUUUAUAUUUUAGAAAAAAAUAUGAAGAUAAAAUGCAUUACCUAAUUUUAUUCCAAAUUGAAUUUACCAAAUACUAAAUUUAAAUGUAUAACCAUGUUUCCCAUUGUAGACUAGGAUUCACGUUCCCAUUUGGAUUCCUAUUCUUACUUGGUAAAUGCUAAGAAAUCUAAGAAAUCAUUCCUCUCUAUGUGUCACUACAUUUAUUAGAUAUAAGUGCAAGAUGUCCUUUCUUUCUAUCAUAUACUUGGGUAAAGAUGAAAAAGACUCGCAAAACAAGUUAUGUAUUUGGUAUAAAAAUAUAAGUAACAUGAACACAUGAAAGUUUAAGUAUUUAGUGGUGAAAAUUGUAAAGUAAACCGUAAGUAGUGAGAUUUCAUUAAUAAUUACAUAACUUACAAAGACAUCAAAAUGAUAGAAGUUAGGUUUAUUGGGUCCUUUUCUAUAAAUAAUAAUUAUUUUAUUUGACAUCUAUUACCACCCAUUCCAAAAAUAAGUAAAUGUAGAAUCUCACGGGAAACACAAAUCCAUGGUUAAGAAUAACGUUAAUUUUCAUAAAAAGUCUCAUACCAUUUUUAGCAGGGUUGCAAAAAGAUGACUUGAUUUGGACCAAGGCAAAUCAAUUUGAUUUUUUCAAAAUGUGUGUGUAUUCAUAUUUUCAAAUUUGUGUGUUAAUCAACUAUGACACUCUCAACAGUCAUUGGACAAUCAUCAAUUUUUGGUCAUUUAUAACUUAUACAUUGACUCCCAUAUUAUUUUUCCUUUCCACCAUCUUACUUUUCCCUUGACCACGAUAUUUAUAUUAUGAUAAUAUUGAAUAUUUAAAUUUUAUGAUAGAUAAAAAAUAAAAUACAUGAUUUAGUUUUGUUAGAUAAAAAAUAAAAUACAUGAUUUAGUUUUGUUCCUAAUUGAAUAAACUAAAAACUAAGUUUAAAUAUAAAAAACAUGUUCCGUAUUUUAGAUUUAUAUUUGCAUUCUCGUUCUCAUUGGGUUGAUAACAAUAAUAUAAGAAUUUUUUUUUCCUUUAUAUAUGUCUUGCAGUAUUUAUGAAACUACAAGGGGUCAUUUCAUUUCUUUCUAUACCACAUUGUUGGGCAAAAUGCAUCAAAGGUAAAACUUUUAAUGGAGAAAAUGGUAGAGUGGACUGCAAGCGGUGGGAUUGCAUUAUUAAUUAGAUUACUUAUAAAGAGGUGUUGCUGGUAGAAGUAGUGUUUGCCUAUUGUCCCUCUGUAAAUAAUUAUUAUUUUACUGAACAUCUAUAAAUACACACUAAUCUCGAAUACAUCUAAUUAUAGGGAGCAUUCUGGAGGAUCAUAGUCUUUUAAUGGUUAAUUAUAUCUUUCUUUUAUAUUUUUCCAAAGAAUUAAAGGGUUAUUAUAUUUUGAUUACAUAAAAAUCACUUAAAAUAACAUACCAAAGAGAAAAUUAAAAAUAUUUAAGUAAGUUUAUAAAUGUAUAUCUUAUCUAUAUAUCAUAUUCAUGUUAUCAUAUUACUGAUAUUUUCCCUACAUGGGUUUUGACUAUGACAAAAAAUAUUUUCAUGUUAUCAUAAAGUAAUAUAAUUACUACAAAUUCAAGAAAUUAAAAUAAUAAUUAGGAAACAUUAAUUAAAGAAUAAUAUAUAUAUAUAUAUAUAUAAAUUUUUUAUACCUUCUAUCUAUGAAUAGUUUUAUUAUGAGAAAAUAAAUUUUUUGCAUAGCAUCAUGUUAUGAAAUAUUCUCUAUACAAUUUUUGACGUUAAAAUUCCACAAAAUUUUUAAUCGAAAAUUUAGUUUUGUAUAACUUCUAGUUAUACCAUAAUUAAAAUUUGUCUAUAUAGCUUCUAGUUAUAGAAUUGUUCAUUAAAAAUUUUGGUUUGUUAGACUUCUAGUUAAACAACAAAAUUUUAAAAAUUGUUUAUAUAAGUUCCGUUGUGAAAUGAAUAUCAAUAUAAAUUGUUUUUGUAGCUUGUGGCUAUGACAAAUUUUCCAUACAACUUAUGGUUGUACAAAAUUAAAUGUCAAUAUUUUCAAGCUUUUGGCUUAAACAUAGAAAAUAUAGAUUACAUAACUUCCGGUUAUGAUUUUUUUUCUUGUAUAACUUCAAGUUAUACAUUCUAUUUUACAUAUUUUAUUGUAACAAACUAUACAAAUUUAUACAUAACUUCAAGCUAUGAAAUAUUUUUUGUAUAGACUUUGAACAUACAAUUUUGUUUUAUAUAACUUCUAGAUAUACAAUAUAAUUUAAAAAAUAAAAUUACAUGCAUAACUUCUAGCUAUGUCAUUAUAACUUUAUAAUUUCUUGUAUAACUUCAUGUCAUGGGAUUUUAUAUAUUUUACAUAACUUCUUUUUUAUAAUUUAUGGCUAAAAAAUAUUUUCUACAUAGUAUUUGCACAUGUUUCUUAAUCUAAAUAAGGUAAAUCAAAUGCAAAAUAAAUAAAAAUGGAAUUUUAUCAUAUACCUUUUACAUGAGAAAGAAGAUAUUUUCUGGCAAUAGAUUUAAAAUCUAUCAAAAUUUCAUGCGCAAUUGUGAAUUAAAAUUUUUUAAAAGAAGAGAAAAAAAAAAGGUCAAAGGAAAAAUUAUUAACAAUAGUAUCUUAAAAAUAUGAUUUAGAUUCAUUUUUCCCCUUCUAAUUUUUUGUUCACUUAUAAUAAUUGUACUUUGGGUGGAAUAAAAGCAAAACAAAACGUUGAACAUCAAAAUACUCAUUCAUUGGAGGAAUAAAUAGAUUUUUUUAAAAAAAAAAAUCUUAUAAUAUAGCAAUUUAGAAAUUAUUUUCAAAUUUAUAGGAGUUUGUAAGGUGAAAAAUAAAUGAUAUCAUGAUACCCCUUAUGCAAACAUAAUGUCCUCAUUGUGUCACAUGAAAUUGGAGGGUCAAAUAAACAAAAAUCUCUUAUAGCGCAAAAUAAACCCUCACACUAGAAUUAUGGAUUAACUUUGAUAUAAUUUGUAACAACUUAUUUUCAAUUGUAUAGAUAUUGUUUGUCCUAAAUCUAAAAGGUUCACACGGUUUUAAAACACAUCUAUAAAAUUAAGAUGAGUCCAUAUAUAGUGUCAAAAUUUUUUUUUCCCUAUUCAAUAUGGGAUAUCAUGAUUGCAUCCACUAUUUUUAUUUUGUUAGGUUAGGCAAGCACAAACAUGCAUAUAUAAAACCCACUUUGGAAGGUUUUUUUUUAUCCUUUUGAUCUUAAGAUAGAAUAAAAUUUCCUAUACUACCCCUGCAUACCCAAAAAAAUUUACAAUUAAUUUGUUUCAGGCAAUGAAAAUAUUCAACACAAGUUCCUUAAGAAAAGAAAUAAUUUACAAAAUUACAAUAAUCAUGACCAAAAGCAUAUAAGCUAAUUGUUUUACAUAUAAUGAUCUCCUUUUUUGAGGGUCAAUUUUAGAAGAAAAAGCCAACGAAGAUUAUCAGAAAAGUCCCAUACCACAAGUAUUUGUUGUCAUAUUUUGAUUUGAGCACCACACAUCUUGGUAAUGCCAUUUCCUCUCUAAUCACUUCUAUUGCUUCUCACUUCUCACUGCACUUUUCUUCUCCUAACUCAACCUUAUUUAUAAUGGGAAAAAAUUCUAUUUAAAUGUAAGAGCAAGGAAUUUAAAUUAUGUUCAAUGGAGCGCUCAUAAAGCAAGACGCCCAUCAUUAAUUUGGUAGGGAGCUUGUAUUAAAAUACUGAUUUAGUGGUCUGCACUUCUCAUCAGUAAACAUGAACCAAUGAAUAUCGGUUCAUUGCCUUGGAAGCGUGCUUAAGAUCACAAUUACCAUUACAGGCAAUGAUACUCCAAUGAUGUAACUUUCUGGACACCCCACCCAAACAUUCUCAUAUCUAGUUCUUGGUAUGAUCUCCACUUGCAUUUUGAUGUAAAUGCAAGUGGACAGGGCAGUUGUAUGUCAACAUUGAUAGGGGCCUAAGCAUACCCGAACAGUACUUUUGGUCAAGGCUAGUCCUGCUUCUCUUUCAAAUCCGGGUUAUUCUCUUAGUCUGAGUUGAGAAAAAAACUAGAUGAGGAAGAGAUCUAUUUUUGUGAUUUUAUGACAAAUUUGAAGAUAAAAUAUGUGAUCCAAUUUUAUCCCAAAUUGAAUUAAUAAAAAAUUAAAUUUAAAUGUAAAACCAUAAUUCACAUUAUAGAAUCACUUUCAUAUUUUCAUUUCCAUUUCCAUUCCCGUCUAUAAAUACACAAUCCAAAAUAAGUAGACAUGGAACUUAAUGUGAACUACUAAUCCUCAUGAAAAAUAAGGUUAAUUUAAUUUCAUAAGAAAAGUCUAUCUUGCUAUUUUUCGUGGGAUUGGGAAAAGAUGAAUUGAUUUGCAGCAAGCCAAAUAAAAUUGAUUUUUCAAAAUUUUAAAUUUUAUUUGAUCUAUUUAAGAAAAAAUUAAAAAUUUCAAUCUAAUAUAAGAAUGAAUAUAUAUUUGUGUGUCAAUCCACUAUGACACUCGCCAAGAAAAAGUUCAACAUAAGUUCCAAAAGGGAAGAAUUUACAAAAUUAUUACAAUCAUGGUGAAAAGCAUAGGCUAAUUUUGUUACGUACAAUGUUCUUCUUUUUUGAGGGUCCAUUUUGGCAGAAUACAUAUGUCAAUUAUUUAGAAAAAUAAAAAGCCAAAUAAAAAGCCAGCAAAAAUUACGAUAAAAAUACCAAAAUUUUGGCAGUAUAUAUAUGUCAAUUAUUUAGAAAAAUCAAUGGCCAAUAUUUUCAAACAAAAACAUUGCUAUAAAUGGGUGUUUUUCUGAUCGAUUUUAGCCAAUUAAUUAAGGAGUUCAAAUUUUAUUUUUUAAACACUUUUUAUUAUACCAUCUUUAAUCCUUAAAGUGAGUCCCUAGCUAGACACUCAAUUCACAAGUUAAAUUAUUACUUGCAAUCAACAACUCCAUGCUUGGGGUGAACACCACACAGUAUUGGAAUUCAAGCGUGAAGGUUUAUGUAGGUUCUAAUCGGUAUAAGACUCUAAGAAGUAGGUUCAUCCAUAUCAAGUAAUUCUAAAUAUAUCCCUUUCAUAUUUAGUGAAUCCAUGGUUUUUUUUUUUUUUUUUACACCUAUGAAGUUUCUGAAAAACUCCAUAGGUGAUUUUUUCCUCAUACAUCUCGUAUUCUUGUAUGAAAUUCACCAACAUUUAAUUAUUAUUGAUAUAACUUUUAGCAACCCACCUAAAAGGGGUUUCUAGGAGAUAAUGAGCCACUGUAGGUUGAGAUCUAAUGGAAUCACCAUCUUAAUAGAUAACUAUAGAGUAUGAAAAGAAUAGAAGAUAACUAAGUGAUGUUGAUAAAAUAAAAACUUGAUGAAACGAUAGUGGAAAUGGAGGUUUACAAGAAAAGUAACAUAGCAGAGAGGAACUUAAUUGAAGUUAAGAUAUACAUAAAUUAAGAAAUGGGCUAUAUGUCCCAUAGGUAUAGUAAGAAAAACCAUUCAAAGGUGCCUAGUGACUUCCUCUCCAAAGAUGACACUACAUUUUGAAGAGGCAUACAAAAAUCCUUACCUAAAAAAUAUUAAAAUCUACAAGGUAAACAUAAAGUCCAUUGCCAUUACGUGUAUAAGUGUUAGGAUGAUUAAUCUAAGAUAAAACAAUUUUAAAACAUGUCAUACAAUAAUUUUGGUGUAUAUAUAGAAACUAGUAUGACAUAAUCAUAACAAUAUUUAAAGAAGUGUAAUGUAAAACAUGCAAUCAUAAGUUUGGACAUAUAUCCAUGAUCAAUUCAUUGACUAUAAAUAAACUUACUAGCCAUGACUACCACACACCACCACAUUCUUUAGGGUUUCACUAUCUUCAAUCACAAUACCAAGUAACUCAUCUUCUUAUCAUCCUAUUAGGGGCAGAACAAAGCAUACUCUGCCACUUUGGGCUCUACCCCCUAACAUGACAUCAAAAUUCAUGGUUUCACUAUAUAAUCCCCAUCUUGCUAUAUAAGUGGUAUGGAAUUCUGAAACAAAAUUGUACAAAACACUUCUUAGGUGUAUGUGUUAUCAUGCCCAUCGUACAUCAAUGCUCCAAAGACCAAUGGUUGUUUUAGGUUAUGAUAGGGUAUGUAAUUUCAUCAAUUAUAAAUAUAAGUUAUUAAAUAAUUAAUUCAAGAUGAAACAUAAUUUAUUUUUGUAAACUCAAUAUAAAUAAUGUAUCUUUUUGACCAAAAAAUAAUACAACAUAUAUCUCAUGUCAUUAGUAACACUAAGCAACAUAUGCAAGACAUAUCUAUUUUAAGAAAAAUUAGUAAAAUCAUUCAUAUCAUAACUACUCAAAAAUCCUAAAGCAAUUAAAACUAUAGCAAAGCUCACAGUAUGACUCCACAAACUCUAGGUUCUCAUUUGAUAAAAUAAAUUUUAAAUGGAUUAAAAAGAUUUGGAAAUUUCAUAAAAAUGGGAACUAAGAUUCUAAAGUCCUACAAGUCUACUCUCACUUAGACAACACCUUAUAUAAAAAGAUAUAAAGUCUUUAAAAAAUAAGAAUCUAGACCAACUAAGUUCAAUUCGAGUGAGAAUCAAGCCAAUAAGCACAUUGAUGAGUGUAGAUACCUUGAAGAUUAAUAAGUCAAAUGAUUAGCAAAAGACCACCAACUAAGCCUCAACAACCUGAUCCAUGUGUUAGCAUCUCAUUGGUGCUUGUGCGAUUCUUUGAAGAUUCUUAAUUUUGUUAUGAGAUUUUUCAAUCAAAUGAAUUCAAUAACAAUCUCACUCCUUAAAAAUUUUGUAACAAAACUUAAGCACAUAUCCGCAACCUUUACUAGCAUGUAUGCAUUGGUCUAAAAAAUUCAAAGCAUAAUUUCCAAUGAUAUCUCCCCCUAUAUAUGUGUGUCUCUACCAAGCACACAUUUUCUCGCUCUAACAUCAACUUCCCUAGUCUAGUAUUUUUCCCAUUUUUUGAGGCAACAUGUCAAAGGCGAAGAUGCAAAACUUUAUGAAAGAGGAUUUGAUGAAACCAAAAAUGUUUUUGAGUAUAGUUGAGAAUUCAUUCAAGGCUUUUAUCACUUUUAGUUUGCCAAUUAUAUUUUCAUCUUUUUUGGAUAGUGGUUGAUGUACAAAGGUUUUAUAGUUGAGAAUUAACUCAAAGCUUCAUCAUAAUAUUUUUAAGGAGUUAUAUAACCUCAUAUAUUCAAGGAUGUACUCUUGGUACUUAUCAAAACAAUCUUAAUCAGUCAUGAUAAAAACUCGAUUAAUCCUGGAUUGACUAUUCAAAGUAUGUGCCAUAAAUAUGCCUAUAUUAUAACAAAAAUUAGUGCUUUUGAAGAACUAAUGUUGUUAUAUAAAGCACAAACAUUCAAACUUGGUGUGCAAUUCCUCAUGGUAGUUGAGGACUUACUCAAUCACAAAUAAACUUAGAUUUUUUGAGAUAUUUAAAUUUGAUUAAAACCAAAGGCUUUUAAUUAUGUAUGCCAUUUAAUUUUCAAUAUAAGCAUAUUCUACUUUCAUUAUGUCAUUUUCAACAAGCUCCCUAAUAUAGUGAAACUGAAUGUUAAUAUGUUUAGUCCUACUAUACUUAGUGAAAUUGAAACAUUUAUUGCACUGGUAUUAUCACACAAGAUGAACAUAGUAUUGCAUUUGAUUCCAAAAUCUUCUAUCAUCUAUUUAAUCCAAUUCAUUGAGUACAAGAACUACCUAUACUAUUCAGCUUUCGUAGCUAGUGGAUAAGAGGAUAUAAUUGUCUUUUUCUCAUCCAAGUAACAAAGUUUCUCCCAAUGUAAAAUCAACCUCUUGUAGUGUCGUAUAAUACAAGAAACCUAGAGUAAUAUUGUUAGUAUACCAUAACCCUAAAUUGUAAGAUCCAGCAAAAUAUUUGAUGAUCAUUUUUACUAUUGCUAGACGAGAUUUUUUUGGGCUUGAUUGGUAGCACAAAAACCUACACUACGUGCCAUGUCUAGCCUACUAGAUGUAAGAUACAAGAGACGCCCAAUCAUCCUUCUGAAUGAUGUAGAUCGAUCAAUUUCCUUACUUUUUUUCAUCCUAUGAAAGCUUAACACUUGUUCCCAAUAAGGUCGUCUCAUGUUUAGAUGAUUCCAAGCCAAACUCUUUACUAACCCUAUAGCAUACUUGACUUCCAAGAAAGAAAGAUGACUUUUUCAUUGUGCUCAUGUCAAAUCUUGAGCUCAUUUCCUCAAUAAAUUCAUGUGCUUCAUCAGUUAAUGUGAAACUAAAUAUGAUGUCAUUGACAUUUACUGGGCUACUGCAAAGACACCAUCCUUUCUCCUUAGAAACAAAGUCCUAUGAAAUCUAUAUAUGUCAAAUAACACUUUUCUUUAUAAAAUGGUUAAAAAAAAUGUUUUUAAUGAAAGUAGCGGAUGAAGAGUACACGAGAAAGAAUAUUUUCGUUUUAUGGUAAAAUUUUAUUAGGAUAAAAAGAGUUCUUUUAUUGUGUAAUUUUUUUUUGGAAGAAUUCAGAAUAAAAUAUAAAAAAAAAAUUACUAAGAAAAAGGGUAAUAUUAAAACUAAAAUUUCAUAUAAUAUUAAAAAUAAGGGACCAUGUUUUGCUACAAGUGCAAUAUAUAUAUCUAAUUUUUCAGAUUUCAAUUACUAAUGAGUAAUGAGAACAAAAAAAAAAAAAAAUCCUAAAUUUUAUAACUACAAAGAUAUGCAUGUUAAUUAAAUUGAAUUAAAAUUAAAAUAUAAAAUUGAAUUUUAUAAUUAUAUAACAAGAUGUGAAAACAAAUAAAAUAUUUGAAAGUAUGUGAAACAACAUAUUUUUAUGAAAUGGCAAAAGAACAAAAUCUUUUUUUCAUAAAGAUAUGAAAGUCCCCUAUAUUUCCCAAAAAGAGACAUUAAUUGAAGAAGGUGGCAUCUGGUGCGCCCAUUCAAAGGCUCGUAAAUGCUGCUUUGUCUCUUGUAUAGGCUCUUUUGUAUACGGUUUGUGAUAAAAGCCUGCUGGGCAUUUACAACCCAUCUCUGUUGGCCCUGUUCUGUUAGCCUCUUCUCAGCUUUGACCAAAUCCUAGCUUUCACACACACCUGCACCAUUUCUUGCUCCUGCUCGGCAGGGCUGGCGAAAAUGACAACACAUCUCUUGUUUUCAAAUCAAGAGGAGCGCACCUGUUAUAUUUUAUUGAGCUUAAUGUCAUUUGUCAUCCAAAUAAGGGUUUAUAAGAAAAGGAAUUUAUUUUAGUCUACUACAAUGUCAACAACAUCAAAGUCUAGGUGACACGACAAGUACAUUUCUAUAGAAAGAGAAUGAGAAUAGGAAUCUAAAUUACAAUGUUAACAAUGUAAUUUAAGUCUAGGUGACACGAUAAGUAUAUUUUUAUCGAAUGAGAAUGGGAAAGAGAAUCUAAGUUUACAAUAUAAACAACGUCUGAGUCUAUACAUCGAAUGAGAACCUGAUCUGAUAAAUCAUGGGUCUAUAAUUCAGCCCUCCUGACAAGCAACUCUAUAUUGACUGAGUGUCCAAUCCAACAUAGCUACAUUAAGGUGUAUGGGGUCAAAAUUAGAAGUCCAUGAAAGAGACACGUCACAAUUAAGUCAUUAAACUCAAAAUCACAUAAAAUAUAUAAAGUAAUGUUUCUCCUCCAUUCAGAGGCAUUUCUAAGAUCUGGAAAUGGGGUGGCAUAGUCUAGAUGAGAUGUAAGUAUAUUAAGUACCAAGAUAUUAAAACUAAAAAAAAGUGAAAAAGCUACGCAAUACCCACAUAAUAUUUAUUUCAUCAAUACUUAGAAAACACAAACUCAAGUAGCACAGUACAUGAUGAUAAGUUACAUAAAAGAAACAUCUUUCUUUAAGUCGCUCACCGAUCAUGCAUAACACUAAGUAGUCCCAAAAGUAAAGGCAAGCACAAUUUUAUUAUCCUUCAUAAUACUAUUAGGCAAGGAAGGGGGAUUCGACCAAUGCAACAAGUCCUAGAAGCAUGACUUAGCAUUUCACAUCACAGAUUUUCUUCUUUGGUCUCGUACUUGACGUUGAAGCAGUUCACGCCAACGUAAACACCAUCAUCCAUAUUGUCAACAACAAUUUUCCCGUCUGUCAAAGUGUCGCGCUGAGUGUAGGAGAAAGGGACGUCGCAAGAACCCUUGGUUCCUAUCAUGCUCACGGUCACCCUAGUCAUCGCCGGCACUGUAACAUUGUACAUAGUCUCCAUUGCAGUAGUGACUGAUUCAGUUUCUCCCCACUCAUAUGCACCGCUAAACUCGGACGAAAUUUCUAACUUUCCGUUGGCGAUGAAUGGAACGCCGCUUUCCAUGGUGAUUUUGACACCCAACUUCAAUGAGACGCUGCCCUUCCAAGUACUGCUCUUAGUCUCCGUAUACGAGAGCUUCACCUGUUGAGUGUGCGGUUCAUGGGUCCUGUUAAUGGCUUCCGCGGUGGUCAUCACGAUGACGCUCUGGUCGUAGAUCCUAGCGUCCAUGAGGCGAAAAUUGACAUUAUAGAUGUUUCUUGAUAAAACAAGCUCUGCCACCUCCAGGCGUGCCUCUCUGGAAAUUGUGGAGACCGCGGCAUUGAGACAGCUGGUCUUGCCCUCGGUGGUGAGUCUCUUACAGAAAUUGUUGUUACCUAAGUUGCGGAGAGCGACCACAUUGUUGUCAACUCUAACAGGCCAAAACAAGGUAUCGGAGUUGUUGGUGGUGGAAUCAUCGGAGUCAGCCCAUAUCCAGUUAGGGCUGCGCCUCCAGAAUCUGCCGAAGUAAUCUGACUUUAUGCGGACGCUUCCAUCGUGAGUGGUGAAGACCUCGUUCCCCACCGUCGGGUCUCCAAUGUCACUUGAUGCGAACUCCAGAUAUGGGUGUCCCUCGAUCUUCCGGGCACUGAGGUAGUGGCCAUUAUCGCCCUUGAAGGCGAUAUGUUUUGGCAAUAUCAAUAGUGAUUCCCAAUCAAUGAUUGUACAGACAUCGCAGAGGUCGUUGUCAGCCGAAGUUGAUCCUGCAAACAAACAGGAACCAUAAGGAGGUGGAAGCCUCCAUAAGCAUGCAUAGUGUCCGAGCUGGACGUGGCGAAAUCGGAGUGUUUGAGCAUCGCCAUCUACGUGCACAGGCUCGAACAAGGUGCAUGACCAUGACGAUUGGUCUUCAUCUGGUUCGUCCGCCCCGGCAACAAUCCACCAGUGGUUCUUGGACCACCUUACCCAGUAUUUGUUGUUGUAGCAGCAUCUUAUGUGCACUAGUCCCCCGCCAUUCUUUGCCCUCUCCACUUGGUACUUUGAGUAGGGUGUCACGACCUCCUCUCCCGAGAAUUGGAGAAAUCCAUGAAUUUGCACAUCUUCAUGGAUGUACCGCAAGUACUUGUUGUUAUAUUUUGAUUUGAGCACCACAUACCUUGGUAAUGCCAUUUCCUCUUUAAUCACUUCUCACUGCACUUUUCUUCCCUUCACUCGGCCUUAUUUAUAAGGGAAAAAACUAUACUUAGAUGUGAAACCAUAUUUCACAUCGUAGACUUUCAUUUGCAUUCCCAUUCUGAUUUGGUAGAUAAAUUUAAGAUGCUAUUUAUUCCUCUGGGUCCCGCAACUUUCAUUGAAUAUCAUUAAUAGCAAGACUAAAACCACAUGUCAAAUUGUAGACUUUUACUCGUAUUCUCAUUUACAUUCCCGUUCUCAUUUGGUAGAUACAAAUAAAUUUAAGAUGCUAUACAUUUCUGUGUCCCACAACUUUUAUUGAAUAUCAUUGAUAGCAAGACUUAAACCACAUGUCAAGUUGUAAACUUUGAUUUGUAUUCUCAUUUGCAUUCUUGUUCUCAUUUGGUAGAUAAAGAAAUUUAAGAUCCUAUAUAUUUAUGUGUCCCACAACUUUUAUUGAAUAUCAUUAAUAGCAAGACUAGAACCACGUCAAAUUAUAGACUUUGAUUCGUAUUCUCAAUUGCAUUACCAUUCUCAUUUGGUAAAUGUAUAUACCAAUAAAUCAAGACAUCCUUUCUUUCCAUUGCAUGCUUAGUGUGGAUAAGAAAGACUCCCAUAAAACAAAUAAUGUAUAUAUGACAUAAAAAUAAAACUAUGCAUUAAACAUAAAACAUUUUAGUGGUAAAAAUAGUAAAUUGGAUUGCAAAUAGUGAGAUUUCAUUAAUAAUCAUAUAACCUAUAAAGACACGUUGAUGGUAGAAGUUAGGUUUUUUGGGUCUCCUAUAAAUAAUUUCACAUGACAUCUAUUAUUAAUACACACUUCUAUAACACUCUCACUAGCCAUUUAACAAUCGUCGAUAGUCUAUAACUCAUACAUUGACUACCAUAAUUUUUUUUUGCUUUCCAUUAUUUUAUUUUUCUCUUCAGUAUAAUAUUUAUAAUAUGAUAAUAUUGAUUAUUUAGAUUUUGUGAGAAAUAAGAAGAUAAAUACAUGAUCUAGUUUUAUUCCUAAUUGAAUAAACCAAAAACUAAAUUUAAAUAUAUAUAAAACCAUGUUUCACAUUGUGGAUUUAGAUUCACAUUCCCAUUUGCAUUCUCAUUCUUAUUUGGUGGAUAGCAAUGAUAUAAUAUAUUAUUUCUUCCAUUAUAUAUGUCUCUCAAUAUGAAUUAAACUACAAGACAUCAUUUCUUUCUAUAUCACAUGCUUGGCUAAUGAUAAGAAAGACUUUGACAUAACAAGUAAUAUGAAUGCGUGAAAUGUAAAAGAUUUAAUGGAGAAAAGGAUAAGAGUGAACAUAAGUGGUAAGUGGUGGGAUUUCCUUAAUCAUUAAUAAUUAAUAAUGAUAGAAGUUAGGUUUGUCAAGUCUUCCUUUGUAAAUAAUUAUUAUUUUACUAGAAUUUAUAAAUACACAAAAAAAAAUAGUAGUAGAUGUGAAUCUCAUGUAAAAAGCUAAUCUUGAGUGAUAAAUGGUGUUAACCCUUAUGAGAAGAGUCGUCUUUAAUUCUAAUUUUUGUGGGAUUGGAAACAUGACUCGGAUUGGAUCAAACAAAUGAAAUUGAUUUUUCAAAAUUUUAUAUUUUAUUGCAUCAAUAAAUAUCUUAAUCUAAUAUAUAAUUUAUCAACCUUUUAAAUUAUGAAAACAAAAUUGACUUAAUAUAUAUAAUUUUUAAACUUGUGUUUCAAUACCCAAUCACUGGUCAUUAAAAAGUCAUCAAUUUCAAAUAUUCUAUAACUCAUACAUGGACUUCUAAAUUUUAUUUUUUCAACUGACUUUAUUUUCUCUUAAGUAUAAUUGUCAAAACUAGAUAAUAUUGAUUAUUUAGAUUUUAUGACAAAUUUGAAGAUAAAAUAUACAAUCCAACUUGUUCCAAAUUGAACUAACCAAAAAUUAAAUUUAAAUGUAAAACCAAAAUUUACUUUAUAGACUAAGAUUUGCAUUCCCAUUUGAAUUCUCAUUCUUAUUUUGUGAAUACUAAUAAAUUAAAAACACUAUUUCUUUCUAUAUGCAUGCCUCACAACAUUUAUUGGAUAUCACUAACAGCAAGACUAAAACAAGGCUUCACAUUCUAUACUUCGAUUCUCUUUUCCAUUUGCAGCUCCAUUCUCAUUUGGGGGAUACCAAUAAAUCUAAAACAUAAUUUCUCUUUAUAUAUCUCACAAAAUUUAUUAGAUAUUAGUAAAUGUGUGACGUCAUAUUUCUUUUUAUCACAUGCUUGGUAAAGAUAAGGACUCACAAAACAUAUAACAUUGAGGGGUGAAAAUGGUUAAGCGAUUUGUAAGCAGUGAGAUUUGAUUAAUACUUAUAUAACCUACAAAGACAUGUUGAUGGUAGAAGUUAGGUUUGUUGGAUCUCCUUUUGUAAAGAAUUAUUAUUUUACAUGACAUAUUAAUACUCACUCCAAAAAUAAGUGGACGUAGAACAUCAUAUGAAAUAAUAAUGAUGGAUGAUGAAUAAAGUUAAUUUCCAAAAGAAGAGUCUCUCUGACGAUUUUGAGUGGGAUUGGGAAAAGAUAGAUUAAUUUGGACCAAGAAAAUCAAUUUGACUUUUAAAAAUUUUAAAUUUUGUCGGAUUUAUUUAAAAAGAAGCUAAAAUUUUCAAUCUAAUAUAUGAAUAAUCAACAUGUUAAAUGGUUGAAAACUGAAUUCACUAGGAUAUAUCUAGAAUUUUUAAAUUUGUGUGUCAAUCUACUAUGACAUCUCACCAGUUAUCAAAUAAGCAUCAAUGAGCAUAAUAUGAUAAUAUCGAUUAUUAAGAUUUUAUGAAAAAUAUGAAGAUAAAAUACAUGAUCUAGGUCCAUUCUUAAUUGAAUUAAUCAAAAAUUAAAUUUAAAUGUAAAACCAUGUUUCACAUGGUAGACUUAGAUUUACAUUCCCAUUCCCAUUUGCAUUCUCAUUCUCAUUCUCGUUUGGUAGGUACCAAUAAUAUAAGAUAUUAUAUUUCCUUUAUAUGUAUAUGUCUCACAACAUUUAUCAAACUACAAGACAUCCUUUCUUUCUACAUCACAUGUUUGGAUAAGGAUAGGAAAGACCUUGACAUAGUAAGUCACAUAUUUAGCAUAAAAAUAAAUUUGAAAUCAUGAAAGGUAAAGUAUUCAAUGAAGAAAAUGGUAGAGUGGACUACAAGUGGUGGGAUUUUCAUUAAUAGUUAAAUAACUUAUAGAGACAUGUUCAUGGUAGAAGUUAGAUUUGUCAGUCUCACUCUUUAAAUAAUUAUUGGAUGUGACAUCUAUAAAUACACACAAAAAAAGAAGUAGAUGUAGAAUCUGAAGUAAAAACUAAUCCUAAGUUAUGAAUGAGGUUAACUCCUAUGAGAAGAGUUUUUAAUAUUAAUUUUUAUGGUGUUGAAAAAAUGAAUAGAUCACAAUCAUCCAUUCCUAAUAAUUCAUAACCCUUAUAUUGAUUCCUAUAUUUUAUAUUUUUAGUUGAUUUUAUUUUUUCUCUUAAGCAUAAUUGUCACAGCAUAGUACUAUUGAUUAUUUGGAUUUUAUGACAAAUUUGAACAAGAAGUAUAUGAUCCAACUUUUUGAAAACUUGAAUUAACCAAAAAUUAUAUUUAACUUAAAACGGUAACUCACAUAAUAAACUAAGAUUUGCAUCCUCACUUGCAUUCGCAUUCUCAUUUAGAGGAUACCAAUAAAUAAAAGACAUCAUUUCUUUCCAUGUCUUACAACAUUUAAAAACUAUGUUGCACAUUUUAAACUUAAAUUCAUAUUCACAUUCCCAUUUCUGCUCUCAUUUGGUGGAUACAAACACUUACAAGACGUGAUUUCUCUCUAUUUGACUCACUACAUUUAUUAGAUAUUAGUAAUCGCAAGACUUUCUUCUUCUUUUUUUCUAUCAAGUUCACAAAACAAGUUAUAUAUCACACAUAAAAAUAAAAAAUAAAAAAAUAAAAAAAUAAAAAGUAUUCACUAUAACAUAAAGCAUUGAAUGGUGAAAAUAGUAAAGUAUACUACAAGUAGUGAGAUUUCAUUAAUAAUUUUACAAACUAUGAAGAUAUGUUGUUGGUAGAAGUUAGGUUUGUUGGGUCUCCUUCUAUAAAUAAUUAUUAUUUUACAUGACAUCUACUAAUACCCACUCCAAAAAUAAGUAGACUUAAAACCUAAUGUGAAAUAAUAACCAAAGAUGGUAAAUAAGGUUAAUUUCCAUAAGAAGAGUCUCUCUUAUAAUUUAGUGGGGUUCAAAAAAGAUGAAUUGAUUUGGACAAAGCAAAAUCAAUUUGAUUUUUCAUCAACGUAUAUUUGCACUAAGAGCAUGUCAUUUUCUUUGGUUUUUAUGAAAAGAGUUGUGUCUAUUUUUCCCAUUUUAAAACCCUCUUUCAAAAGAAAUUUACUCAAUCUUUCAUACCAUGCUCUAGGUGCUUGUUUCAAACCAUAAAAUGCCUUUUUAAGUUUAAAAACAUGAUUAGGAAGGUUAAAACUUUGAAAAUCGGGCGGUUGUUCUGUUGGGCUUUGUGGAGCCUAGUUUUGUUUGAUCCGGUUUGGCGACCUGACCCAAAUAAUAUUGCAUGACUUUUUAAUGGGAGAUUCACUAAGGCUUGUUGGGCCCGUUUAGCCCAUUGUGGAACCACCUUUUGUAAUUAGGGUUUUUAAGUGUAGUGUGGUUGCCAUGUUAUAUAUAGAGAGAAAAUAUUGUAGCCGCUGUGGUGGUACUCUAUAUUUUUCCCUGAUAAUAGUGAUAUCCCUACAACUCCGUGGACGUAGGCAAAUUGCCGAACCAUGUAAAUAUUGUCUUGUGCAUGUGAUUGUUUUUCUUUGGCGUGUGUUUUCUCUAAUUUUUGUUUCUCACGGGUUGGGAAUUCGGUUUAAUUCCCUACAACUGGUAUUAGAGCCUAGGGUUAGGUUUGAGUGGGAGCAAUGGAAAAAGAAGCAGGAAAGGCAUCUGGAAUAGAAAAGUUUGAUGGCACAGACUUUGCGUAUUGGAAGAUGCAGAUUGAAGAUUAUCUCUAUGGGAGGAAAUUGCAUCUACCUCUUUUGGGGACAAAACCUGAGAGUAUGAAGGCUGAGGAAUGGGCGCUUCUUGACAGACAGGUUCUAGGAGUUAUUAGGUUAACUCUGUCUAGGUCUGUUGCACACAAUGUUGUAAAGGAGAAGACCACAGCAGAUCUAAUGAAGGCUUUGUCCAGUAUGUAUGAAAAGUUGUCCUCAAACAAUAAGGUGCAUCUGAUAAAGAAAUUGUUCAAUUUGAAGAUGGCAAAGAAUGCAUAAAUAGCACAACAUCUGAAUGAAUUUAAUACAAUCACAAAUCAAUUAUCGUUUGUAGAAAUUGAUUUUGAUGAUGAGAUUCGUGCUCUAAUCGUCUUGGCUUCUUUGCUAAACAGUUGGGAGGCAAUGAGGAUGACAAUAAGCAAUUCUACAGGAAAGGAAAAGCUCAAAUACAAUGAUAUACAAGAUUUAAUUCUGGCUGAGGAGAUUCACCGAAGAGAUGCAGGCGAAACCUCAGGAUCUAGUUUUGCCCUAAACCUUGAGACAAGAGGCAGAGGUAAUGACAAAAAUUCAAACCAGGGUAGAUCAAAAUCUAGAAAUUCUAAUCGGAACAGAAGCAAAUCUAGAUCAAGCCAACAAGUACAAUGUUGGAACUGUGGGAAAACAGGUCACUUUAAAAGGCAAUGCAAAAUCCCUAAGAAGAAGAAUGAAGAUGAUUCUACUAAUGUUGUAACAGAAGAGGUACAACAUGCAUUACUUCUUGUAGUAGACAGUCCACUCGAUGAUUGGGUUUUGGAUUCAGGAGCUUCGUUUUAUACCAUUCCACACCGAGAAAUCAUACAGAAUUAUGUUGCAGGUGAUUUUGGUAAGGUGUAUUUGGCUGAUGGUUCAGCCUUGGAUGUUGUGGGUCUGGGAGACGUCCGAAUAUCGUUACCCAAUGGGUCUGUUUGGUUACUGGAGAAGUUCGACAUAUUCCUGACCUAAGGAGGAAUCUGAUUUAUGUUGGACAACUUGAUGAUGAAGGACAUGCAAUACUAUUUGUUGGUGGUACUCGGAAGGUUACAAAGGGAACUAGGGUAUUGGCUCGUGGAAAAAAGACCGGUACACUGUAUAUGACCUCAUGUCCAAGAGACACAAUUGCAGUUGCUGAUGCAAGUACUGAUACAAGCCUAUGGCACCGUAGACUUGGUCACAUGAGUGAGAAAGGGAUGAAGAUAUUGUUAUCAAAAGGGAAACUACCAGAAUUGAAGUCCAUUGAUUUUGACAUGUGUGAAAGUUGCAUCUUAGGAAAACAAAAAAAAAGUGAGCUUCUUGAAAACUGGCAGGACACCGAAGGCUGAAAAAUUGGAACUAGUACACACUGAUUUGUGGGGGCCUUCUCUGGUUGCAUCCCUUGGUGGUUCAAGGUACUACAUCACUUUUAUUGAUGACUCAAGCAAAAAGGUAUGGGUUUAUUUUCUGAAAAAUAAAUUUGAUGUAUUUAAAGCUUUUAAGAAGUGGAAGGUCAUGGUUGAGACAGAAACAGAUUUGAAAGUAAAAUGUUUGAGGUCAGAUAAUGGAGGAGAGUACAUAGAUGGAGGGUUUAGUGAGUAUUGCGUUGCACAGGGAAUUAGAAUGGAGAAGACCAUUCCUGGGACACCACAGCAGAAUGGUGUGGUUGAGCGCAUGAACAGAACUCUCAAUGAGCGUGCUAGAAGAUGAGGUUGUAUGUUGGACUACCAAAAACUUUUUGGGCUGAUGCUGUUAGCAUUGCAGCUUACCUGAUAAACCGAGGACCAUCAGUUCCUAUGGAAUUCAGACUUCCUGAGGAGGUUUAGAGCGGUAAAGAGGUGAAGUUUUCACAUUUAAAAGUUUUUUGUUGUAUUUUUUAUGUUCAUAUUGAUUUUGAUGCUCGUAGUAAACUUGAUGCAAAGUCAAAAAUAUGUUUUUUCAUUGGCUAUGGUGAUGAGAAAUUUGGCUAUAGGUUUUGGGAUGAACAAAACAGGAAAAUCAUCAGAAGUAGAAAUGUGAUAUUUAAUGAACAGGUUAUGUACAAUGACAGGUCAACUGUAGUGUCAGAUGUUACAGAGAUAGAUCAAAAGAAAUCUGAGUUUGUCAACUUAGAUGAAUUGAUUGAAAGUAUUGUCCAAAAAGGGAGUGAAGAAGAUAAGGAGAAUGUAAAUUCACAAGUAGAUCAAAGUACACCUGUAGCUGAAGUUCGCAGAUCUUCCAGGAACAUUAGACCUUCACAGCGUUAUUCACCUGUUUUAAAUUAUCUCCUGUUGACUGAUGGUGGUGAGCCAGAGUGUUAUGAUGAGCCUUGUAAGAUGAGAAUUCAAGCAAGUGGGAGUUAAUCAUGAAGGAUGAGAUGGAUUCCUUGUUGGGGAAUCAAAUAUGGGAACUGACUGAAUUGCCAGUAGGAAAGAAGGCUUUGCACAACAAGUGGGUAUACAAAAUAAAGAAUGAGCAUGAUGGUAGCAAACGUUACAAGGCCAGAUUAGUUGUUAAAGGGUUCCAACAGAAGGAGGGCAUUGACUACACAGAGAUAUUUUCUCCAGUUGUGAAGAUGUCAACAAUUAGACUUGUACUUGGAAUGGUGGCUGCAGAAAACUUACAUCUUGAGCAGUUAGAUGUGAAGACAACAUUCUUUCAUGGUGACUUGGAGGAAGACCUUUACAUGAUUCAACCAGAAGGGUUCAUUGUUCAUGGACAAGAGAAUCUAGUCUGCAAACUGAAAAAGAGCUUGUAUGGCCUUAAACAAGCUCCUAGACAAUGGUACAAGAAGUUUGACAAUUUUAUGCAUAGAAUUGGGUUCAAGAGAUGUGAAGCUGAUCAAUGUUGCUAUGUUAAGUCCUUUGACAAUUCUUACAUCAUAUUACUAUUGUAUGUGGAUGAUUUUCUUAUUGCAGGGUCUGACAUUGAAAAGAUUAAUAAUCUGAAGAAGCAAUUGUCCAAACAGUUUGCAAUGAAGGAUUUGGGAGCUGCAAAGCAAAUCCUUGAUAUGAGAAUCAUUAGAGACAAGGCUAAUGGUACAUUGAAGCUUUCACAGUCAGAGUAUGUGAAGAAAGUUCUUAGCAGGUUCAACAUGAAUGAAGCUAAACCAGUGAGCACACCCUUGGGUAGUCAUUUCAAACUAAGCAAAGAACAGUCACCGAAGACAGAAAAAGAAAGGGACCAUAUGAGCAAGGUGCCCUAUGCCUCAGCUAUUGGCAGCUUGAUGUAUGCUAUGGUGUGUACAAGGCCAGACAUUGCACAUGCAGUGGGAAUUGUGAGUAGAUUCAUGAGUAGGCCUGGAAAGCAGCAUUGGGAGGCAGUCAAGUGGAUUCUAAGAUAUCUGAAGGGUUCAUUAGAUACAUGUCUUUGCUUCACAGGUGCAAGUUUGAAACUGUAGGGUUAUGUAAAUGCUGAUUUUGCUGGUGAUAUUGAUAGUAGAAAGAGUACUACUGGGUUUGUUUUUACUCUAGGUGGUACAACUAUAUCAUAGGCUUCAAAUCUACAGAAGAUUAAUUGUUACUUUGUCUACUACAGAAGCUGAAUAUGUUGCAGCAACUGAAGUUGGAAAGGAGAUGAUUUGGCUACAUGGUUUCUUAGAUGAAUUAGGUAAGAAGCAGGAGAUGGGCAUUCUACACAGUGAUAGUCAGAGUGCAAUUUUUCUUGCCAAAAAUUCGGCUUUUCAUUCAAAGUCGAAGCAUAUACAAACAAAAUACCACUUUAUCCGUUAUCUUGUUGAAGAUAAACUGGUAAUACUUGACAAGAUUUGUGGAUCUAAGAACCCGGCAGACAUGUUGACUAAGGGUGUCACUAUUGAGAAGUUGAAGUUGUGCGCAGCUUCAAUUGGUCUUCUAGCUUGAGGACAGGAGGAUGAGUUGUAGGGAUGAAGGAUUGUUUCUUGGAUGAUAGCGGUUUGAUGUUGGUGAUUGAACUAAUCUCCAAGUGGGAGAUUUGUUGGGCUUUGUGGAACCUAGUUUUGUUUGAUCCGGUUUGGCAACCUGACCCGAAUAAUAUUGCAUGGCUUUUUAAUGGGAGAUUCACUAAGGCUUGUUGGGCCCGUUUAGCCCAUUGUGGAACCACCUUUUGUAAUUAGGGUUUUUUAGUGUAGUGUGGUUGUUAUGUUAUAUAUAGAGAGAAAAUAUUGUAGCCGCUGUGGUGGUACUCUAUAUUCUUCCCUGAUAAUAGUGAUAUCUCUGCAACUCCGUGGACGUAGGCAAAUUGCCGAACCACGUAAAUACUGUCUUGUGCGUGUGAUUGUUUUUCUUUGGCGUGUGUUUUCUCUAAUUUUUGUUUCUCAUGGGUUGGGAAUUCAGUUUAAUUCCCUACAUGUUCAACUUAUACCUCUUCAUUUAUAAAGCCAUUUAAGAAAGCACUUUUCACAUCCAUUUGAUAUAAAACAAAGUCUUUAAAACAUGCAAAGGCAAUUAGCAUCCUAAUGGCUUCCAAUCUAGCUACGGGAGCAAAGGUUUCUUCAUAAUCUAUCACUUCUUCUUUAUUAAAACCUUGGGCUACCAAUCUUGCUUUAUUCCUUAUAAUUAUGUCAUUUUCAUCCAUUUUAUUUCUAAAGACCUAUCUAGUUCCAAUAACACUUUGAUUUUGAGGUCUUGGCACUAAUUCCCAUACUUCACUCCUUUCAAAUUGAUUUAACUCUUCUUGCAUGGCAAUCAUCCAAUUUUCAUCAAUUAGAGCAUCUUUUAUAGUUUUAGGUUCAAUUUGAGAGAUAAAAGCAAGAUUAUUGCAAAUAUUUCUAAGAGAUGAUCUAGUUCUUACCCCACUAGAUGGAUUACCUAUAAUUUGAUCUUGUAGGUGGUUGAUGACAAACUUCCAAUCUUUAGGGAGGUCUUGGCUUGAUUCACCUUGCACUUGUUGAAGAGGAGGUAGUGCCAAAGGUGAUUCUUCUUUCUUGGGAUCCUCUACAACUUCUUCUUAUUGCCUUCUAUCUUCAAUUUGUAAUUUUCCCAUAGAGGUCUCCAACCCUAAAUCAUCAUCAAAGCUCUCUCUUUCUUGGAGAGAAUUGUUAGAUUCAUAAAAAAUAACAUGGAUGGACUCCUUAACAACCAUGGUUCUUUUGUUAAAAACUCUAAAGGCUUUACUUGAAGUUGAGUAACCAAGAAAAAUUCCAACAUCCGAUUUUGCAUCAAAUUUUCCAAAUUUGUCUUUAGUGUUUAAUAUAAAUCAUUUGCACCCAAAGACUUUGAAAUAGCUAAUGUUGGGUUUCUUGUUUUUCCAAAGCUCAUAGGGAGUUUUCUUAAGAAUAGGCCUUAAUAAAAUUCUAUUUAAAACAUAACAAGAAGUGUUAACCGCUUCAGCCCAAAAGUAUUUUGGUAAAUUGUUUUCAUUUAGUAUGGUUCUAGCCAUUUCUUGAAGAGUUCUAUUUUUCCUUUCAACUACCCCAUUUUGUUGAGGAGUUCUAGGAGCCGAAAAUUUGUGAUUAAUACCAUGCUCAUUGCAAUAGUCUUCAAAAUUAAUAUUUUCAAAUUCUCUCCCAUGAUCACUUCUUAUACAAGUAAUUGUAAAACCUUUUUCAUUUUGAACCUUGUUGCAAAACUUUGAAAACUCAUAAAAGGCUUCAUUCUUUUGACUUAAAAAUAAGACCCAAGUGUAUCUAGAGAAGUCAUCCACAAUAACAAAAGCAUAAGAUUUUCCUCUAAGGCUUGGUGUCCUAGAGGGACCAAAUAAAUCCAUAUGCAACAAUUCAAGAUGCAUAGUUGUUGAAAUGAAAUUUUUGUUUUUAAAAGAGUUUUUGAUUUGCUUUCCCACUUGACAAGCUUCACAAACUUUGUCUUUUUGAAAAUUUAUUUUGGGAAGGCCUCUAACAAGUUCAUCUUUGUUGAGUUGGGAAAUGAGGUCCAUGUUAGCAUGUCUCAACCUCCUAUGCCACAACCAACUUUGAUCAUGCAUGCUUGAAAAGCAUCUAUCAUGGCCAUCAUAUUUUGAAAUAUUUAUUGCAUAAACAUUAUCACAUCUAUGGCCCAUGAAGAUGGUUUUAUCAUUUUGAAUAUCUUUGAUGAUGCAAUGAGAUGCUUCAAAAAUCACUUUAAAACCUUUGUCACAAAGUUUUCUUAUGCUCAAAAGAUUAUGUUUUAAACCAUCCACUAAUAAAACACUUUCAAUAAGAGAGGAUAUGUCAUUACCAAUGUUGCCUUGACCAAUGAUCAUUCCUUUUGAAUUGUCUCCAAAGGUAACGUAUCCUCCCUUUCUCUUUGUAAGGAAAGCAAACUUGGAUUCAUCCCCGGUCAUGUGUCUUGAGCAUCCACUAUCCAAGAACCACUUAUCCUUCUUUGAUCCCUAUAAAAUAAAAUUUAAGCUGAUUUAGGUACCUAUAUCUUUUUGGGUCCUUGAGGGUUAGUGACCUUGGAUUUCUCAACCCAAACCUUUUUAGGUUUAGCAUUUGAAUUCUUUUGAGAACAAUUUCUUAAGGGACAUGUACUACAAAUGUGCCCUCCUCUUCCACAAAAGUUGCAAGUGGUGGAAGGACUUGCACUUGCGGAUUCUUUUACAAAGUAGUUUUUAAAAUACUUUUGAUUUUUUUUUUUAAGAUUUGAAUCCUAGCCCUUGUUUGUCAAAGACACAUUUUUGGCUAGCUAAGAUCAUUUCAAAAUAUUUUUGUCCACAAGAGAAAAUUGAAAGAGAGGAGGUUAACCAUUCAUUUUUCUUUUUCAAAAUCUCAUUUUCUUUUUCAAGAUGAGUUUUAGAUAUUUCAACAAUUGAAAAUCUUUCUUUCACUUCUUCAAGUUCCUUUUCAAGUUCUUGAAUUUUCUUUUUAAGAGAAUUAUUUUUCAAACUAAGUUUUUCAAAAUCCUCAUAUAAUUCUUUAAAAACAUCAUGCAUAUCUUUAUCACUAAAGUUAGAUUUUACCUCAUCAAGAUCAUCUAUUUCCAUAAAGCACAUGUUUGCCACUUCCUUCUCAUUUUCUUCUUCAGAGGAUUCUUCACUUUCACUCCAAGUGGCCAUCAUUGCCUUCUUCAUUCUUCUCUUGGCUUCACUCUUGUAGAGAGGACAAUCAUAUUUAAUGUGUCCCGAUUUUUUGCACUUGAACCAUAUCAAAUCUCUUUUCUCUUCCCAUUUCUCCUUGUCACCAUGGGAUGAAGAUUCCUUUUUAGAAGGAUCCCUUCCAAAGGUGAAUUUCCUUCCUCUAAACCUUUCACUUCUCAUGUAUUUGUUGAGCUCUCUUGUGAUGAGGGCUAAAUCAUCAUCUUCAUCACUUGGCUUUUCUUCUUCAAAAUCUUCUUCUUCCUUGGUUGUAGCUUUGAGGGUUAUACUCUUCUUCUUUUUGUCUUCACCCUCUUGUAGCUUCUUUGUCAAAUUGAUCUCAUAUGUCAUUAAUGACCCUAUGAGCUCUUCUAUAGGUAGCUUAGUCAAGUCUUUUGCUUCUUGAAUUGCGGUGACCUUGGUAUGCCAUUUUGAUGGGAGAGACCUCAAUAUCUUCAUCACCUUCUCGAAUUCCUUGUAGGUUUUUCCCAAAGCUUCAAGACCAUUGACAAUGUCGGUGAACCUAGUAAUCAUCUCAACAAUAGUCUCAGUUUCUUUCAUUGAAAAUAAUUCAUAGUUAUGAACAAGUAAAUUGAUUUUUGACUCUUUCACUUGAUUAGUUCCUUCAUGAGUUAUUUCAAGCAACCUCCAAAUUUCUUUAGCCGAUUUGCAUUGUCAUAUUCUAUUAUAUUCAUUUCUAUCCAUAGCACAUUGCAAAGUAAAACCGGCUUUAGCAUUUAAUUGAAAGUUUCUUCUAUCAAGCUCACUCCAUUCUUGCUUGGGUUUUGGAACCAAAACUCCAUCAACUAGUUUAGUGGAAAAAGUUGGGUCAUCUUCAAUGACAUCCCAUACAUCUAAAUUAGUUGAUUGCAAAUACCAAGUCAUUUUAGUUUUCCAAUAGGAAUAGUCGGUUCCCGUAAAGAAUGAAGCUCUAUGUUUUGAAAAAAUUUCAGCUUGGGAUGAGCUUGAUGGAAUAGCCAUUUCCUCUUAGACGAUUAAGUCUUUAGAAAAAAACAAGAGGUCUAGCUCUGAUACCAAUUGAGAAAACAAAGGCUAUACUUAGUUAAGAAAAACACCCAAAAGGGGGGAGAGGGUGGUGAAUUGGGUUUUUAAAAUCUUUUCAAUCACAACAAAUUCAAACACAAUAUAAGCAAAAUAAAGAGAUAGAGUUUAGAGAAUUCAAACUUAGGUUUAUAGUGGUUCGGCACUUCCUUGCCUACGUCCACUCUCCUCAACCUCCUAAUUGAGUGAGGGUUCCACUAACUUGAAGCUUCAACCAAGCUUCCAAUCUUCUUACACUUAGAUUCUGGCUCCAAUGGGCUCUUACACAAUCUCUUCAAGAUUCAAACCUCUUGAAGGCUUUGACACUCAGAUUUUUAUAAGAAAUGAUCCCUCAACCUAGCUUAAGGAUAGCUCAAAUACAAGACAAAGCUAGGAUGACACACAAGAGUGCACUAAAUGAUAUGCAAGUGGUGAUUUAAUGCACUAUGAAAGAAAUGAGAGCUUUUUUAUCAAGAACAGGUAGGUAGGCUAUUGAAUGCAAGUGUUCUAUUGUAAUAAAUGAAGUGGAGCUCUCAAUUUAUUGGUUUCAAAACUCGGGAGUCAAAAACAGCAAAAGGUAACCUCGUCCGGUCGAGCUAAGGGUCGACCGGUUCACUAGCCAUUGGAGCAUUUAAUGCAUGACAGGUUACCGUUGCCUUAACCGGACCUCGACCGGUCCUCGACCGGACAUCGAUCGGUAAGAGAAUCCCCUCGACCGGGAAGAGAAGGCUACUGGGAAAGAGAGAAACUUUUUGGCCUCCCUCGACCGGUCCUUGACCAGACGAGCACAACCGGUUUACCGGUUCCUUAACCGAUUGAGCUGGUUGGCCAUAGCCUCGACCGAUUGAGCCUUUUUUGCCCCGAAAACCUAUUUUUUUAAUUCCUUUCUUUUCUAACACUUAGGCAAGGUCUUUAGGUAAAUCAUUAAGCCAAUUAUAAAAUAUUUUGCCUAAGGUACAUUACUUAAAAACUCAGGUUUUAAUGAAAUCGACGUUUUAAAUAAUAAACCAAGUUUUCAAAGAUGCAUGAAAUGUGUGAAAAUCCUAAGUGCACUCAUGCAUUCAUCUUACAUUAGUUUCCUAUUAUCACAAGUCUUACAAGCGUCUCGAUCUUGUAUCCAUUUGGUCCUUUGAUGAAUUUUCGAGUUUAUGCCUGAGAUUCUUAACCAUUAAAUAAAUUAGUCACUUAACCAUGGUUUGUUAUCAUCAAAACCCGAUUAGGAGAACCCUUGGGCUAACAAUAGCAAUAUCAUUUCCAGUGUUUAUUAAAUCAUCCACACAUAAAUAAACAAUGAGCAUUUUUCCUCCAUCACCAAUUUUAACAAAAAGUGUAUGCUCACAUUUUUUAAAACCUUUCUUCAAAAAAUAAGCAUCAAUCCUCCUACUAUACCAAGCUUGUGGGGCUUGUUUUAGUCCAUAUAAAGUUUUCUUUAAUUUAUACACUUUAUGCUCAUUUCCAACCUUAAUAUAACCAAGAGGUUGAUUAAUAAAUACCUGUUAAGAAUUGAGCUAUUUUUCCGUUCACAAACUCCGUUUUGUUGAACAUGUAAGUUGCAGUGAGUUGCCUCCUGAUUCUACGAUUCUCACAAAAGUUUGCAAAUUCUUAUGAGAUGUAUUCUCCACCACAGUCUGUACAAAGAACUUUGAUUGGGCUGCCCAUGUCUUUCUCAACUAGCACUUUAUAGGUUUUAAAGGCUGUAAAAGCUUCAUAUUUCUCCUGCAAAAAAUAUACCUAAGUUUUCUGACUAAAAUCAUCAAUGAAGGUAAUUAUGUAUCUUUUACCUCCAUUUGAAGAUGGAUGUAUUGGGCCACAUAGGUCAUAAUGCACCAGCUCCAAUGCCUUCUUUGCUCUCCAUGACUUUCCUUGUGGAAAUUGAUUUUGGUGUUGUUUGCCACUACACAUUCUUCACAAACUUGUUGAGGGAAUUCAAUUUGAGGAAGGCUAGUCACCAUUUUUUUUUUAUUAUAAUGUCUUGAGUCGAAAAUGCCAAAGCCUUGCAACAUCCUCCAUCUUAGUAGAGAAGCAUAAAUUAGUAACACUAUGGAGAUACAAAGGAAACAUACGAUUGGCAGUCAUAUGGACUUGAGCAAUCAGGCCUUUCUUUGAAUCAUGAAUUUUGCUCCAAUGAUUUCUCCUCCUAUGCAUGUGUCUCUCAACCAAGCACACAUUUUCUCCCUCUGAUAUCAACUUCCAUAGUCUUGUAUUUUUGCCCACGUUUUGAGGCAACAUGUCAAAGGCGAAGGUGAAAAACUUUAUGAAAGAGGAUUUGAUGAAAACAAAAAUGUUUUUAUGACUAUAGUUAAGAAUUCACUCAAGGCUUUUAUCAUUUUUAGAUUGUCAAUUAUAUUUUUCAUCUUUUUUGGACAAUGGUUGAUGUACAAAAGGUUUUAUAGUUAAGAAUUAACUCAAAGCUUCAUCAUCGUCUUUUUCAAGGAGUUAUAUAACCUCAUAUAUUCAAGGACAUACUCUUGGUACUUAUCAAAACAAUUAAUCUUAAUCAGUCAUGAUAAAAACUCAAUUAAUCCUAGAUUGACUAUUCAAAAUAUGUGCCAUCAAUAUGCCUUUAUUACAACAAAAAUUAGUGCUUUUGAAAAAUUAAUGUUUUUAUAUAAAGGACAAACAUUCAAACUUGGUGUGCAAUUCCUCGUGACAGUAUCCCAUUUAAUUUUUAGUAUAAACAUAUUCUAUUUUCACUAUGUUAUUUUUAACAAGCUCCCUAAUAUAGUAUAAUCAAAUGUUAAUAUGCUUAGUCCUACUACGCUUAUUGAAAUCGAAGCAAUUAUUGCACUACUAUUAUCACACAAGAUGAACAUAGUAUUGCAUUUGAUUCCAAAAUCUUCUAUCAUCUAUUUAAUCCAAUUUAUUGAGUAUAAGAAUUACCUAUACUAUUCAACUUUUGUAGUAGAUAAGCAAAUAUAAUUCUGCCUUUUUCUCAUCCAUGCAACGAAGUUGCUCCUGACGUAAAAUCAACCUCUUGUAGUACUGUUUUAUAAUACAAGAAACCUAGAGUAAUAUUGUUAGUACACUAUAACCCUAAAUUGUAAGAUCUAGCAAUACAGUUGAUGAUCAUUUUUACUAUUGCGAGACGAGAUUCUUUUGGGCUUGAUUGGUAGCACAAAAACCUACACUACAUGCUAUGUCUAGCCUACUAGAUGUAAGAUACAAGAGAUCUCCAAUCAUGCUUCUAUGUGAUGUAGAUUGAUCAAUCUCCUUACUUUUUUCAUCCUUGGAGAACAUAACACUUGUUCUGACAAAGGUUCUCUCAUGUUUAGCUGAUUCCAAGCCAAACUCUUUACCAACUCUAUAGCAUAAUUGACUUCGAUAUAAAGAUUCCAUUUUUAAUCUGUCUUAUUUGCAGUCCAAGAAAGUAAAAUAACUUUUUCAUUGUGCUCAUUUCCUGAAUAAAUUCAUGUGCUUCAUCAGUUAAUGUGAAACUAAAUUUGAUGUUAUCGACAUAUACUUGGGCUACUACAAGGACACCAUCCUUUCUCCUUACAAACAAAGUCCUAUGAAAUGUAUGUCUUUCUUUAUAAGAUGGUUAAAAAAUAUUUUUAAACUUAUUUUUUACGAUGAAGAAUAAAUUUUAAUGAAAGUAGUAGAUGAAGAGUACAUGAGAAAGAAUUUCGUUUUAUAGUAAAAUUUUAUUAGAAUAAAAGGAGUUUCUUUUAUUGUGUGAAUUUUUUAUUUUUUGAAAGAAUUAAGAAUAAAAUAUAAAUUUUUUUUACUAAGAAAAAGGGUAAUAUUAAGACUAAAAUUUCAUAUAAUUUUAAAAAUAAGGGACCAUGUUUUGCUACAAGUGCAAUAUAUCUAAUUUUUUAGAAUUCAAUUAGUAAUGAGUAAUGAGAACAAAAGAAAAAGGAAUCCUAAAUUUUAUAACUACAAAUUAAGAUAUGCAUAUUAAUUAAAUUGAAUUAAAAUUAAAAUAUAAAAUUGAAUAUUAUAAUUAUAUAAGAAGAUGUGACAACAAAUAAAAUCGUUCUAAUGUGAUAUUUGAAUGUAUGUCAAGCAAGUAGCAACAUAUGUUUAUGAAAUGGCAAAAGAACAAAAUCCCUUUUUAUAAAGAUAUGAAAGUCCCCUAUUUUUCCCAAAACAGACAUUAAUUGAAGAAGAUGGCAUGUGGUGCGCCCAUUCAAAGUGACUGUUAUAUUAAGGGCUCCACAGGCUUGUUAAUGCUGCUUUGUCUCUUGCAUAGGCCCUUUUGUAUACGGUUUGGGAUAAAAGCCUGCUGGGCAUUUACAACCCAUCUUUGUUGGCCUCUUCUCAGCUUUGACCAAAUCCUAGCUUUCACAUGCACACCUGCACCAUUUCUUGUUCCUGCUCUACAGGACCGGCGAAAAUGACAACAUAUCUUGUUUUCAAAAUCAAGAGGAGUGCACCUACUAUAUUUUAUUGAGCUUAAUGUGAUUUGUCAUCAAAAUAAGGGUUUUAAGAAAAGGAACUUAUCUUAGUCUACUACAAUGUGAACAUCUUAGUUUAGAUGACACAAGUAGUACAUUCCUAUCCAACGAGAAUGAGAAUAGGAAUCUAAGUUUUCAAUGUGAAGAAUAUAGUCUAAGUCUAGGUGAUAUGAUAAGUAUAUUUCUAUCCAAUGAGAAUAUUAAAACUUUAAAAAAAAAAUGCUGCACAACACCCACAUAAUAUUUAUUUCAUCAAUACUUAGAAAACACAAACUCGAGUAGCACGAUAAGUUAUAAAAGAAACAUCUUUCUUUAAAGCGCUCUCCAAUCAUGGACAACACUCUCAAGAAGUCCCAAACGUAGAGGCAAACACAAUUUUAUUACCCUUGAUAAUAUUAUUAGGCAAGGGAGGGGGAUUGGACCAAUGCAACUAGUCCUAGAAGCAUCACUUGGCAUUUCACAUCACAGCUUUUCCUCUUUGGUGUGGUACUUGACGUUGAAGCAAUUGACGCCAACGUAAACACCAUCAUCCAUAUUGUAAACAACAUUUUUCCCGUCGGUCAAAGUGUCGUGCUGAGUGUAGGAGAAAGGGACGUCGCACGAACCCUGUGUUGCUAUCAUGCUUACGGUCACCUUAGUCAUCGCCGGCACAGUAACAUUGUACACAGUCUCCAUUGCUGUUGUCACUGAUUCAGUUUCUCCCCACUCAUAUGUACCGCUAAACUCGGAUGAAAUUUCUAACUUUCCGUCAGCGAUGAAUGGAACGCCGCUUUCCAUGGUCAUUUUGACACCCAACUUCAAUGAGACGCUGCCCUUCCAAGUACGGCUCUUAGUCUCUGUAUACGAGAGCUUCACCUGUUGGGUGUGCAGUUCUUGGGUCAUGUUAAUGGCUUCCCCGGUGGUCAUCACGAUGACCCUCUGGUCGUAGGUCCUAGCGUCCAUGAGGCGAAAAUUGACAUUAUAGAUGUUUCUUGAUAAAACAAGCUCUGCCACCUCCAGGCGUGCCUCUCUGGAAAUUGUGGAGACCCCGGCAUUGAGACAGCUGAUCUUGCCCUCGGUGGUGAGUCUCUUACAGAAAUUGUUGUUACCUAAGUUGCGGAGAGCGACCACAUUUUUGUCAACUCUAACGGGCCAAAACAAGGUAUCGGGGUUGUUGGUGGUGGAAUCAUCUGAGUCAGCCCAUAUCCAGUUAGGGCUGCGCCUCCAGAAUCUGCCGAAGUAAUCUGACUUUAUGUGGACACUUCCAUCGUGAGUGGUGAAGACCUCGUUCCCCACCGUCGGGUCUCCAAUGUCACUUGAUGCGAACUCCAGAUAUGGGUGUCCCUCGAUCGUCCGGGCACUGAGGAAGUAGCCAUUAUCACCCUUGAAGGCGAUAUGUUUUGGCAAUAGCAAUAGUGAUUCCCAAUCAAUGAUUGUACAGACAUCGCAGAGGUCGUUGUCAGGCGAAGUUGAUCCUGCAAACAAACAAGAACCAUAAGGAGGUGGAAGCCUCCAUAAGCAUGCAUAGUGUCCAAGCUGGACGUGGCGAAAUUGGAGUGUUUGAGCAUCGCCAUCCACGUAGACAGGCUCAAACAAGGUACAUGACCAUGACGAUUGGUCUUCAUCUGGUUCGUCGGCCCCGGCAACAAUCCACCAGUGGUUCUUGGACCACCUUACCCAGUAUUUGUUGUUGUAGCAGCAUCUUAUGUGCACUAGUCCCUUGCCAUUCUUUGCCAUCUCCACUUGGUACUUUGAGUAGGGGGUCACGACCUCCUCUCCCGAGAAUUGGAGAAAUCCAUG
rnacentral:lncRNA from 1 species